rnacentral:lncRNA from 1 species
AGCAUGAGUGGGACAUACAGGAUAUUAGGUAGGUGGUUUUAAUCUUGUGGCCGAUCAGUGUAUCUGGGGUUAAUCAUGAAUGUAUUUGUGUAGAUGGGGGCAGGUUGCAUGAUUGUCUUAACUAGUGCCACACAUAUGGUAAGGGUGGUUUUCCCUUACCAAAACAUGAUAUUGAUACAACUCUUAUUACAUAGUUGCAGUCAUGCAAGCAACUGAAGGUAGAUGUUCGAUACAUGAGGAUGGCAAAAUGCCUUUUGGUCUAGUGCAGUACAAAUACUACCAUAAAAAUGAGCUCAGUCUGUCCCUUCAAAGACAUGAUGCAACCAAAAUUCUUAUUCAUUCACUCUCUGUUUACUGACGUGACUAUGCACAUCGUAUUAGUCUCCGAUAUAAUGAGUUUACUUGCUUACAGAUCAGAAAAAAAUGCUUCUGUCAUCCUUAUUCAUAAAUUACAAAAAUCCCCCAUCCACCCAUUCGUAAAUAUAAGAGAUAUGUGGAGGAUUUCACAGCACAUUUUAAAUCAAUUAAAUCAGAAAGAAAAUACAAAGCAUCAUUGAUUCCUACAUAGUUCCCACUUCCUUAAAUGUUGAAAAUGUUUAUUCAAAAUCCCAUUGGCUUUAUAUGUUUCACAUGUUUAUCAAUUACUUUAUACUUCAACUCUCAGUUCUUGGCACUGGUUUUAGAGUAUUCACUAGGAUGCAGGAUAUUUUCUCUAUACGACUACUAAUUUCUAUUAUUUCUACUGUUUUAUGCAAAGUUUGGCUUAUGUGAUGUGUUGGAGAAGGUGGCUUUGGGCUGUGGCAUUAGGUGUCAGCUGCCGAGGAGAUUAGAUGAACUUUUGUGAGCCUUGCUUCUCUGGUAGUAUUAUUAUCUGAACAGUCAAGAAUCCAAAAUACAUUUAAUAUUUUAUGCUAAAACAGUCAGAAUGGGAAAAAAAAAUCAGCUGAGUUUUCCAUUUGGCUACUUGGCAAAUUCACCUUGAAUUCCCUAUUUAGAGAAAAACAUGGUUUGUCUCUGCUCCCUCACAAUAAAAUUGUCCAAUAUUUAACUUUCUACCACCACAGAGUGUACAGGUUUAUUUUAGCUGCUAGCGUCCCAUCAACUAUGAAUAUAUAAUUUUUCAAAGUGAUGAGUAACACAUUUCACUGUCUGUGAAAUGCAAGUGAAAUGCACAGUGAAAUGCAAUGUCUUUGCAGUCUGUUCUUCUCUUACUCAUUUCUCAGCAUGGAGACGGGUGAUGUUACGAAACCCUCUAUUCCAACAUCUGAUUGACAUGUGAGGGGAAGAACCACAUUUUUAUAUACGUGAAAAUGUAUAUAUGUGCUAGUAUAAUGAACAGAUACAAUGUUAUACUCUUUAAUCAAAUGUGUGUACCGUGAUGCAGGCUCAGUUAAUAUGUACAGUCAUGGGAAAAAGAAAGUGCACCCUCUAUGAAUUCUAUAAUUUUAUAUAUCAGGACACAAUAACGCUCAUCUGUUCCUUAGCAGUUCUUAAUAUUGGGUAAAUACAACCUCACAUGAACAACAACACAUGACAUAUUUCUGUAUGUCAUGUGCAGAAGCCCAUUCAACAUGACACAUCGACUCAGGCUGCUCCCCAAAAUCGCCAUUGGUAGCAACCUUCCUUGCAACACAUCGUACACAGGGACAAUAAACAACACUCUGACGUGCACUCGAGCCCUUUGACAUUGCCCCACUCGCACACUUUCUGGUUAGGAAGGGAUAGGAUUACGUGGCUCCCGCUAUAAUUCCGAAUGUGAAAUGUUUGUUAGCACUUGGUUUCUAGCACGCUUUAGUUUGUAACUAUGUUGUAAUGGUGUAUUAUCACUUUAUUCCUUGUAAGUCCUAUUGUUGCAAAAACCGCAAUAAAAAUGAGAUUGUAAAAAAAAGAAAAUAAUAAUUGAAGAAUCCAUGUGUGAAAAGCCAAGUACACCCUUACUGCUUCCACAGGAAUUAAGAUGCUAAGUAGCAGACAGGUGCUGCUAUGCUAAUCUAAUGCCAGCAAGUGUGCCCAGCUCUAUGAAAGCCAAUGUUUUAGCAUUUUUCUGGUCUGAAGCACUCAGGUGUGUGAACACAAUGCCAAGGAGCAAAGACAUCAGCAACGAUCUAAGAGAAGCAAUUAUUGCUGCCCAAACAAAUUGGAAGGGUAAUAGAGCCAUUUCCAAAUAAUUUAGUCCAUCAUUCUACAGUGAGAAAGAUUAUACAAAAGUGGAAAACAUUCAAGACAGUCGAUUGUUCUAAUGUCCUGAUUUGUAAAUCCAUAGAAUUCAGAAAGGGUGUACUUUCUUUUGCCCAGCCAUGAUUGUAUUGUACCUUUUCUGCCAUUAUUAUUUUUACUUUCUACCACUGCACUUAGGUUAAAGAAAGGGUUACUCCCUCUUUGCAUAAGGUGGAGAAAUAGAGAAGUCCAUUUGUUGUGCCUCCCCUGGGUAAUAUUGGGGUGUAAUAAACUCUACACUUUUUUUUUAAUUACAAAAAGCACAUUUCACUAUGUGUUGGGAGCGCACAAACGCCAACAUGUAUUAUUUACCAUGUUUAUUACCCUUCAAUAUCACAUUAUAUGUGGGAAAGAAUGAAAAGAAAAUUUGAUACACUUACAUUCUGAAGUCGCAUCUCAAGUCAUGAUUGUAAAUAUUACAGCUUUUUUUACUGACCUCUGUGUAUAAUUCUUUUUUUUAAGAUAUACCCUUUUUGUAAACCAACCCAAACCAUGAUGUCUAGUGAUAUGUGUUCGCAGAAUCUAAUAAAAUCACAGCUAUAUAAUUAAUCACAGACAGGGCUGGGCAUAAAUCACAUUCUCAUGUUACCUACAGCUUAAGCCAAAUAAGGAUUCUGAAGAAGUGGGGGAGUAGAGUGUGAUAUCCAGAAACACCUGUGACGAAUCUGGAAUCCCCACUUCCCAGCAGAGAUAACAUUCUCUCCACUAACAUAGAAGAUGCUAAGAAAGUCUUGAUAGGUGCUCCACUCCCUACAUUCCUCAUGUUUUUAUUACUUGACGAUGUAGAGAAAACCCCACUCUUAAUCAUCAUUGAUUUGCCUGACACAUUGUUUCACUGUUAUUACUCUGGAUUAUAAUGUCAGCCAAGCUUUUAUAUUCCAUUGUUCUCCUGUGGGUAAGGCUGCCUAGAAGCAUCCUUUAAUGUAUUUUGUAUUAUUCAUUUCCUAUUGUACAAGCCAAAACCAACCUCAAUUAAAAUAUAUCGAAAAUAAGUUGUUUGGACAUUGACUUUUGCAGCAUAUGGAGACUUCUGAAGAGUCCAGAUGAAACAAAGCAAUAAUAAUGUUUAUUGGAAAAUUACCUUGAAUUCUCAAUAGUGCAUAACCUGUAUAUAGAUUUUAUUUUACUGCUUCUCUCUCCCCACCUCCCCCUCUAUUGAUUACUUCUCACUCUAUCCACCUACCAUAACCUAGCACUCAGAAAGUACCAUCUCCAGUGAAUUUAGAGCCACCUCCCACCAAACCUCGGGUUUACUUUUCAGAUGGACAAUUUAUUGUUCUGAAAAGGUUCUACUAGAUAUCUUAUGCAAUGUAGAAAUUAUUGAUGAUGUGAAACCUCCAUUAAAGUGUUUUUUUUUUUUUUUUAUAGCAUCGGAUAUAUUUAAAAUGUCAUUAUAAUUAUUCUUAGUCAUUAGAUGCCUCUGGCACUUAUCUCAUUGAUGCUACAGUAUACUUGGAACCAAGUAUUCCCAUGUCAGAGUUCUGCUUGAAGACUUAGCACAUUAAUGGACAUAGAUCCUUUCCUAAAGUCUCCAACGCUUGAUGGUCCUUUUCUAAUGUCUCCAAUGCUUGAUGGCUGCUGGAUUCAUCCAAGGUUUGCAAGCUUUGCCUUGUUAGCUUAAAGUCUUCUGCCCUUUGUAAUUUCUUUCUUGGGUUAUGAUGCAGUUUCACUGCUGGUGUUGUUGAUAUAGCCCUUUAAAUUCCUUCUGUGAAGGAGUUACUCCAAGCACCAUAACCACUUCAGUGAUUUGAAGUGGUCAUGGUGUCUGUAGUCUGUAUUUGCUUUGAAACACUGCACAUACAGAGAUUAACCCCUUAGCUUCUCGAGGCGUAACUUCACAACCACCCGCAUCAUAGGUGUGUUAUCAGCCAGCCUGGAACUAGAGUUCUGGGCUGGCCAAUGUCAACUCUAUGUAACCUUUGUUGCACAGAAUCUCAUUUAUUGGCUGAGAGCAGUCAGCUGAUGCUCUCCGUCAAUGACUGUCAACCUCCGCAGCUUCUGGUUUCUGCAGGGCGCGUCACCGGACCUCCAGGAAGCGUCAGAGCCUGGCAAGGAUCCAGGUAAGAAGGCAAACCACCGGGGAAGUGGACAAAGCUACAUCUGGAAUCAUAUAAUUUAUAACAGCUGGCUCUACUUAUGGGGUUUUGAUGCUUGGAGUAACCCAUUAAUAAAAUUAUUCUUUUAUUUUGCAUAAUAAUGAACAUCUGAUCAUUUCAGCUGAUGAUAUUUACUAAAAUCAGAUCAUAAGUUUCCAAUUUAUGUGUUAUUGUAUUUAAACAAUGUAACAAGGGACCCUUUUACAUCCAGAAAUUAAAUUGCAGACAAGUUAUAAGGAUUAUGUUAUCUAAUAUUUGGUACUUUUAAAAGGUAUGUAAAAAAGCAAUGUGCUCAUUACUGGGAAAAACCUCGAUUUCACGUGAAUCAGGCAGUUAUGUCUGGUAUGUUCUUCCUGUUUUAGAACAUGGUUAAUUAUAUACUGUAUCUACUCUGGGAUAAAAGGUAAAUACCCAAAUGAAGUUUCUAGAUUACGUUUCAAUCCUUUUGAUUAAAUUGGAAAGGCUCUUACAUUCUCUUACAUUCUCACCAUAAGCUGCACCAAGAGCUUAAUUAAGGCUUUUCUGUAAAUAACGAAGCUACAUUCAGAAUGUAAUCUUACAAGUAAUUCAUAAACAUAAUCACUCUGAAAUGUAAUUGGUAUUUUCAAGACAACAUAGAACUGUUACUCCUAACCCUGGCACUGCUGAUUAUUGUGAACUACAUUUCCCACAAUGCUCAGCGAGCCUUAGCCUAGCUGAGCAUCAUGAAUAUUAGACUUGUGCACGUUGUAAAAAUUCGCUUUUUAUUAACCACUGUUUUUGUCACGGCAGAAUUUAGAUCAUGCCUUGGUUUGACUCAACAAAAUUUUGUUACCAAAACAGUAUUGGAAAAGAAAUUCGGACAGUUGAGAAAGUGAAUCAGUCAAGAAAGUGAGAAAAGAUGUACCUAUGACUGUGCAUAUGGCUUAAUUGUCUGGCCUAAUGACUACACAGUUUCAUGCAUUGGUCUAAUGCCAAUUUCGACUUGUCAAAAGUAGAUUAUUCUAUAUCUAGUUAAAAAAAAAGAGAGCAAACUUUAUAAUGAUUUAUAAUCCAUCAAGCGUGAUGACAUCAUAUGUGUUGAAUACGGAAGUGGCUGAAUCACCUGGGAAGUGGAGAAACCAAAUCACAACCUAUUUGAAGAGGUAACAGAAAAGGAGAAGGCUCAGAGGUGGGAUUAUAGCUUUUGAGAAAGUCCACUGCUUGGACAAAACGCAUCAAUCGAAUUUCCAGCUGGUUUGUGUGAUUGACAGCUACUAGAGGCUUGUUUAACACUUCAAGGUAAGGCAAGGUUUUAUCGUGUGGUGUUAAACUUACAGGACCACCGUGGAGUGAAAUGAGCGAUUUUUGCCUAGUGCGACAACAAUCCUUGCACUGGCUCUGCUUGUACUUAUCAUAUUAAUACUGAUGCCUAUCAAUAUGCUGUAAAGACAAAAAGGAAUUGGGAGCACACCUGAAACAUGCAUUUCGCAGGAAUGGUGCUGCUAUUGUGACCAAAAUUCAUGCAUAAUACAGAUUAAGGAACAGAGCACAAAAAAACUAUUUUUACAUUUUAUCACCUAUUUCAGCAGCUGGCAAUACACAUACAUCGAUAAACUUACUUUAUUUUUAUCUACAGAGACUGCCAGUAUAUUCGGUCAGUUUGAUAUAUACAGUAUUGUUUUGGUAUUAAUAGUAUGUAGCUGUAUGUUAUAUGGUCCCAUGCCACCUAAUCAGUACACAGUAAUUUGUAGUACUACAACGGUGCAGUUUGCUUUUCGUUGGACAUACGAUUACCAGUUGCCAGAAGAAAGGUGCCAUAAAAAACAACAAUGUCCCCCUCAUCUACAGGAACAUUUACACUUACAGUUUCUAACUGUUCAAUUUAUUACAUUUAUUGUGCAAUUGCUGUAAGUAACAGUUUUGUUUGCUAACAAGUAUGAAGUAUGCACACUUCACUACUUCACUUCAGUAAAGCAGGUUUUGUUUGGGGGGGAUGUCAUUUACCAUUUUAUAUGAUGUUAUAUGUUCAUUUUCAGUCACUCCACAUGUCCUCACUGCUAUGUUUUAUACUAUGCCUCUUUAUGACAAUGCUGAGUUGCUCCAAAUUUGUGUCUGAUUAUCCAUAAAUCAAUAUUUGUGUUUAAGUACCCUCGCCUCUUGGUAUGUAAGUCACAGGGUUCGUGAUAACCAUAUAUACUGGCCACCUCAUUCGUGCCAUAUCUAUUCACGUUAAGAACAUAUCAGUACGUCAAGUCUCACCAGGUAUGCUUCAUACCAGCCAUUAAAUAUUUGGAGCUAUUUUACUAUACAUGAUCAACUGGGUCAUUUAAUAUAUUGUUCAACUUCCUUAGUUUUUUCAUUUGGUUACAGGUAACACUAAAGUAUUUUAAUUGUUCUGGUCUCAUUUUACUUACUUUUCCUACCUUUUAUCAGUGUAAGUAACAAAGUUCUGAAUUAUGAACACUAGGUUCUCUUGUGUCACAUUUAGGUUUAGGUGAUCGAACCAUCAUACACUUUUUACCCUCCACAUUUCUAGCCACUUAUUCUUAUCAUCAACUUCUAUCCUUCUAUCCUUCUAGCUUUCAUCAAUAUUCCAGUUUUAAUCUAUUUAGGCAAAUUAGGUUUCAUUGUUUUUGCAUUUACGUUUUUUAAGUCACCACGCAAGUGACUUGCUUUUCCAAAACUACCUCACUGCCUAUGACAACCUCUUGCUCUACAGAACCUGAUGUAUAGCUUAGUAUUGCUGUUAGGGUGCCUUAGUUGACCCUAGAUUGUAUAUUGGCUUUUCGUGCCAUUAAAUAGCUUACCUGCAAGGCCAGCUCCCAUCCUCAACUAUGGAGGUGUUUCGCCCCUUGGCCCAAAUCAUAGUUAGUCCCUCGUUUCUCUGCCUUCUUGGCAAAUCAGUCACCUGUCAUGACUAGUCUAUCUUGAAUUUCUUUAAUGUCACAGAGAAGCCAUCACCCUGCCACAAUGCUCAGUGGCAAACUUAUAGGUAGAGCCUCUCAUUGCUACUUGGGGGCUGCUAGAUAGAUAAACGAUUUUCUUCUAUUUCAGCUAUGAUUAUAACUGCUACUACGAUACAUGGAAUGAUAGAGUGGAGGAGAUAAAUAAUAGAGAAUUAUGGGUUGUUAAGCCUUCAGACAAUUUGUUUUCAGGUCCAGUUUUAGAUUGUACACCUGUUGGGAAGAAACAUUAUUUACUUACAGCAGGUAGUCAGGAGCAAUACUUACAUCCACAGUACUCACAUACAUUAUAUAAUAACAAGCAUAGUUUCAUGUUUUCAACAUUGUUCACUGGGUUACCGUAUCAUUUUUGCCCAAUCUUACCAAUUAUUCACAUCAUUAAGUCCUUCAUGCUUACUUUACUAGCAACAUGGGAUGUUUUUGGCAAUAUGUAACAGUUUCUGAAUUAGUCACAAGGUACAAGUAGGACUAAUAGUAGGGGAUCGUUUGUUAAUAACUUCUGUUCUAAGAUUAGGAAUGUUAAUUUUUCUACCUUCUUUUUCAGGCCUACCCAUUGGGUUGAAGCACACCAAAACCAACUUGUUCUUACUGGUAGAGCUCAGACCUUGUACGCCCUCAGCUUUUGUCCCCAACCACAAAUGUAAAGGCUGUAGGCCUGGAGUUGUUUGAGGGUUUUUUGCUGGUCUAUAUCUGCCCCCCUCCGAGCAACCUCCCGACAUUCUGCCGCUGUUUGGAACCCCACCCACCUCUCCCUAUUAUACUAUUUUAUUAGGUGGGCCCUCUUUUUCAGCCCUAACAUUCAUUGGGUUUAGCAUACCACAACCAUCUUGGUCUUAAUGGUAUAGCUCAAAACGUAUUGUAUGCACUCAGCCUGCAUCCCAGACCAGAAAUAUAUAUACACUGUAUAUAUAAUAUUGUUUUAUUUGUGAUUAUGCUAUUUGUUUCUUUCAACAGAUUUAGGGCAUUAAUGGUGCAAAAUACUUUUAUUGCGAUUUAUACGUUAAUAAAAACAGACAUUGUUAGCUAAAUGAGUAUUCAACCCCGAGUCCAUACUUGACAGAUAAACACUUGUCAGUCAAUCUGGAUUUUAGCCAACACUUAAUUACACACAGGCGCUUGAUCUUCUCAUUUAUGAGCAAGCCGGAUUCCUUUUGGGAACAUAACAAAAAUUAAUUUUUUUCAUAUGGAUAUUUUACAUUCUAAAUGAUGCUAAUCAAUUUCUCAGAUCUCAGUUGAAUAUAUUUCCAACUCCAUCUCAGUUAACCUUGGCUCUCGUUGCUUGUCUGACUAACGCUUUCCUGAACUGGUCAGGGUAUUUUGGUUGAAAACCUUCUUUAGUCAAAGUUGAAGUUAUGUCAUUUUCUUUACAUUUUUUCAUAACCCAGCCUUGACUGCUCCCUCAUCAAAACUUUAUCCCAGUCCUGCUUUCAUUUCUCCAUUGUCUUCAUGAUGUUGUUUUCAUAGAUAUGCUCUCUGACAAAUUCUAGAAAGACCAUCUAGAAACAGUUGUAAUUAUAUUGAGAUAUUAUAAGACUUUAAUUGAACACAGAGGGAUACCAUUCAAAUAAAAAUGUACAUACCUUCUGAAGCCAAUCUGUUGCACAGGAACUUAUUUAGAUGUUUCAGAGCACCAGAGAUGAAUAUUUAUGGAAACCAAAAAAAAAAAACAUUUUCUCAUAUUACCUUUUGUGUUUUAAUAAAAAAAUACUUUGCAAUUGUGAUGUGUUAGGUGUUAUGUGUAAAAUAAAUGGUAAGUAUUGCAAUACAAACUAUUUUAAUUCAUUGUUUUAAUGCUACAAAACAGGAAAUGUCCAUAGAGGGAUGAACACUCGUGUUUUACGUCCAGUCUACCCACAAGAUAACAUUAUUUUAAAUGAAAGAUUUUUACCCCUUGCAUAACAUCGUAUAAAAAAAAAAAAUGAGCUCUUGUUGUUGGUUGAAUCACAUAAGCUUUUUUAAAAAAAAACUUUUUUGCAGAUAGAGUAGGUGAUCUCUUGCAAUACACAAUCGCAGAAACACAAAGUUUUUGGUUGACUUGAUUCAAAGUGAGUAAAUUAAGGUAACCAUCUAGGGUUCACGCUAUCUGCAACAGCCAUGACGUUUACAUUCAUACGCCUGCUGGCAUCCUCAAUCUGGUUCAUUCUCAUAGACAAAUCCAAAUAUAAUUUGUGUAAGCUCUGAAUUUGUGUAGGAAUAGUGUCUUAGGACUGCAGAACCCAAUGCGGCCCUAUUAGUUAGUGUUGUUAAGUCUCAUCUAAGAACGGCCUUGCGUGUAGUAAACAAAGAUUGAAUGUUUUGCGUUAAGGAAGCUAUAUUCCUAUUAUUAGCUGACAGUCGUCCUCACAGAUUGUAGGUAGGAGAGAUUUGGAUCGUGGUGAAUGUUCAGCUUGUUCCAUGCAACUGGAGACACUACCUGCAACCCUUUUAACAGCACUAUCCUGACUUUCAGAUGCAAAGAACCAAGCUUAUAACAAAGAAUGACGGGGAGCCAAAAUGGUGGCAUCCAGUUGCAAGAUAUAGAGGUGUGGAUUUCUGCAUUUUAUUUGUCACACCUUACAAAUACAUAUUGGUUUAGUAUAGGGUUAAGUAAACAUUUUAUUGAAAAAUCCUGGAAAGUGACAGCUCCCUUUUAUACCCUGGGGAACAGAACAUCUUCCAAUUCUACCAUGGUUAUUCACGAAGGUAAUUUAAAGUAAAUUCAAAGUAAAUUUCAACUUUAAGAGCAAAGUUUCUCUAAUUCAGCUAUGUUUCCAGCUCCUCCGCCGAUGUCAGCGCGAGGGGAAUACCAAAACCACACACUUAGGCCAACCCAUAGGCAAGCAUUGACUCAACACUUUUCUAUGGAGUUUUGCAAGACGCUGGCCGACGGAAGCACCUCUAGCAGCUGUCUGGUAGACUGCCACUAGACGUAGUCUUAACCCUGCAGUGUAAAUCAUUUGCUAUGAAGCUGCAAUAUUUUACAUUGCAGAGCUAAGGGGACAGGCACACUGCCCCCAGACCACUUCAAUAUAAUGGAGCAGUCUGGGUGCCUAUAGUAUCCCUUUAAAGUUUAAGAUGUAUGUUGAAUUUACUUUGAAUUCUCACUAUAAUGAAUAAUCCUGUUAUGGGAAGGAGAUGCAUACUUGGCAGCAUACGUGUCAAUGUAUAGCUUUUAACCCUUCAACCAUUGUUCCUUUGUAUGAAGGCCAGGGUGGACAAUUGGGCACCUUCUCUAUUAGUGAGCUGCACACAAUAUUGGAUUAGUAACCCAUCAUUUGUCUGAGGGGGUACUGGGCACCUCCCCAAACUUAGAGUUCCUUUUUUUAUAUAUUUACUGUUUUACAGUUUGAUACACUUUUGCUUAAUGGAACACAUUUUAAUUAACUAAACAGGGGCUUGUCAUUUGGACAAACAGAAAAGGUAAAUAAAAAUGAGAACAAAAGAAUAUAACAAGUGCCUAUUCACAGUCUAGUAGAGGAAACACCUGCAAUGACAAGACUAUACAUUUUGUAUUAAGAUUAUUCCAGGAUAGUAUGCACCUGCAGAAUCGUAUCUCACAGUAUAUUUGCCAUACCGUAACAGUAUAAUGUGCACCUGAUUUUCUAGGUGGUUUUAUGAUAGAAAUAUAUACAAACACAUGCUAGUCCUUACGGUUCGAUUUACUUGGGAUUUUCCAAGACUUUAGUUGAUAUUAUUUUCUACUGAUUCAUACUUCCCACCUGUAGACUUACCUUCCUGUUUUACAGACAUACUUCAAAGUGACUCAGAUACAUAACACCUUCCUUGCAGUUCUAGUUAUGAAUUAACACUGUGUAUUGGCUUCCAAGAAGCUGUGGUUUUGAAUUCUGAUUGAUGGGUGUGAUCUACGGGAAACCACACACUGCUUUUUAGGUAAUAACAAAAUGAGUAUGUUUCCAGUUAUGUACAAAAUAAAUUGCUCUGUCACACCGUAGGCUCCCUACCCACGGAAUAUGUAGUUAUGUUCAAAAUAGCAUAUGAUGUUUCAUAUAUUAUAGUAUCUAAAAUGUUUUCAUUUUCUUGCAGAAUGCCAUGGGAAAAGAAUACACUUGUAUUCAUUGACUACUACAAUUAGGGGUUCAUUCACUAAACUGUAAAUUGGGCUGAAUUGAAAAUUCAGUUUUUUUAACAUAAAGUCCGAAAUACAAAAUUAGGUGCCAAUAUGCACACUUCCAGGUUUUCAAUUUGCCUAAAAUCACUUUUUAGUGCACAAACCACCUAAUGUUUAAUUAGCUUGUUUAUAUAAAGGCGAUGCUACUUUCUAAAGACAAGUUGGUAUGUUUUCUGUUUAGUCUUGGCCAUUGAUAGUUGUGGUUUUAAUAUUCUCCUUCUAGUAUCAAAAUGUUUACAUGUUCUUUUAGAGGUGCCUUACCAACAGUUUAGCUGAAAAGAAAUUUGCAGACCUCUUCCCUCCCAACACAUGUAUACUUGUGCUAACAUCCGUUUCGCAGUGCACUGCAAAGCUAAUACACAUGUAGCCCUUAAAGCCAGGGCCGGCCUAUCCAUAGACUGCUGUGUAGCCACAACUCCAGGCAGCACACUGACAGUGGCGGCAUUUUGCGGACCUUGUCAUUAUCUAAAACAGGAAUUCCCAACUCGUAGCGGCGGUGCAGCUACCUCGCACCGGUUGGGAACCUGUGUGAAAGUCCAUCAGGUGGCCCAUGCCUUUAGGGCCACUCAACGGACAUAUGCAACGAGGGGCCCGGUCAUCCACAGGGAGAGCUGGGAGGAAGUGACAGCUUCUCACUUCCUUAUAGCUCACACCCUGAAACCGAGCCACAAGGAUGGGGCCGGACCAGGAGAGCAGGCCCCCAACUCCCACCAACCACAGCCAGCAGAAGAUAAGAAACUGCUGGGUGACUUAAUUUUUUUGAUGGGUAUAUCUCUGUGUGUGUGAGUGUGUGUGUAUAUCUUGUGUGUGUAUGCAUAUGUGUGUAUCUGUGUAUGUGUGUAUCUUGUGUGUGUAUGCAUAUGUGUGUAGUGUGUGUCUGUAUCUGUGUAUGUAGUGUGUAUCUGUAUGUGUCAGUGUGUGUGUGUGUGUAUGUGUCUUUGUCUGUCUGUAUGUGUAGGCAUAUCAGUGUGUACAUCUGUAUGUAUGUUAAUAUCUGCAUGUGUCAUACAAAAUACACAAUCCAGCACACUCGCUUAUUCACUAAACAAUGCUUUAAAAUCUCACAGAUUGUAAUAGUUUUAUUUAAAAACACUUCACCUCGGCAAAACAUAAUGAGGGUUUAGUUACAUAAUAUGAUCAUGUAUUGCAUAAGCCUGCCACAACAUCAAUGUACCCCAUUCUUGGCAGGCCCUGCUCUAGCAGCCUAAUGCCUGCCCGUAAGAGAUCAAUCCACUUACUUGGGAACUACUUCCUCCUGGGACUCUCUGCAGGUCGAGGCUAAAUAGGGUCCUGGAAUGAGGCACCUGUGACAGGGAGGAGUGAAAACCAAGAGGGCUGCACUCACCUGAACAUGCAUACAUUUUUUUUUUGGGGGGGGGGAGGGAGGGGGGCAGCAUUUCAUUCUUGGACCCAGGCAGCACAACCCUGCUUAAAGUCCAUCAAUCAUCUCCAAUUGCUCUAGUGCUGUGUUUCCACUGUUCUCUGCCAAGUCCCCAUUCUGACCAUCUGUAUCUCUACAGAGAGACUGCAAAUGGCAUCUCCUCCUACAUCCACCCUCUAUAGCUACCUUUCCAUGUUGAAAUUCAUGUCCGCAUUCUGGCACGUAGAGUAGUUAAAGAAGUUAAAUUAAAGGUAGUGAAAUGUUUAAAAAAAACACAAACUCUAAACAAUUAAGGUUUUUUUUACAAUAAUUAUACAAAAUGCCACCAAUUAUUAUUAAAAAGAAAAAAAAUAUCUUCGUUUUCACCUGCUGACAUUUUAUGUGCACAACUGGAGUCUAAAUUGGCAAUACCAGUUCAAUCAAAAUCUAAUAUAAGAGAUUGUCAGAAUCCAUUGCUUUCAUCCUAAAUCAGUAUCGAAACCUCUAAUAAUUUCCUCAAUCCCGGGGCAUGUCAUUUGUCCAUCCUAGCAGCCCACCCAUCUCUUCCUCCAUUCUGGCUAACUUUUAACCUACUUGGGCUGUUGAUUAUUAAAAAUGUACUAGAUAGGUAACUAAAGUGAUAUCUUGGUGACCUUUGUGUAUAGUUAUAAUGAAUUGAUGGAUUCUAACACAUUUUUUUUUAGUUAAUGUAUGUCAAAUACUAUAAUGUCCAUUUUGCAAACUUUAAAAUAAAAAAUGUAACUAUACCAGAGUAAGAGAUAAUGUUUUUAAUCAACAAAUAGACAUUUCAUAUUAAUCUAAAAAAUCAUAUAACAAUUAUUUAUCAUAUGAUAAUUUAUAUAUAGUAUAUUUUGUUGAUAUUGCCCCUUUUUUAGGUUUAUUUAUAUUGUAAUAAUUUUUUAGCAGCACUUUCCAAUUUUAUAAAGGGGGUAUUUAACAGCAAAUGUGACAAACUAUUACAAAUUGUGACAGAAAUAAGUGAUUGAUGACGACCCUGCUUGAAUGAGCUAACAAUCUAGAAAAGGUGAGGUAUAAAAACACAAUAGGAAGGGCUGCCGGAGGGAAUAUGAACCAAGUGACAGGGUGGGAAAGUAGGAGAAUUGGAAUGUGUGAGUGAAGUAGAGUUUGGACCCACUAAUUGAGGUGAGAGAGCAAGACGUAGAUUUGAGAUAGAUGGCAGUUACUCAGGAAAGACUAUGGAUUUUAAUGGACUCCUUAAAGGAUUGAAGACUACGGGAAUGUCUGAUGGGUGAGGACAUUUGUUCCAUGCAAAAAGGCCUGUAAGUGUGAGUUAGCAGUAUGGAAGGAGUGGACAGGAAAAUGUCACUGUCAGAGUGGAGUGACUGAGAAGGGGUGUACCCAUGUACCUAAGUGAAGAAGUCUAGCUGGGGUAGAAUUGUUUGUAGGUGAGAGUUUAUAUUUUGAGUUGAAUACUAUAAGACACAGGAAGCCAGCAUAAUGAUUGACAUUGGAGUGAGGUGUGAGAGGAGUAACGGGAGAGAAAAAGCCUUGGAGCAGUAUUGUUUAUGAACUGUAGUUAGGCAGUAUGGUUCCUGGAGAGACCAGUUAGGAGAGAAUUACAGUAGUCAAUGCGAGAAAUUAAAGGAGCAGAUGCGGACAAUAUUUUUAAGUUGGAAUGUCAGGAUUUGGCAACAGACUGGAUAUGAGGAGUAUAGGUAAGGUCUGAAUCAAAGGUAACAUCAAGGCAGAGAGCUUGUAUGGAAGAUAGGCUACUUGUGAUGCUGUCUAGAAUAGCAGGAGAGAGGGAUCAGGGAGUAGAUAUAUUCAGGUUCAAUAGGCAUGUAGGUGGAACUGGGAUCCAGAAGAAUUAAUACGUUUGUCAAGAAAGUGUCACGAUAACUUGAGACCCAACACACAGAGUAAAAGAUAUGAUAAUAGAAAUGAUAAAGUCUACCGGUCCUUAGAAUGGCUGGGUUAUUCGCUGAUACAACAAGAAUUGUCGGGGACAAGCCGAGUCAGGGAAGCCAGAAAGCAGGGAAUUGAUAAAAUCAAUAGCGAGUCAGGGAGGAUAGAAGGAGAAUAGUCAGGAAAAAGCCAAGAUCAAAAUACCAGAAUAGACACAGGGUAUAACGCACUCUUGGAAACUGAAAACAGAAACCACAACAGGGCAAUGAUCCAUUCCCUGAGUGCUCCUUUUAUACCCUAUGUCUUUAAAUUAUAUCCACACCUCCAAAACAUUUGAAUUUGAACGGUUUGGGGGGCCGUGACAUCAUCAGCGUCAUGACGUUGGUAAGCACGCGCAGCGUAAUCAAAAGUGGCGUAGAUAUAGCGGCCGCCGUCUGAACCGCUGGAGACAUGAAAGGGACCAUAGGAUGGGUCCCUGUCCCCUUCCUGGACUUUCCGAGGCUGUGUCACAGCCUGGGCAACAAAAGGUAACAUGACAGAAAGGCAUUAUAAAGGGAAAACAGAAGGGAACAGAGUGGCAGAGGACAAAGCCCUGGGGAUAAAGAAAGAAUGAGGGGAAGAGAUGCUAGUAGAAAAGGGAACACCAAUGAAUCAUUUGGAGAGGCAGGAUGAGAACCAUGAAAGGACAGUGUCACAAAAUUUGAGAUUGCAAAGGGUUUGAAAAAGGAGACAUGAUCAACAGUGUCAAAAGUAGCAGAAAGGCCGAAAAGACUUACAAUGGAAUACUGGUCUUUGGAUUUAGCUGUGAUUAGAUCAUUUUACUUCAGUUAGAGCAGUCUCUGCAGCAUAUAGGGGUAGAAACCAGAUUGAAGAAGAUCAAGGAGAUAGUUUGAGUUGACAAUGUCAGAUGGGUACAGAUAAGUCGCUCCAGAAUUCUUGAGAAGAAAUAGAAGGGAGUACAGAUAUGGGAUGGUAGCUAGAUGGAGAAGAUUUGUUUAAGGGAUGUGGGGACGAUACCAAAAUAUAUAAAAGGAGAUGGUAAUAUAUAAUCUGGCAAGAAAAGAGAGAUUUGAAACAGUGGGAGGGAAUGGAAUCAAGAGGGAAGGUGGUGGGACGAGAGGAAAGUAGACGUACAGACACCACCUGUUCUCCAACUGUGGAGAAUGCUUAUAAGGUAAGAGAGGCAUAGUGCAGGUCAGGUUGAGGAAGAGAAGAAUGGAUCCUUUCCUUAACUGAUUAAUCUUGUGAGUAAAAUAGCAUGCAAAGUCAUCAGCUGUAAGGUUAGUAUGAGGGGUGGUCAUAGAAGAAUGAUGUAAAUAGUUAAAGGCAUGAAAGUGACACCUGGUUUUGUGAGAAUAGUAAUUAGAGAGUAAUGUAUGAUUGUUUAACAUUGAAGUGAGUGCAGUAUGACUUUUGUACUGUUGGAAAAUGAAGUGCAGAAAGUCUAUGUCUAUUAUGUCUAUGACAUAAUCGUGUGACUCACGUGGGUCAUGUUCUCAUUUUGACGUGAAUCUUAGCAUUGACUCUACCUCAUAAAGCCAUACUUUCUGCAUGGUCUGUCCUUAGUUGGCUGACCUGCAAGAUUAGCAGGCAGCAUGGCAUGUAUUCAUGCCAGGUUGACCUGCUGGGUUUUCAGGUGACUUACAUCACUGGCCUGUCCUUUAACCCCUAGCUACUAGCAUCCCAAUUUGUAGGAUGCCAAUAUCGGUGUGUGAGAAAUGCUCUGUGUAACAAUACUGACAUGUGUAAGGGAAGGAUAAUUGAAACUUGCCACAUGGAAAGCUCACAAAGAUAGACAAAAAAAUACAUUGGCCACCGCUUUCCACGCAAAGGAUUAAACUUGUAUCUAACAUGAUCUGUCUCUUUACCUGUGCUGUAAUAUCCAACACAAUGUGUCUCAUUGUCAUCCUGGAAAUUGGAUAUCCUAGAACAUUUAGAUUAGAAAUAAAAUAUUAUUCAAAAAGCAUCCUGGAAAAUCCUCCAUAGAGUUUCAUACUCUCCCCUGUGCAUUUUCAUUUUUCAGAAUAGGCCUUAUUUAGGAAAACAAAACUGACUUUUGUUCUGACAUUGUAUUUCCAUACUUAGGUUCCGGUUUUUAACCACAUUUUAUCCUAGCUGAUCCACAUAUGUUGCACACUAAACCAUGGGAUUAACGAUAAAUUAAUAUAACUUUCUCUUCAAUCCAAGAAGAUCAUUGAAUCAUACAAUUUCACAAACCUCAUCCUGUGGAAUCGCCUUGUAUUUCUUUUUAAUCUCAUGUUCUCAUAAAAAGUCAUCAAUAAUAAUAAAACAAAUUAAUGUUAUUUGCCAAAUAAAGUGAGCAAUGUGAAACAUUUUUUAAAAAGGUAACCAGAAUGUUCAGCAUGCUCUAAACCAGUGGCACUUUAAAUUAUGCCCAUAAGUUGUCCACAAUCCAUGUCCCACAGGCCACUUGUGGGCCACUGGACCCUUCCAAUGGGUCUGUGAAUACAACUAUCAAAUGUAUGCAAAUACAUUUUUUCACAAUUGAAUUAGUUAAAUUAAAAGCUGCAGUCAAAAUAUUAAAUGGUGCAUGUCCUGUUUAAUCACAUCCAAGCUUUUCAGGUGAAGAGAUGAGAUUUUAACUCAUUUCGAAAGCCAAAUGAAAUGGCAGUCUGUAUAAUACUCUCCUCAAUAUAUGGCUGCAAUAUCUCAGCACCAGACUGAGUUCCAUGAGAGACUCCAAGAUUUCCACGCUCAAGGACCCAGAACAUGGUAACCAACCCCCUUCUCUGUGAAUGUAUGGGAGACUUAACGGGAUCUCCAAAUGGAACUCAUUGACCUUAAAUGUGACUCAGAUCUGAAAAUCAAAUUUAAUUAAGUGUCUAUCCUAGAAUUUUAUAAAAAGUAUGCAGAAAAGGAAAUUUUGUCAAAUUAAGAAUGCAUGCUCAGGGCCGGAUUAAGAGCACAGUGGGCCUGGUGCUGACAAUUAUGAUGGGCCUAAUUAUGGAAUCUUAUCGACCAAAAACACUAAAACAAUCAUACCUCCCAAGUGUCAUGUAUCUGAUGGAGAUGGUGCUGGAGGGAAAUUCAUAGGAUGCAGCUAUAAGAAAACACAUACUCUGUGCUAAUUUCUCUCUAAUUUAUGCUUUCAUCUUUCAAGUAAGUCCAUAACCCCUAACAGCAGAGUUCAGUGAAGCAGGAAGUCAAUGGGCGGGGUGAAAGGGUGUGCCACUGGCACGAAUCACGUGACAAGACCUGCCAAAAGGGGUGAACAUGCCCAAAAAGGGGGCAUGUUUGUCCAAAGAAUUGGAAGGUCAGCCUGGCAUGAAUGCAUGUCAGGCUUCCUGCCAAUCCUGCAGGCUGUCCAACUAAGGGCAUACUAUGCAGGCAGCACCUUGACUAAUGAUGCGCUCACUCUUUCUAAGGACUGUCCCCUAGCACUCGCUGGUCCACUUGUCUCCUUACCUUCUUACUAGCAGGCAGAAGUUCCUGGUAUAUAGUCUGAGACAGAGAAAAGGUGUCUGUAGUGAGUGUAGAAGAAAAGGGACAUGCCACAGUGUUAGAGAGACCAACGUCUGCAUUACUUAAACUAACUUUAAUGUCAGUCAGUGCACACAAGUUUUGUUCCCAUACAUCCCUCUUAAGCUUCCAAACUUAGAGGGACACUAUAAUCACCAGAACAACUACAGCUUAUUGUAUUUGUUCUGGUAAGUAGAAUCAUUCCAUUCAGGUUUUUUGCAGUAAACACUGUUUUUUCAGAGAAAAUAACUCCACUGGCCACUCCUUAGAUGGCUGCUAGAGGUGCUUCCUGGAGCAGUACUGCCUAGUAUGCAGCACUGCCAUUCAGUGUCUCCACCCUUUGCAUGCAGACACUGAACUUUCCUCAUAGAGAUGCAUUGAUUCAAUUUAUCUUUAUGAGGAGAUGCUGAUUUGCCAGGGCUAUGUUGGACUUGUGCUGGCUCUGCCCCUGAUCUGCCUAGUUGACAGUCUCAGACAAUCCUAUGGGGAAGUAUUGUAAUUUGCUCAGAUCACCACUUCUGAGCCAGCAGCUGCAGAAUUGAAUACAAGUAAUAUUUUACUAUAUUUAGGGAGGCAAGAAGGGGCCAGGGUGGUGGUUUUAACAUAAUAGGGUAAUACAUGAUUGUGUUCCUGACACUAUAGUGCUCCUUUAAGCAAGAGUAUGUGAAGAGUAGUUAAGGUUGCCACCUUUCUUGGAAAAAAAUACCAGCCUUAAUCAUUUGUAUAAUUAAUUAGUUAUGCGUGACAUCACAUGAUGUAAAUCACAAGGAGUGACAUCAGAGAAAAUUCUGUAAAAUCACCAACAAACUACUCACAGUUUGAUUCUGCUGUAUAGAUGGAUUGCUCCCAGUGUCUCAGUCUCGCAAGUCACCCAGUGUCUCAGUGUCCCUAUGUAUCACAGUGUCAGUGUCCCCAUGUCGCCCAGUCCCCUAGUCUCCCAGUGUCUGUGUCCCCAUUUCUCCCAGUGUCCCAAUGUCUCAGUGUGUCCCCAUGUCACUAGGAUACUGGGGACACUGAGAGACAUGGGGACACUGAGAGACCCGGGGACACAGAGACAUGGGAGACAUGGGGACACUGAGACAUUUAUGGAAACUGGGAGAAAUGGGGACACUGAGACCCUAGGGACACAGACACUGGGAGACAUGGGGACACUAAAACAUUUGGGGACACUAAGACACUAGGGAAACAGACAUGGGAACACAGACACUGGGAGACUAGGGGACACUGGGAGACUAGGGGACACUGGCUGGGAGACAGGCACUUGGGGACACUGGGAGACAUGGGGACAGACAUGUGGACACUGGGACAUAUAGGGACACUGGGAGACAUGGGGAAACCAGGCACACUGAGACACUAGGAAGACAUGGGAGACAUGGAGACACUGAAACAUUUGGGGACACUAAGACACUAGGGACAUAGACACUGGGAGACUAGGGGACACUGGGAGACUAGGGGAUACUGGGAGACUAGUGGACACUGUCUGGGAGACAGACACUUGGGGAGACAUGGGGACAGUUGUGGACAUAGACAUGGGGACACUGGGACACAUGGGGACACUAGGCACACUGAGAGACAUGGGACACAGACACUGGGAGACUUGGGGACACUGAGACAAUAGGGACACUGGCUGGGGGACAUAGUGUCGCCGUGUCCCAAUGUCCCUAUGUCUCACAGCAUCCCCAUGUGUCUCAGCAUCCCCAUGUGUCCCAGUGUCCCCUAGUGUCUGUGUCCCCAUGUUUUCCAGUGUCCCCAAGUGUCUGUGUCCCCAGGUCUCCUAGUGUCUGUGUCCCCAUGUGUCCUAGUGUCUCAGUGUCCCCUAGUGUCUGUGUCCCCAUGUGUUCCCUAGUGUCUGUGUCCCCUAGUGUCUGUGUCCCCAUAUGUCCCCAAGUGUCUCAGUGUCCCCUAAUGUCUCAUUGUCCCCAAGUGUCUCAGUGUUCCCAGGUCUCCCAGUGUCUGUGUGCUAGUGUUUGUGUCCCCUAGUGUCUCAGUGUCCCCAUAUAUCCCCUAGUGUCUCAGUGUCUCCAUGUGUCCCCUAGUGUCUCAGUGUCCCCAUGUGUCCCUGCUGCCUUUCCCCCCAUCCCUCACUUACCUGAGCUGUAGAGCUGCUGUCUGGACUCUCUGUGCUGUGUAGCUGCUCCCCCACGGAUCAGUGAGUAGUAGAGAGAGGCAGGGAUAUUCUGUAACUUCCUAUCCCUGCCUCUCUCCACACACAGUGACCCCUACUGGCUGGUGCUGGUAUUGCAGAGUAAUUUCCAUUUAUUCUGAGAAAAUGACCUGCAUUUGUAUUGCCGGUAUUACUGCAAUACCGGCACGACCAGGCAGCCUCAAAUACCAUCUGUGCCAUUAAAAUACCAGUCAGGUGGCAAACCUAAGAGUAGUGUGUAAAAAAAAAAAAAAAAAAAUUUUUUUUUUUUUUUUUUAAAAUGGGCCUAUUCCAUGGGCCUGGGCCUGGAGCUGCAGCUCCAUCAGCCCCUAUGUUAAUCCGGCCCUGUGCAUGCUGCAAGAAUCUUCUCCGUCUUCGGAAACAUGUACUUAUGUGAACAGAUGUUUUCCAGAAUGAAGCACUCCAAUUCAAAAUUGAGGACAAAGAGUGCUGAUAAUAAUCUGGAGCAAUGCCUACCACAGAUAUAGUUCCCAAUAUUAGAAACAUAGAAACAUAGAAUGUGACGACAGAUAAGAACCAUUCGGCCCAUCUAGUCUGCCCAAUUUUCUAAAUACUUUCAUUAGUCCCUGGCCUUAUCUUAUAGUUAAGAUAGCCUUAUAUCUAUCCCACGCAUGCUUAAACUCCUUUACUGUGUUAACCUCUACCACUUCAGCUGGAAGGCUAUUCCAUGCAUCCACUACCCUCUCAGUAAAGUAAUACUUCCUGAUAUUAUUUUUAAACCUUUGUCCCUCUAAUUUAAGACUAUGUCCUCUUGUUGUGGUAGUUUUUCUUCUUUUAAAUAUAGUCUCCUCCUUUACUGUGUUGAUUCCCUUUAUGUAUUUGAAUGUUUCUAUCAUAUCCCCCCUGUCUCGUCUUUCCUCCAAGCUAUACAUGUUAAGAUCCUUUAACCUUUCCUGGUAAGUUUUAUCCUGCAAUCCAUGAACCAGUUUAGUAGCCCUUCUCUGAACCCUCUCUAAGGUAUCAAUAUCCUUCUGAAGAUACGGUCUCCAGUACUGCGUACAAUACUCCAAGUAAGGUCUCACCAGUGUUCUGUACAAUGGCAUGAGCACUUCCCUCUUUCUACUGCUAAUACCUCUCCCUACACAACCAAGCAUUCUGCUAGCAUUUCCUGCUGCAGUCAUCAGAAAUAAUCACCCCUAAAUCCCUUUCCUCAUAUGUUGAAGUUAGGACUCUAUCAAAAAUUCUGUACUCUGCCCUUGGGUUUUUACGUCCAAGAUGCAUUAUCUUGCACUUAUCCACAUUAAAUGUCAGUUGCCACAACUCUGACCAUUUUUCUAGUUUACCUAAACCAUUUGCCAUUUGGCUUAUCCCUCCUGGAACAUCAACCCUGUUACAUAUCUUAGUAUCAUCAGCAAAAAGACAUACCUUAUUAUGUUAAUAAGUAUUAAUCAGUGUUCUCAUUAACUGAAUCAUGCAUUCCUUUCAUUGCUACUGUAUUGUAUAAAAGAGUUGUCUAUUGUGUGGCCCACGAUAUUUACCAAAUUUGAAUUUCAUAGUGGUCCUUGCCUUCCAAAUGGUUGCACACCUUUUACUUACAUGGCAUUAUAUUUAGGAACCUUUUCUGUAACUAGAAAAAUAGCUUUGAGACUCAUUCAUAAUUUGUAAACGUAGCUUAGUGACACAUUUAUCAACAGUAAUACCAUGUGUACUUGAGAAAUCUUAUAUCUCUAAUGUUAGAGGUGUCCCCAAUGCAUUGAUGAAGGCAGUGAUCCAGUUAUUGUAGGCCGUUGCUUGGGACCUUUACAUAUGUUGUUACCCCAAUAAAUUGGGAUGGGCGGCUGAAUUUGCAUUGCGAUCUCAAGGUAAAGAACCACUGCUCUAAACAGCUCUUAGCCUUGUGCUUAUUUAAUUUUGUAAUCAGCAUUGUACUCUUGUACAAAACCAAUUCUAGUAAUUAAAUAUUAUCAUUGUCAUGCAAUUUUGACCUAGUCCUCAAAUCUAUAUUGAACUUUUGGUUUUUGUUUUCCAUGGUUUUGCUGUGGUCUUCCUUUCCUUGAGUUAGAUUGUCCGGCAUCACUUUAGUUAGUAGAUGAUGUGAUCUCCAUAUGUUGUAGAACUACAACUCUCAUGCUGUUUUGCAUGCCUUUAGAAUGUUCUAGAUUGACAAAGCAUCAUGAAAGCUGUAGUUGUAAAACAUCUGGGGAUCAUCUUUUUGCAAAAAGUAUGUAGAAAAGGAAAAUUUGUCAAAUUAAAGGACCACUAUAGUGCCAGGGAAACAAACUUGUUUUCCUGGCACUUUAGGGUCUUUAGGUCCCCCCCACCCUCAGGGUCCCACUCCCGCUUGGCUGAAGGGGGAGGAAGAGGUAAAUCACUUACCUUUCUCCAGCGCCGGGCUCCCUCGGCGCUGGGGAACUCUCCUCCCUCUUCCGACGUCAGCGCUGAAUGCGCAUUCAAUCAGUUCAUAGGAAAGCAUUUCUCAAUGCUUUUCUAUGGACGGCAGCGUCUUCUCGCUAUGAUUUUCACAGUGAGAAGCACGGAAGCGCCUCUAGCUGAUGUCAAUGAGACAGCCACUAGUGGCUGGAUUACCCCUCAGUGUAAACACAUUCUCUGAAACUGCUAUGUUUACAGCUGCAGGGUUAACCCUAGAUGGACCUGGCACCCAGACCAUUUCAUUGAGCUGAAGUGGUCUGGGUGCCUAUAGUGGUCCUUUAAGAAUGCAUGCGGCAAGAAUAUUCUCCCUCUUCCGAAACAUGAACGUCUGUGAACAGAUGUUUUCCAGAAUAAAGCACUCCAAUUCUAUACAGCAUCCUACAUGGCUCUUUAAGUAAAGUGCUGCUGAAUAGCAGCAAAUGAAGUCGAGGAGGCAGGGCAAAGAGACUGUUAUAUAGGCAGUGGUGGAACUAAUGCAGUCGCAGGGGCCUGCGACCACGGUGCCCGCCAGCAUUGUGGUGCAGCUCCAGCAGCGUGGAAAAACCGCCGGGGCCGCAUUAAAGGGGCCCAAUGGGUGGCUCAUGCGCUUGGGGCCACCCGAUAGGAAUGAAUUUCCUGGGGCCCGGCCAGUGCUGCGACGCCUUAAGAGCAUGGCCGUGAUGACGUCAGAGCUGGGAGGAAGCCUUCACUUACUCCCAGCUAACAACGCGUCGCGCGGGAGGAGAGGAGGGAGUCAGAGUGGCAGUCACUGGACCCCAGGGAAGUCACUAUAUGUUUAAAAUGUUUUGCGUGUGUGUGAGGGAGAAUGGCUGUAUCAGUAUAUAUGUGUGUGUGUGUGUGUGUGUGUGUGUAUGUCUGUGUGUAUGUCUGUGUGUGUAUAUAUGUUUGUCUGCAUGUGUAUCUCUUUGUCUGUGUAUCGGUUUGUCUGCAUGGGUAUCUAAGAAGGGGCACAAUAUUGAGUUAAAUAUCACAGACAAUAAAGACCCAGUGUAAUCUUGUGAAAUGUAUAUUGCUUUUGUUAACAAGCAGGUGCAUGUGAGGGCUGUCAGAUUUUGGCAGCCUUGUGAUAUUUUAUUUUUCCCCCCUUUGAUAUAGAGUCUCCUAUUAACUUUUUAAUUGCAGACUGGAGUCAUCGUUCUGUAAAAAGGGAGAUACUAGACAACAUAUGUAACCAAAGAUUUUGUAAACCACUGCUCCAGUCUUAACAAAUUAUCAGGAAGAUGUAACUUUCAAAAUGAUCUAUUUAUACAUAAGUACCCACUUACUUUCAAAUCCGUCAAGUAGAAGAUAUAAAGUGUACACACCGCACUCCGGUAUAUGCACUAAGCGAUAAAGGAAGCGUUAGUUGCUGUGAAAGUUUUAUAGGAAUAGUACAGACACUACUUAAAUCCACCAGAGUGUAAUGCAAAGAUAACAACAUUUCUACAACUUCAAAUAUCUUUGCAUUGGAUAGAAGGGGAGAUAGAAAAUAAAACAUAAAAUCUAGAGUGAUCUUGAAAGUGUUUCGCAUCUGUGUAGACACUUUAUCAACAAUAUUUUAAAUACAGAUUUACACUCCCUUUCUCUUUUAAAUACAAGUCUGUACAAACGAAAACAAAACAGUCAUUGGUUCAAUAAAUACAUAUAUACAUUCAUAAAUAUAUUUUUUAUUACUUUUGGAUUAUAUAUGGACGCUAGCUGCACCGAGACAAGAUUUAAUUUCUAAUAAUUAAGGUGUGAGUGCCAAUUUCUCUAGCAAUAAAUAUGUAAGUACAUACAUACAUAGCAAGUGUUUUAAUCCAAUCAUUAAGUAGUAUCCUUUUGUCCUACAUGCAAGAAAAACUAAGUUGCUUUCCUGGCACUAUAGAUCUCUAAAGUGUCCAAUCCCUGCGUUACCGAAGGGGUUAAAAACCCCUUCUAUCACCAACCUCAGACGACAGCUCACUUUAGGAUUUCCCCAUAGGAAAUACAAUGCUGUCCUAUGAAGAUUUAGGUGACGCUGGAUGUCCACAUGCAUGGCGUGAGGAUGUCCAGGGUGAGUUAGGCGACCAAAAGUCGCCUAACGACCCUGAAGUCCCUCUAGUUGCUGUCGUGUUGCCAGUCACUAGAGGUGUAGUUAAGCCAUGAAGGUAAUUAUUGCAGUUAUUUAAUAACUGCAAUAAUUACCCUUGCAGGGUUAAGAGACCUGGGAAUAUGCACCCAGACCACUUCAAUGAGCUAAAGUGGUCUUGGUGCCUAUAGGGUCCCUUUAAGAACAACUACAACAUUGACUGUGAAAUCACCACAUGACUUAAACAGUAUUGCUUCAAAUCAUCAUUAGUCUAUAUUAAUAAUUUAAUAUAUUUCUGCCAUUUUCAGCUGUGAGAUCCAUUUAAUUGUGUUAAAAUCCUGUUGGUCAAUGAGUCACAGAGUAAUGUUACGUAAGUUUAGAAAAUCAUAGAAUUCUAAUACUUAAUGUCUUUUGGAUAUCUUUAUAAUACACUGAACAAUAGGACACUGCAUUAUGUAUUUCACAGCUGUUACUGUUUACAGAACAGUUUAUCAAUGUGAAAUUCAGAUAAAUGUUUUUUGCUGUAUAAGAGUAUUUACCCCAACUAAACAUGACUUGGAAAUAAUACUCUAAUGAUUAUGUAAGCUGGCGUGCUUUCCGAGAAUAUUAAAAUAUGGUUUGUGCACGGAAAGUGUGACGCUGAGAUGUCAGGGGAGAUUAGAAUUGGAAAUAGAUGAAUUGAUGGGAACCUGGGUUUCAGUAUUUGAAUUAAACAUUUGCAUUUUGUGAGCUUCUCUUACACAGGUUGACUGAAAUUAUGACAGGUGACAUGGAGUAACAGUGACAGGGAAAUUGUGAAAACUGACAGCCACUUCAUUCACGUUUUUGCAUAUUUUCAACAUGUACUCUUGCUUUAAAAAUAGGUAUUUAUCUCCAUAGAGAGAUAAAUCUUAAAGUAAAGACUUCAUUAAAAAGAAAUAUUCUUGGUGCAUGUAUAGAUCCUUUAAGUGUACCGGGUAAUGGUGUGUAUGUGUAGGGUCUGGUUAAAAAGGGUUGGAUUUCGAGCUGAGUAAGUGUUUGUCACCAGGAGUGUAACAAGGACCAGGGUGUGUGGUGGUUGAGUGUAAUUGUGUUGGGGUUAGCUGAGUGACUGUGUGGGGUUCGUCUGAGUGUGAUUGUAUGUAGGGUUUGACUGUGUGUGAAUGUGGAGUGAUUGGCCCCUCUUUUGGUCACUUCCAUAAGUCUGGCAACUCCCAGUGCUGACAUUAACAUGCUGUCUCAAUCAUUGGCACACACACUGUUUAACCUGCACAUACUUUUACUUACAGGCACACACUCUCAUUUAUGUGACACAUUGAUGGACAGACAAAUUCUGACAGACAGACACACACACAAACUCACAGACACACACACACCCAUUUACAGACACACACUCUCACUGAUACUGACACACACACACACACACAAAGUCUUUCCCCGAAAAUAAGCUUAGGUUGUAUAUUAGUUUUUCCCUUGAAAACACACUAGGGCUUAUUUUCAGAGGAUGUGUUAUUUCAGGGAAAACGGUAGCAAACAUGCUAGAAAGCAGGUCUAUGGUCGGGGGUAUCCCCCCGAACAUAGAUCAGUUCACUAGGGCAUGCUAUCCCGCAAAUCUAUGUUCGGGGAAACUUUCCCAAAUAUAGAUUAGCUUACUCGAGAAUGGAAUCUCGCAAAUCUAGAUUAGCGAACUAGCGACUAGGGCUUUUUAUAGAUUAAGGCAAAUAUAGAUUAGCGAACUACCGACUGGGGCUUAUUUUCACGGUAGGGCUUAAUUUUUGGGGGAUGUCUUAUUUUUAGGAAAACACCGAGCCACCCUACUGUUGUGAGAGCGGAUCCUUUCCUUGGAGACUCGGGAUCUAGUGCACCUGCUGUGAUCCUGUAAUCUCUGUGAUCUUCUUGGUCUGCUCCCUCAUGCGUCAUUUACUGAUACCAGGGCAAGAGUGAUGUCAUAUUCCUGUUCCUGCCACCACCAUAGGGUGCUUAAGGGAACAGUGCAAAAAGAGCACAAAGAUCACAGCUCCCUACAGCUCCUUCAUUGCCUGGCUCCUCCAUUCUAUCCCCGGACACACUAUAUUUGAACAGAGUAGGGACCUGCAGUUUGGAUAAGCUAGUGCCUACUCUGCCUUAGUGUAGAGCCGGCAGACUCCAGAGGGGCCCUUAGGCCAGCUCUUCAGCAUUCCAAGGCAGAUUACAAAGGACCCAUGUGCACUUGCGACCUCAGCGACCCCUGUAGUUCCACCACUCAUUGUCAAUCAGCAUGGGGCAAAAAGAAUAAGCAAGGGGUUAAGGUUGCUGUAAAAAUUGCAGUUUAGGGUUUGUUUGACUGUUAAUGAGGUGAUAAGUUUUGUUUUUUGUGUUAAGUUUUAGAUUAAAGGGUGUAAGUCAGUGCACUGGUCGAGACACCUGCCUGUUGCUGUUAUAAAAACUGGCAGAGGUAGGGACUUUCGGGAAGAAAACAUCUCCUCCCUUUACUCAAUCUUCAGUUGUCCAGUGGUGAUCAAUACUGCAACGUGUACAUCUAACAUUUUCCAUAAGCGUCUGUAGUUGUCAUGCUAAUGGGUCACUCGUCUUUAUAAGAAGUUUUAACCUGAAGAUUUGUACUUACUGCUUCAAUAUGAGCCAUUUGAUUGGAUAAUGCACAGCACUAGCAAGGGAGUACAGGUGUUGGCCAAAAAGGCGACAGGCCUUUACAAGCUGCAGAGGACAGUUCUGCAGCUAAUGAAAGGAAUGUUUUAGACAUAUUUGAGCACAUUUUUGUAAUUUGCCUUUAAAUAGACCAAGAGCACAAGGUGAAUCAUACGUGUUGGAAAUAGUGCCCCGUCGGUCAUUGCCUGUAGGUGGGUUCCAAAUGGCAAAUCCAAGCCCUGACCUGGCAGCUAUGUAAAAUGAAAAUAUAAUUGAAGAGACAAAUGACUAGCCAAAUAUGUUGGAAAAAAAAAAAAAAUCUCCAGUGUAAUUUGGGCUACUUUAGCUUAAAAUUUCCAGAAAGUUUGAUUACUAUAACGGUUUCUGGUAAAUAAUCCCCAGAAUGACAUUACUGGUUUGCUUUAUGCAUAUUUUGCCUUAUUCACGUAUAGUGGGACGUUACCACAUUGCCUACAUACAUUCCUGCCACAAAGUUCAAUUGUGUUUUUCUUUUUUAAUGCUUUUUUUCUAGGUCAUUUAUUUACAGACAUACUUUGAAACAAUUAACUGUAUGAUGGUAACAUUCAGAAGAAUUAUAAUAUAUACCAUUCCAUUGAAUUUAAGCCUUCUGGCUCCAUCAACUGGGCCAACAUUGUACUGCAUUUCUAAGGCCCUGAACUCUUUUUUUAUGAAUCUUAGAAUGUUUGAUAUGGUAAGGAAUUUUACUCAGGUGAAAUGUUCUUAGCCACUGACAUGAAAGGGCUGAGUGAAACCAAAAGCUUUCAAUAUUAUUAAUGUAAUCCUACUGAAGUUAAGGAAUAUUAUUUAAAUAAAAUAAAAAUAAAAAAAAUCUCCCACCUUUCAACAAAGUAGGUCUGUACUUCACAAGAAAUUACCACUUAUUUAAAUAAUGUAUUACUUUCAAUUUAGUUACAGAUUAGAGAUGUCUGAAAUGCCCAAGGUGGGUGAGAUAGACUAGAAGAAAGUUCUAUAAGACACAUUUUGAAGAAAACUCUGUAUUCGGUUGUGUAUCACAAGGUAAAAGCCUAGUUCGUGUUUUACUAAUUCUUCACUACUUGGGGAUUUAUUCACCGAGUCUCAAUUUCUAUGUUGAGAUCUAGGUGACCAAAAAAUCCCAUAGUUUUUAUAUUUAUGUCAUGCAUAUAACAUUUUAACAGUGUUUAGCUUUGAAACAAUGAUACAAUCAUUGUAAUAUGCCAAAAUUAAAUAAAACUUGUAACAUAAUUUCAUUUCCAAGAAUGGCCUGGGGUAUUGAUACCUGAUGCCUUGUGCUUGAAUCUCAAAACAUAAUGUAUUAAUCUCCGAACGAUGGCCAGCUGAGUUGCUCCAACUUGGAAUCAAACAUAGAACCAUGUGGCUUGUGUAGGACCAAGUAUAAUAACAAACAAAGCUGUCUCUGAAGAACAUAGACACUCCUGCAAUUGUUGAAAAUAAAUUCAUAUUUUAGUUGUUUGUGUUUUUGUAUGUGUGUGUAAAUAUUUUAAACAAUCCAGAUUUGUCCAUUAAGAACAAUAUAAACCAUACGGUUUUAAUAUCCCUUGCCCAUAACCAGGUCAUAUUAGACUGUGUUACAUUUUAUUUUAUAAAAGGAAUAAUAAUGAAAUAUAAUUUAACAUGAAAGUUGAAAUAUCCUGUUGCAAUUGAAAAGUUGAACUGUUCCAAACCACUUUAUGAAAGCUCCUAGAGUUUAAAUCCUGAGCAGCAGGGGAUAAGUGAAUUUAAUAAUAUGGUUUAAUUAAUUAAAUAGCUGUGUGCAGUUGUUUCUAUUUUCAUAAGACUGUAGCAUCGGUUGUGGUAAGGUUGUACUUAGAACACAAACAUGUAUUUGUGGCAUGUUUCAGUCAUUUCCUAUCUCUUUUCAGCUUCCUGCAUAAAUCUGAAAUAAUAUCUGGAACAAAGUCCAAAAUUUGCCGCAAUCCAUUUUACGGAACCGUUAAUAUAUAUGGACAUGUGGCUAUUGGUUUACCUUGAUAAAUAGGGUCAAAAGAUGUCUCACUUCCUUCCUCAUCGCGUCACAUUUAAAAACCUCUAAAAAUUGCCAAAACAUUUUCAAGCUGGUAUGACUCUGGAUUCUGGAAGUGUGACUAAUUUGUCAAUAAAUAAAUAAACCUCCAGGACACCUCCACUCGGUUACACUAAAGACCAUGAAGACUGCACAUUAUGUAUUCUUUUCAGUAACGCCUUUACAAUGUGAGUCAAUGAUACCUACUUCUGCAAAGAUUGUGUAUCUUGAAAACAAAGUAUGCAAGACAAGCAAAAGCAGGAAUAAACAUUUGAUCUUCCUUAUUUGGGCACUUCUUGUUGUGUUUAAAACUUACCAGUACUAGGAGAUACCUGUGGCCCCUUCCUAUACAGAGGGCCAGGUGAUUUCCAGCCUCCUGGCCGUGAUUUUAUGUAGGUCUUACCCACCUAAGGGGAUAAUUCCUUAAUAUACGUGCAUCAUGUGCCUAGACCCCAAUGGUCCUUUAAAAAAAAACUGCAUACCUCCUUCACACUAAUAGAUACUAGCGAGGAACACUCAAAUCCUCUAAGCAAUUAGUAAUCACCAGUAAAAAUGUACUUCUAUUUACUUGUCAAACUCGUUACUGAAGAUCUAUCUUCAAUCCUUAUUGAUGAACUAAUAAGAUCAAACACAUGUAUCACUAUGGAGAGCUGUAACUUUGCAACAAGCCCUAUAAUUACAGCAAAUAUGGAUUUAAAACCUUUCCUAUUGAGAAUCAUUAGAAGGAAAAAACAAAUGUAAUCUAAAGACCUAAAUGGGAGUCCAGGAGACCAGGUCACAUUUGCAACAUAUAUACCUUGCUAUAAGAUCUUUAUAAACAGUACAUUAGCCAUCAUACAUAAUUUCCCCUUAUUCCUGACCCUAUAGUGUUAAAACCACCAUCGAGAUCUCCUGACCCCCACCUGCUCCUCUAAAUAGCAAAAUCCUGCUUGUAUUCCAGUCUGCUGCUAUUGGCUCUACUCCUGUUCUGCCUGCUUGACUGACAUCAUCAGAUGUGGGGUUCUGAGCCAAUCACAAUGCUUUCACAUAGGAAAUAAUUAGAUUGACGGAGAACGUCAAGGAAGCAGAUCAGGGGCAUAGCCAGCACUGCCCCAGGAAGCAUCUCUAGCAGCCAUCUGAGGAGUAGCCAGUGGAGGUAUCCCUAGGUUGUAAUGUAAACACUGUAUUUUCUCUGUAAACUCAGUGUCUACUGCAGAAAGCCUGAAGGGAAUGAUUGUACUCAGGACAAAUACAAUAAACGGCAGUCGUUCUGCUGACUAUAUUGUCCCUUUAAGAUACCUUGUAUGAAAUCUGGCAAUGAUAAUAUUAGUGCUGCGUUAUCUAUUAAGGUGUGGUUAGGGUUAGGUCUAAUGACGAAGUAUGAUUCUCACGAGUAGAUAUCAUGUUAUGAAUGAAUGUUUCAUCUCAUUCUAAAAUGUAAUUGGGGAAUUUUAGUGCAGCUUCCUACUGGAGUCAAAUAAAAGUUAAGUAUUAACUUUAUUAUUCCGGUAUUUUUUGUGCUACAACAUGUAAUGUGGGGACUGCCUUCUAUGCGCAAACCAUUUUGUUUUGUAAUCUUUAAAUUCUGCUUUCUGAUGAGACCUAAUCUUUAUUUAUUAAUUACAAUGACUCCACAUUAAUUUUGACCUACUACUUAAUUACUUAAUUGUGUGAAUCUACCCGAUGUUAGUUUGAUAACUCGACAGCACCCUCUGCUGACUAAAUAGAAAUGUGUACAUUUAUAUAAUGCGGGUAUGCAAAUUAGUGCCAGCAAAUAAGUAGUUAAAUGUAUGUAUUGUUGCUUUUUAUUGUUUGAAAAAGAACUUGUAUGAUGCAUUUUUAACUGUUAAUUCUAAUUGCUUGUUAUCCAAUGUUCUGCAUGUUUAUAUUUUACAUGAUUUUCACCACAUAUUUAAGGACACGUCACCAAAGAUAGUCCUUGUCCAAAAAUAAAGAAUUGUGUGUUAGUUCAAUUUGGGAACUGUGUGUCCUGUCUGGUUUGUUCAGAAAUCCCUGUAACAGAGUUUUCAGACCUGCUGGCUGCACUGGUCCCUGUUUACUUGGACAAGUUAAGGAAGGGGCAUUGGCGGAUAAUUAAAUAAAUACAAAAAAUUAUUUAAAAAAACCCUACCCUCCUUCCCCCCUCAUGCACACACUACCCCACACACACACACUGCCCCACAAACACUGCCACCCAUACAUACAAUGCCUCACACACACACUGCACACCCCUCCACAAACACACUGCCCCCACACACACACACUGCCCCACAAACACUGCCACCCAUACAUACACAGCCUCACACACACACACUGCCCCACAAACACUGCCACCCAUACACACACUGCCUCACACACACACACACACACACACACUGCACACCCAUACAUACAGUGCCCCACAAACACUGCCACCCAUACACACACACUGCACACCCAUAUACACAUUGCCCCACACACACGUCCCCCCAUGCACACGACCCCCCCAUACACACACUGCCCCACACAUACAUACAGUGCCCCACACAUACAUACAGUGUCCCCAUACACACAUACAAGAGCCCUAGAUUUUUUUGAACGCCUUCAUGGCACCCCCCACCUGGGCCGUUAACUUAUGAGGUAAGUAUCCUUAAUUUUCUGAAUGACUGUUUCAACGGAAGGGGUCUCCUUUUAAGCCAUACAUGUGCUAGAGCCCUCCUAGCUGCCAGAUUCAACUUGUGUACAAACUUUUGUUAUGUUUUCGUCCAAUCUUCCAUGGGUCUAGCUAACAAAAACACCCAAAGAUCUAAUUUAACAUCUCUCGAGAAUAUCCCUCGGCAAAUCAAAUAUGCCACCUUUGCUUCCCAUAUUUCCUGACACUCAACCCCCUCUAGCGGUUCACCUAGGUCAGCUUCCCAUUGGUCAGUAUAUGUCAACUCUCCCCAUUCUAAGAUAGUGGUGCUAAGGUGGGCGUAUAGAACAGAAAUCAAGCCCCUCUGGAAUUGCUCCCGAGAACUUUUCGAAAAACAUGAGCUGUUGUAAUGCAGCCUUCCUGACCUGGGCGUACUGAGCAUAGUCCCUAAGCUGGAUGUAUCUAAAGAAAUCAGAAGUUUAUAGGGUAGUCCUAGUUUUCAGCUCAAAGGUUAUGAAAGAGACUCAAAUUGAGGUCAAAGAUGCUGCAGUACUGCAUGUUUUAAACCUUUAAAAUUGUGUGCUCUCAAACCUGGGGGGAGGAGAGGGGAUGCGGAAGAGGACAAGCUGUAUUCUCAAGCAACAGAAUCCCACAGUGAGUUUAAGAUUUAGGAUAACCUGUUCGAAGGGAAGGUUGAUGGUCUUUCAGUACCCACAUGAAAAACUGUGGUAGGUCUGAACCCAUUAGUUAAGAUGCUAGAUUCUUUCCUCUGGGGUAGAAUGCCACAGGGCAAUCUGGGUUAAUUGGGCCGCUAAGUAUUAGAAAUAUAAAUUUGUUAGGCUUCGUCUUGCCCUGUAGAGAAUGUUGCCGGAAACUGUUUAUUUUGACAUAUCAAGUUGCCUUUAGCCUGUUGAAGAGUGGUCAGGUUGGAUUUGGAUAUCUGGACUGGUAAGGCUUGGAAUAGAAACAGUAUUCUAGGCAACACAUUCAUUUUUACAGAGUGGAUCCUGCCUAUCCAAGAGAUUGGCUUGUCAACCCACUUUUGCAUAUACUCUAUGAGAUUCCUGAACAUUGGAACGUAAUUUUUUGGGUAAAGUAGGGCAGGAUCCGCCGUCAGCCAAACACCCAAAUACUUAAUAUGAUGAGCUAUAUGGAUGUGGUAUGUCUGGCCAACGUGUGCCAUGUCCGCUGACGAUAGGCCUAUAGGAAGGGCACUUGACUUGUUCAAGUUCACUUUGUAUCCUGCUAAUUUGCUGUAAGUCUCCAACACUCCUGUCAGUGCUGCCAUAGAUUCCUUAGGGCGUGUUAAGGUUAACAACACAUCUGCAAAGCCCGAAACUACAAAUUGCUGGCCUCCAACUGUUACCCCCCCGUAUGUCCGGGUUGGAUCUAAUGGCUUUUAAAAGUAGCCCCAAAGAGAGGACAAACAGCAGGGCUGAUUGGGGCACCCUUCUGGUGCCAUUACUCAGUUGAAAUGGUGCGACCUGUGCCCCAGAUAUCCGGAUCUGCGCCCUAACAUUGGUAUAGAUAGCUAAAAUUGCUACGAUGAACGGAUCAGAGAUGCCAAAAAUUCAAACAGAUAAGACCAUUUAAACAAGCGACAGGAUCAAUGAUGGUGUGUUAGUGGCAACCAGUCUCCAUAUGAUAUCCACGUUGUAUCCGGUAUUUGCGAAUAGUUGCCUGCUGAAAUAAACCCAACUUGAUCCGUGUUAAUCAAAUGCGUUAACAUGGGGUUCAAUCUGUUAGCAAGAAUUUUUGCCAAAACCUUAGAAUUUUGGUUUAUUAGGCAAAUUGGUCAAAAGUUUGCUGGUUUAGAGUCAUCCUUAUCAGGUUUCGCACCCGCUACAUUGGAAGAGGUUUCUGCUCUGCUCCAGUCCUCCCGCCCCACCACCUGCUCCCAAGAUCCAAUUCCCUAGCAUCUCAUCCGUACUCUGUCUUCUUCUCUUUCUCCACCUCUCACAAAAAUUCUCAAUCUCUCUCUCUCCUCUGGCAUAUUUCCAUUGCCCUUCAAACAUGCAACUGUAACCCCAAUUCUAAAGAAGCCCAAACUUGACCCUAACUCCCCAUCCAACUAUCGUCCUAUAUCGCUACUGCCUUUUGCAUCCAAGAUCCUUGAAAAAAUUGUGUAUGCGAGAUUGACAGACUUCCUCAAGUCCAACUCUCUGCUAGACCCGCUUAAGUAUUGUUUCCGCGCUAAGCACUCUGUGGAAACGGCACUGACCAAAGUAUCCAAUGAUCUACUCGCUGCAAAAUCUCGUGGUCACUACUCUAUCCUAAUUCUCCUUGACAUGUCUGCGGCUUUUGGCACUCUUGAUCAUCAACAGCUUCUUCUCAUCCUCCGCAUUAUCGGUCUACAAUAUAUUGCUCUCUCCUGGUGCUCCUCCUACCUCUCCCAGCGCUCUUUCAGUGUUUCUUUCUCUGGCUCUGCUUCUUCUCCCCAACUCCUCUCUGUUGGUGUCCCCCAAGGUUCAGUCCUUGGUCCCCUACUGUUCUCCAUCUAUACUGCCUCCCUUUGUAAACUCAUUAGCUCCUUUGGCUUCCAAUAUCAUUUCUAUGCAGAUGACACGCAAAUCUACCUGUCCUCUCCUGAUCUCUCCCCAUCCCUCUCGACUAGUGUCUCUGACUGCCUCUCUGCUGUUUCUAAGUGGAUGGCUGCCCACUUCCUUAAACUAAACUUGACCAAAACUGAAAUUCUGGUCAUUCCUCCCUCAAGUGUUGUUACUCCUGUGUCUGUCUCCCUCCAAGUCAACAGUGCUACCAUCAGCUCCACCAUGCAGGCUCGCUGCCUAGGUGUUCUCUUUGACUCCGACCUCUCCUUCAAGCCUCAUGUUCAAUCUAUUGCCAAAUCCUGUCAUUUCCAUCUCAAAAACAUUGCGCGCAUCCGCCCCUACUUAACGCCAGAUGCAACUAAGGUGUUGGUCCAUUCCACUGUCCUUUCUCGCCUUGACUACUGUAAUCCGCUUCUCAGUGGUCUUACGUGCUCCCAACUAGCGCCGUUACAGUCCAUAAUGAAUGCGGCGGCGAGGCUCAUCUUCCUGUCCGCCCGCACCUCCCAUGCCUCACCCUUCUGUCAGUCCCUACAUUGGCUUCCUAUAAAAUAUAGAGCUCAAUUUAAAAUUCUGGUUCUUGCCUUCAAAUCUCUACAUAAUGCUGCUCCCACCUAUCUAUCCUCCCUUAUACACAAGUAUGUCCCGUCUAGGCCCUUACGAUCUGCUGAAGACUUACAUCUAUCUUCUGUCCGUACUCCCACCUCUGAUAUUUGCCUUCAAGAUUUCUUGAGGGCUGCACCGUUCCUGUGGAACUCACUUCCCUCCUCUGUUAGAUGCUCACCCAGUCUCCACUCCUUCAAAAAAUCGUUAAAAACCCACUUCUUCAUAAAAGCGUAUGAAUUAAACUGUUAAUAGCUCCUGACUGAUUCCUCUUCUGCAACUGUCACUAGUCUAAUACUAUAUUUACUUUUUGUGUCAUUUUACCCCACUCCCUCUAGCAUGUAAGCUCAUUGAGCAGGGACCUCAACCCCUCUAUUCCUGUGUGUCCAACUUGUCUGGUUACAACUAUAUGUCUGUUCGUCCACCCAUUGUAAAGUGCCUCAGAAUUUGACGGCGCUCUAUAAAUAUCAUCAUAAUAAUAAUAAUAACACUAUAUUUGCCAGAGACAUGUCUAUCAGAUAUAACCACUUCCAUGGUCAUUAAACCAGGACUCUAAGUGGGGCGACAAUUUGUCGCGAAAUGUUUUGUAAUAACUGCCUUUGAAAUCCUAAAUAGGAGAUAUAUAAUACCAGCCUCAGGGAGUGCAAUCCUGCAGCUAUACUGCCCCCCACCCCCCCCAGCAGCCCCCACCAGGGAAAGGGAUGGGAAGGAAAGUAUAGGGCAAGAGGAAGUAGAGGAAAUAGGAAGACAAAAAAGAAACAAAGAAAAAAAAACAUUAACAACCUGGUCUUACCAAUAGCCAGACAUGGGUGGGGCACAUGUCCCAGCCACUCCCGAACACCAUCAGCUCUCUGGAGCCGCGGGGACAUAGACCAACACUAUGGUGCACCACAAAGGUGCCAACAUAUAAACCAUCUGUUACACAGACAUACCCUUACAAUUGGGAAUAGGUCAAAAACAUAUCCCAAGGCCCAAAGCCACCCCAUUUAGAAAAAAGAUCCCAGCCCCUCACCAUUAGAGUAACAAUAUGCGAUUAGAAUGAUCUUGUAGAGGAAAAAGAUUUUCAUAACAUUCUCAAGAGGCAGCAAUAACCCCCCCCCACUCCCAAUACCCAUGUCCAGUGCCCACCUAACAAUAAUAAAACAAGCUGGAGGAUGGAUACACCCGAAACAAUAACCAUAAGUGUGAGCUCCUCACACCAACCUGGGGUAAAAACCUGAACCACAAGGUCUGCCCCACCCUAUAGAACCCAGGUACGUGGUAAAAUAAUCUGAGCGCCCCAUUCGUUCGAGCAUGGCCGCCAUACCCAGGCAAGAAAAUUGUCAGCAGUGGUGCCUCUGGAAAUCACGGGCCAUACGCUGAUGACAAGGCAGGGGUAGUAGUGGGGAUCGUUGCCAGAACGGGGUGCAGUAAGGAACCAAGUGAAGGAAUGUCUCCCAUUUAUGACACACUGCCCCUAUAGUUAAAGCUCAGUGAGCAUACAGCCUGCCAUAUCAAACACAAGAAUUCAAAACGAAAAUAUAUGCGACCCCAGAAAAACAAAACCCAAUACCUCCCCCGUCAACCUUGCUGUAAUAUGUUUCGUGCGUGAUUUUUUUUAUUUUUAUUUUGUUUUCUCUCUCAUAUUUUUUCCUUUUUAAUUUUUAAAUUUUUUUUAGGAUCCUUCCUUUUUUUAUGUUGUGUUUUUUUUGCCUUUUUGUCAUUUUGUCCCCCCUUUUCUUUUAUUUACCUAGCGGAGGUGUCACUGCUACAAAAGUCUCCCAGAGGUAGAGGGUCCUGCGAAGUUUGCAGUUUUCUGAUAACGUUAGUAUGUUAUUUGUUGACAUUUUAUGCCUGCCCCAUGCUCAUGGUCGGCAAAAUAACACCAGAGUCCCGCUCCUUGCCCCCCCCAAGCACCCGCCACAACCCAAGAUCAACCGGCGCCCGCAAUGUCCCAGGAACAACAAAGCUUCUCCCAUCCAUGGGAAGUAAAACCCUAGCCCGCUCAAUCUUGGUAAGCAAUCCCACCCCAACCGUCACCCCAUAUGGGCAUAACAACCCAGGUAGCCGCUUCGGGCAGGUGGACGUUAACAAGCCCGUUGUGGGACAGACCCAAUUGGCCCACCACCCAACAAAGACAAAGCAGGUCCCCACCCCAGGUAGGCCCCCAGCGAGGCUAAUCCCUCGCAGCCAGCAGACUACGACAAAGGCCCCUCUGCCACCAGAUAUCACUCGCCCACGGAAUACCAAUCACGCGAGAGAGGGGAUGCAAUACCUCUGCCGAGGUGCUGGGGAAUGCCAAAUCCGUUGGAACCAUCCAGGUGUAAAACUCGGGUGCACCCAUCUUUGAACUGGGUGGACUCCACCCGUUGUUCCAACAGCGCCAUCCUCAUGCCCAAGGCCUGGAUCUCUGCUUUAACUUUGUUGGUGGUUCUGGCCAUCUCCAUGGCUAGGUAAGUAGCCAAGAUCUGCACCGUGUCAGCCACUGGAGUGCCUGGUGCAGCACUAUUCUCAGUGCUAGAUGGUGAUUGUGGUACCCUCGGGCUCGCCCUGCUACCAUUUUGGGAACCUGACCCCAUGGCUUGUGAGGCCAAGAACAGAUCAGAGACCGUAACAAACUGUUCCAGCUGCUUCUUGGGCUGUUUUUUCUGGGACCUCUUAUCCAUGCUGCGUCCCCCAGGUCAGUGUUAGAACCUGUCUAAAUGCAUUGCCGAAUCCUUGAGGUUAUGUCCACAUUCAGCAAUUAACUCCGCCCGCAUGAUGACGCGCGGCUUCCCUGCCAUAUAGGGAAGACUCGUCUAAGUCUAAUUACUUGGUGAUUUUGGCUUGUGAGGGGAAUGCUCAUCUAAGCUCCUGAUUCUCAUCAGUUGUUACUCGAAUUAACUUUGUUCCUGCUUUCUCAAAAACUCCUAAUUCAAAGAUUCAUCAUCUCUCAAGUAUUCUGGAAGGAAGGAUUAACUACUGAAGAUCUUCCUAAAAUCAAUCUGAAAUCAAAUAAGUAUCUCUUACUUUCUUUGAAGUAUCUCCUGCUUUCACCUUCUUGCUAACUAUUGCUGCAGGCUGCAAUUAACUCUUUAGUUCCAUCUCUACAAUUGACUCCUCAAUGUAUCAUUGAUAUUGAUUACUAAUCCUGCUACAAUACCUUCCAUGGACAUUGCUUAAUAUUGCUUAUUGCCUUUGGACAAUAUCACUAAUAGCAAGCCUGCUCUCUUUAACUAUUGGGGACUAAUUCUCAUCUAUUGUUGCUGCUUAUGUCAAACCUCUGCCGAGAUUGUUUACUUCUGCCUGCUUCUGCUUCAACACUAAUACUGUGGAAAUGAAUUGCUUUUGCUUGUUACAAUCUCUGCUGAAGAACUACAGAUCUUGCCUAUAUUGCCUGCUACUAUAUCUGCCAUUAAACCCGUGUACUACAUUGUAUUCUAAUUAUUCUAAUCCUGCAAAAAAUACUUAAAAUGCUUCUUUACGUCUGCAUAUUAUGCCAAUGACCUAAUGCUAUUUGUUUAAUUAUCUCUGCGAGACUGAGAGUUAAAGUCUCUCAAACUUUAUUUGGAUCAAAUUAAAGACUUCUAAUCCAAGAGGACAGGGAUGUAUUUACCCCAAGGCAAACAAGGCAUUUGCCUAGGGCGGCACUUCCAGGGGGGGCGCCAAAAAAAAACGCCACCCCAAGCUCCCAUACAAAUGCCUUGUUUGCCUUAUGUUCUGGGGCUGUCCACCUUAUGGUGAGUGAGUGUAGCUGUCAGUGUGUGUCUGUGAGUGAGUGAAAGUGUGUUUCUUUCAGUGAGAAUGGGUGUGCCUGUGAGUGUGUUUCAGUGUGUGUAUGUCAUUUUAUGUGUAUCUGAGAGUGUGUGCCUGUCAGUGUGUGUCUGUCAGUGAAAGUGUGUGUUGGUUAAAAAGUGUGUGCCAAUGACUGUGUAUCUGUCAGUGAGUGUAUAUCAGUGCAUGUAUCAAUGAGGCCAUGUGUCUGUCAGUCAAAAAAGUGGCCUUGACACGAAUUGGGGAGACAAAUUUAGAUUUUGGGGGUGCCCGAAUUUAGUCGUGCCUAGGGCAGCACAAAUCCAAAAUACAACACUGCAAGAGGAAUCAAUUUCUCCCUUUAAAUUCUUAAAGUCACAGUUACAAUGUAUUUCUGCAGUUGUGUUCCACAAAACUCUAAGUUCUCCUUUUUGAAAGUGGUAACAGUCAGAGAUCUGCAAAAUCCGUGAAAUAAAUGCUUAUGUUAGCUGUUGGCCUCGUGGAGCUUCACUCGGACACAUCCGGCUCGCUCCGACAACAGACCACGCCACCCACGAGAUCCUUUCUAAAGACAGUAGCUGGAGACAGUGAAGGCAGAGGUGAUGGUGUCUGCCUGGGAAAGAAAAAGAAGAGGCAAAUGUUCGGUAGAAGAUCCCAGAGAUCCCAGUCAAGCUUUGGUGACUGAGUCUAAAGCACUCCAGGCGGAGGUACUCAGUCAAAGUACAGGAGCUUAACUACCAAGGCAAACCUCUUAGGUGAACAGAUAUAGAGUAUAGGUACUCACUACGUACUUAAAAGUUAGAUAAAGGCUGCGGUUUAUCACACAAGUAUUCCCCAACCUUGUGAAAACACAAAAAUAGACAAAAACAGAAAAUAGAUAACCUGAGCUUUAAAAACUUUAAAUCUUUGGGUGAAAUCACACACAAGAUGUAUACCUCGUGUGUGAUUUCACCCAAAGAUUUAAACCUCUUAGGUGAGUGCAUAUUAACAAGUCCUCAAUGCUCUCAGCUAAAAAGGAAAAUCUCUAAAGAGGCAGAAAUUGGCAUUUUUAUUAACACCUACAACAACCCAUACAAUAAUUGUUAUUAUAUUUAGAUGUAAGUCAUGCAAUUUAGCUUGUUUCUGUGCCUACGUGUGCUUGUGAUGUAAACCCUGGACUCAAGCAAGACACUCUUUUUCACUUUUGGGAUGAAGGCUCCUGGAUCCUUUUGAGAGUAUCUCUUUUUUUGGUACUCAUUGUUGGUGAGCACCCUCUUUGAAAAGCACUGCAGGUAACUCAGUAACAUAAAAAAUGUAUAAUGUUAUAGAUGUGUGUUUAUAUUUAUUAUUAUUUAUUAUUAUGUACUAUUACACAAGUUAUUGCAUUUUGAAAUUAUCCGUAAUUGUUCAUUGCAAUUAUAUAGAAAUAAAUAAAAUAUAUACAUACAAAUGUACACGUGAAACUGAAUAUUUUAGAAUGUGUGUCAAAAAUGUUAAAAGCCUCAGAAAAUAUUAGGCAGAGUAAAAACAAAACAGCAUAUGAAAAUAGUUAACAAUUCCUGGAAAAAUAAAAACUUUGUACUCUAUGCUUGCUAAUCCUUCAGUAAUUUGCUUAAUGAUAGUACAGGCUGUGUUUUACACAAAAGUACAUAUAAAUAAUGUAAUUGUGCAAACAUUAUUUUAUCAACUUCAGUAAUAUUGGGAGAAUAAAUUAAAAAUAUAUUCACAUGCAAGUCUUUUAAAUUGAACCCAGAAUGUAAAACAAAACAGGAAAAAAACACAAUAUUGCUCACUUUGAUCCUGCAAAAGUUAAGAUGAACCAAUUUCCGAACUGCUGACUCACAGAGCUGUGAGUUCAUGUAUCAGUCUCCGAUCAUACAACAUUAAAGCCACUGACAGAUAAGUGAAUAACUUUGAUUAUAUAAUUACAAUGGCAGCUGUUAAUCGGUGGAAUAUAGUAAGCAGCAAGUGAACAGACAGUUACUGAUUUUCAUAUGUUGGGGCAGGUAAAAUAGGCAAGUGAAGAAAUCUGAGUGACUUUGGCAAGGACAAAUAGUGAUGGCUAGACAACUGGAUCACAGUAUCUUCAAAAUGGCAAGUCUUGUGGGGUGUUCCUGGUGUCCAGUGGUUAGCACGUACCAAAAUUUGUGUCAGGAACAACUGGGUCAUGGAUGCCCAAGUAUCAUUGAUGCAUGUGAAGAGAGAAGACCAGCUUGGCUGUUACAAUCACUCAGAAAAGCUAUUGUAGCUCAAAUUGCUCAAACACUUGCUGCUGGCCAUGAUAGCAAGGUGUCAGAACGCACAGUGCAUUAUUGUUUUCUGUGUAUGGGUCUGCAUGCGCAUGAUGACCCCAGUCCACUGUUGAGAGUACCUUCAAUGUGGACCUGAAUGUCAGAAGUGGACCAUGGAGCAAUGAAAGAAGGUUGCCUGGUCUGAUGAAUCAUUUUUUUUCUUUUAGAUCAGGGGGAAGGCCAGGCGUGUGUGCAUUGUUUACCUGAGGAAAAAAUGGCAGCCAGAUGCACUAUGGGAAGAAGGCAGGCCAGUGGAGGCAGUGUUAUGCUUUUGGCAAUGUUCUGCCGGGAAACCUUGGGUCCUUGAAUUCAUGUAGAUGUUACUUUGACACGUACCACCUAUCUAGCGAUUGUUGCUAACCACGUACACCCUGUCAUGGCAAUGGUGUUCCUUUAAGGCAGUGGCCUCUUUCAGUAGGAUAAUGCACCCUGCCACACUACAAAAAUUGUUCAGAAAUGGUAGAAGGAACAUGACAAAAAAUUUCCCAGAUCUCAAUCUGAUUGAACAUCUGUGGGAUGUGCGGGAAUAUAUAUCUGAUCCAUGGAGGCCCCACGUUGCAAUUUGCAGGAUCUGCUGCUAAUGUCUUGGUGCCAGACGCCACAGGAGGUCUUGUGGAGUCCAUGCCUCAUUGCAUCAGAACUGUUUUGGCAGCACGAGGGGAACUUAUACGAUAUUAGACAGGUGGUUUUAAUGUUGUGGCUGAUCAGUGAACAUGUAUAUAAACAAACAAAAUAAAUGGCACAGGACCAUAUGAUAUUAGGAAAUGUACUUGUCAGGGGUGGCGGUCCGUUGACCGGGACCCAGUAUGCCUGAUCUUGAUAGUAGGAGUCACUGGUGCAGGGUAAUCACACGCCCCCUGGUGUUGAUCACCAGUGUUUGUGCGGCCACAUACCAGGGCCCUGAUGCAGCUUCUGCGGAUCCCAGGUGCCAGAUGUCAAGAAAAAGACCUCCCAGGAUCUGAAUAGGGAGGCUCUGCAGCAGAUAUGUAUCCAGUACAGAAACAAGGUAAGACUAGAAUAGACACCAAACAAGAAAACAAGACAAAACUAGGAGAACCGAGAACCGGAGCAGGACAGAAAGCAGAACCCAGAACAUGUACACAAGACAUGAGGAAAACAAGAACAGGGCAGGACAGGACUGUACAUGAACUGGGAAUACAAGACAAAACAAGACAAGAGAUACAAGGCAAAACAAGAGGAGACAACUAAGUACUAUAUAUGUAAAACAUUGGUGAUUUAGACAUACAUAAAUGGCCAAGACGUAUGCAGCCCACCGCUGCGCCAAAGUACUCCAAUUAUGGUGAGUCCUAACUGCCUAGAUAUGCAUGACUAAAUAAACAAUAAUAAAACACACACAGCACUUACCUGCAAGAAAGGGGCAGAGGACUUGGAACAACUGCCUGCAGGAGCCAACUAAAACAAAAGGAUUAAUGGAAAAGGAAAGGGUGUGGCAACAUAAAACAAACAUUUAAAGGAAUCCAGGAGACUGGGAAUUCCAGGAACGGAAUAAAGGAAUGAACCCAGGAAACCCAGCAUAAAGAAAAUUAGACAUGGAUUAGAGAACCAGAAAAACUAAACAAGAAUUGUAAAAAGAGUACUGGAUACCAGAAGCCAAGGCCAGACAUCUCCGCAGAACAGAGCAGGAUGUGACAGUACUUCGCAAAUGCCAAGUUUUAUCAUUGACCUUUAAAUAAAUAGAAAUGCAUUCUUAAUUGCUGAAAUAAUACUUUGAGGGCACAGUCUUUCUUAAAAACAAACAAAAGAAAAACAUAUUUGCAUAAAAACACACAUAUUUGAUCAAUGAAUUGAUCCUUGGCAAUAUUAACUGUCUGAAAUGUCUUGCUUUUUCCAAACCAAAAAAAAUGAAUAAUAAGACUUUCAUGUUUUCUUCACUGAAAAUUCCCUGGCUCCUGGAGUAUGAUGAAGUCCAAUAUCCAAAAUUAUGGUCAGAUUUUCCAGGGAAUCCACCCUUGGAGAAAUAACCAGCAAUUUACUGAAAGCCACACAUUACACUUUACUGUAUUUUAUAAUAUUACUAACAUUGUCAUGGAUCAUAUACCGUACUAUAAAAAUGCAAUAUGGAAAACUUGAAGGGACACGCCAAGUGCAAUAAACACAUCUUGUUAUUGCAAUAAUUGUGAUGUAAUUUAGGCAAACGGUGCUUCACCAUCCAUCUCUUUUAGUAUUUGUUCAGUGUGAGCACUGCAGGAACAUGCAGGAGCCAUGCUUUGAAAGUGUGCGAAAAUAUAGAACUUAUUUUGGCCUGGGUCACAGCACUCUGAAAAAUAUGUUGGCAGAAUCGGCUUUCUUGGAUUCAGUGCUACAAACAUAUUUUUAACAUUUACGUUUCAGCUAUAUCUGCACCCAAAUCAAAAAUCUAUCUUUCUUCUUGUUCUUGGGUAGAACGUUGGCUUAAAGAUAGAGUACAACGAGUUGUCAUUAAUGGUACAUGUUCAGGCUGGACAAAAGUGGUAAGUGGGGUCCCUCAGGGUUCUGUUUUGGGACCGAUACUAUUCAACACAUUUAUAAAUGAUCUUUAAAUAAGCAUCAAAAGCCACGUUUCAGUAUUUGCAGAAUACACAUAACUCUGUAAAGUAAUACAAUGUGGAGAGGGAUUUAGAUAGAUUGGGGGACUGGGCACUUAAAUGGCAGAUUAAAUUUAAUGUAGAUAAAAGCAAAGUUGUGCACUUCGGAAGUAGGCAACAAUGUGCAAUGUUAAUCGGCAGUUGCUGAGGCCUAUAAGGUAUUGUCAUGUAUAAACAGGGGCAUUAAUUCUCGUGAUGAAAAUAUAAUUUUGCUUCUUUAUAAUUCAACAGUAAGAGCACAUCUCAAACAUGCUGUGCACUUUUGGGCACCUGUUUUAAAGAAGGAUAUUGGGGCAGUAAAAAAUGCAGAGGCUGGCUACAAAAUUAAUAAAAUAAUUGGAACAUUUAAAUCUGUUUUCUUCAGAAAAAUGGUGCCUCAGAAGGGAUAUGAUAGCAUUGUACAUAUAUAUCAGGGCCAAUACAAACCAUAUCUAUCCAUAGAAAGAACUAUAUAUAAAACACAAGGUCACAAAUUGAGAUUAGAAGAAAGGACAUUUAGUCUAAAGCAAAUGAAAGCAUUUUGUUGCACCCAAGUGCAACAAAAUGGGUUUCACCUUUUGUGAUCACAGAGUGACUAAUGUAUUGUGAUUAGAUAUGAUGUUAAGCUAUGUUGCUAUUUAUGUAUUUUAUGUAUCUUUUUUAUAUACAUUUCCUAUGAAUUGUGAGGGUAUAGACAUUUGUGCAUGUGCCCAUUAUGUAAAGAUGCACUUUAUAUAUAAUUUAAGAUUUCUCAUAAGUGUAAAGAAUUUUUUAUUCACAUAAAAUAAGUAAUUAGUGGAUAUAUGUGCAUGUUUCUGCAUCCAUAGAUUCUAUUGUAAAAUGAUCGAAAUUAUUGUAAUAAUCUUAUUAAUGUGGUGCCAUCCAGAGUUUUUUUAAUAGUAUUUCCUCCCCCCCCCUCUGUUUAUUCAUCUACCCACACACGUUCGAAGUCACUAUAAUAAUGAAGGAAAUUAAAAUAAACGACCGCGAUCCACUUCCGGGUUCGUGGAACGCAAGAUGGAACACAAACGGCGCACGUGAUGACGUCAUCCGGUUUUAAACACACAGAAAAUACCGCCAAAACGGAAGUUGAACACCAGCUGGAAAUCAUUGAAUAAUUAAUGGGGGAUGUAUAAUAGAAUUGUGGGAGGGAUAGUUUUUAUUGCUGCUGCUAUUACUGUUGUAUUUGUUUUCACCAAGUCCCUGAGGAAGUCCAAUUGAAGGACGAAACGCGUAGGACGUUCUUAUGGUGACAUGCUAUCUGUUUUAUGCCUAAAUGUAAGCUAUUAAAAUAUUUUUUUAUUAUACUCUGGAAGUGCACUACAUUUUUGUAUAUAUUUUUCUCUUUUGAGCCAUAUAUACUAAUUCGCUGAUGGAAGUGUGAGGAGGGACAACACAGUGGAUACUGAAGAAAAAGAUAUUAUUCAAGGCUGCUUUUACAUCAGAUAAUUUGUGAGUGACCAAUUGUGAUUGCACACUAUUAUUAGUCCCUACACAGAUAAACGCUAUGUUCUUUUAUUUUAUUUGUAUUUAGCAGACUAUCCCCUAUUCUAUUUGUAUACAUUUGCUGAAGACAAGAGGAAGUCUUUGGGGAUUUACCUGGAUAUUUCACCUAAAUACAGGGAAGUCCUGGUUUGCUUUAAAUUGUAUAUAUUUCUCACUGGGGUUGUGUUCACAUAUUUUGUUGCCUGUGUGUGUCUGUGUGUGUGUGUGUCUGUCUGUCUGCCUGUGUGUGUGUUUGUGUGUGUGUAUGACUGUCUGCCUGUGUGUGUCUGUGUGUGUGUGUCUGUCUGUCUGCCUGUGUGUGUGUUUGUGUGUGUGUAUGACUGUCUGCCUGUGUGUGUGUGUGUGUAUGACUGGUUUCCUGUGUGUGUGUGUGUGGCUGUCUGCCUGUGUGUGUGACUGUCUGCCUGUGUGUGUAUGGCCGCCUGCCUUUGUGUGUGUCUGUGUGUGUGUCUGUCUGCCUGUGUGUGUAUGUGUGUGGCUGUCUGUGUGUGUGUCUGUCUGCCUGUGUGUGUAUAUGUGUGGCUGCCAGUGUGUGUGGCUGUCUGCCUGUGUGUGUGUGGCUGUCUGUGGCUGUGUGUGUGUGUGUGUGUGUGUGUGUGUGUGUGUGUCUGCAUGUAAGUGUGUGUGUGUGUAAGACUGUAUGUGAGGGCUGUGUGUGUGUGUGUGUGGAGCUGUGUGUGUGGCUGUGUGUGUGUCUGUCUGCCUGUGUGUGUAUGUGUGGCUGGCUGUCUGUGUGUGUGUGGCUUGUCUGUCUGCCUGUGUGUGUAUGUGUGUGUGCCAGUGUGUGUGGCUGUCUGCCUGUGUGUGUAUGGCUGUCUGCGUGUGUGUGUGUGUGUGUGUGUGUGUGUGUGACUGUCUGCAUGUAGGUAUGUGUGUGUAAGACUGUAUGUGUGUGAGGCUGUGUGUGUGUGUGUGUGUGUGUAAAACUGUAUGUGUGGCUGUGUGUGUGUGUGUGUGGCUGUCUGCCUGUGCGUGCGUGUGUGUGUGUGCGUGUGGCUGUCUGUCUGUAAUUGUGUGUGUGUGUGUGUCUGUCUGCCUGUAAUUGUGUGUGAGUGUGUUUAUCUACCUGUAACUGUGUAUGUGUGUUACUGCCCGUACCUGUGUGUUUCUGCCUUAUCCUGUGUAUGUGACUAUCUGCCUGCAAUUUUGUGCAUGUGGUGGAUUUGACAGUGUAUAUGUAUAACUGUGUGCAUCUGACUGUGGGACUGUGUGCACAUAACUCUGCAAAAAUAUACACCUGCUUUCACACACAGGCCUAAAUGCAUGUUAUUAUCUGAAUUAAAUAACCAUCACACACAGCCAAUAAACCCAGCACAAAUAUCACAUACAACCAAUACAUGCAUAUCACAAUCUGUUAAUAAACCCAUUACAGAUAUCACACACAGGACACAGCCAACACAUAGCAUACAUAUCACACACAGUCAUCACACCUAUCACAUACACAGACAACACAAAAUUACAUCAUACAUGGAUGAUGGGGGGGGGAGGGAGCGCUGUGAAGAUUUUUCGCACAGGGCGCCUAAAGGCCUAAGGCCGGCCCUGACUGCAUACACACACUACUCAAACACUACAUACAAUAAACACACAUACAUGUGUGUCUGUGUAUCUGUAUGUGUAUCUGUAUAUGUGUAUCUGUAUGUGUGUGUGUUUGUAUCUGUAUGUGUGUCUCUAUCUUUAUGUGUGUCAGUGUUUGUCUGUAUCUGUGCUUGACUGUGUUUCUGUCAGGGUAGUGGUCCGGUGCCCGGGACCCAGACACUGUCCAGGCGGCGGUGCAAGGACAGGGACCCUAUAUGUCUGAUGUUCAAAGUAGGAGUCACUGUGUGGAGGUGGAUUAGCAGGGUCUGGUGCAGGGUAACCGCAUGCCCCCUUGGUGUUGAGCACCAGCAUUUGUGCGGCCACAUACCAAGACCUGCAUCAGCUGGAACUAGGAGCAGGAAUUAAGCAGACCUCCCAGAGCUGAAUAGGGAGGCUCUGCAGCAAGAAUGUAUCCAGUACAGAAUCAAGGAAAGACUAGGAAAGGCACCAAACAUGAAAAACUAGACAGAACUAAUAGAACCCAGAACCGGAGAAGGAUAGGAAGUUAAACCCAGAGCAUGUACACAAUACAUAAGGGAAACAUUGACAUAACAUGGGCAGGACAGGACUGUACAUGGACUGGGAAUACAAACUAAAACAAGACAAGAUAUGAUAGGUAAAACAAGAGGAGAAAUAACUAAGUACUAUAUAUGAAAAUCAUGGGGAUUUAGUCACAUUAUAUGAUCAUACAUUGCAUAAGCCUGCCAAUGUACCCCAUAUCUGGCAGGUCCUAAGCUGCCUAAUGCAAACUAAACCUACCAAAGAAAACACACAUAGUCCUUACCUGCAAGAAAGGGCUGAAUACUUGAGCAGCUGCCUGCAGAAACACUGAAACAAAAAGGAAUGAUAGAAAACAAACGGGUGUGGCAACAUAAAACAAACAUUUAAAUAAAUCCAAGAGCCUGGAAAAUCCAGGAACGGAAUACAGGAAUGAACCCAGAGAAACCCAGCUUAAAGAAAACCAGACAUAGAAUAGAAAACCAAAAAAAACAAGAAAAACAAAACAAGAAUUGUAAAAAGAGUACUGGAUAUCAGAAGCCAUAGCCAGAAUGAUCUGCAGCUAGGAACAUGAUGUGACAGUUUCUAUGUAUCUGCAUGUGUAUACCUAUGUGUUUGUAUCUGCAUGUGUGCCAGUGUGUGCAUAUGUGAGUAUAUGUGUAUAUGUGCAUACAUCUCAGCAUUUUGCCAACACUACACACAAAUACACCCCUGUAUCCAAAUAUCAACACUACAUAAAACACACCACAUAUUCAAAAAACACUACACAAAAAUGCACGCCUGCAUUCAAAUGCCAACACUACAUGCAAACACACCCCUACAUUCACUCACACAUACUUCAUACAAAAACAUGCUUAUAUUCAAACACAAACACUGCUCAGUGCUAAAUACAUUUAUUCUUUUUAAAUAAAUGUGUUUUUUUACUUUAAAAUAAUAUCUGCCCUGGGUGCCAAAUGCUCCAGGUACGCCCCUGACCUUUGGAAUAUUCAUAUAGUUCAAUGAGUUUGUUUUUCUUAACCAGGAAUAGUAAAAGUAUGCUUUAAAUUGUAUUCCUAGUUAAUCUUGUUGUUAAUGCAUACAGUUAGUAAUUAAUACCAUACAACCACAAAAAAAAUUAGAAACUGAAUAAAAAAAGUUGUAAAGAUUAACUUUACAUCUAAUUUUCCACAUUUGAACCCUAACAAUGAAAAAAAAAUAUUGACUAUAACUACUCUUCUGAUGUCGAGUAUUGUAGAUGAUAAUGAUAAGAAGCUAAUAUGUAAGCAGACUAGGUCAUGAAUUGUUGAGCAUUCAAAGGGAAAUUUGAGGCAAAACAUAAGCAAGCUGAAACAAUAACUAACUAUGAUAAUAUUCAGCCAAACUAUUAUACUGUGCAUUGCUGACUAAAAUCCAGUUUUGCCAGAUUGGCCUUAAAGGAAGACUUUGGGCACCAUAGCAACUUAAUUUAAAUAAAGUUGUUAUGGUGCCAAGAGGUUGCAGGGUGCUUUCCUAAAUGUUCUGAAAUGGUUUAACCCCAAAAGUUGCCUACAGUGCUGAACCUCCAACCGUCAGCUUAGGGCUUCUGAAAUUAACUCUCAGGAAGAACGGAGUGCGGUCGAGCAGGGGCAUUAAUGAUUUGGCUAGAGCAGUCAUCUGAUACUCGAAGCCAAUCAGUAGCUGCCCUUUGAUAAAAAAAGGUUUGUGUAUAAACAGUAGAUGGAUUGCACUCAGUGGACUUUUGUAUGAAGCAAUAUGUAAUCUUUAUCUACAUAUCAAGUAGGGCAAGUAAUUCAGCAGGGCAAUAAUUCAGCCUCUGCGCAUGGUAUCAAUAGUACCACAGUGCUCCCCCACAACAAACCCAACACCCUCCAGUAUGACUGUCUGGCAAAACCUCCUAGCACUGUGCAGCAAGCCACAUAGAUAAAAAAAAUAAUACAGAUAAUACCACAGUGAGCAACUGAUAAAAUGCCACGUAUGUAUUCGAGUAUCAUGUUGCUUUAUGGCCUUAAAACAUUCUAACAGUAGAAGCUUAAAGUGCAAUCCCAAAUUACAGGAGCUAAUUAAUAGUCACAAACAACAAGCAAUUUAGUAGAGGUGUCAUUGAGCUACUUAGAAUAUGAAUAAUUCAUUGUGAAUUGUAUCCCAACUUCCUGCUAAAUGUUUGAAAUGGACAUUUUCUCAACUAUGAAGUUAAAUAGUAAACCAAACUACCUGGAGACUAACUGUUGAUAUAACAAGAGGUAUGUAAAUGCCUAGUGACAGGCAGAGUGGCUGAAAAAGGCUUGAAUUAAAGUAAUGAAAUGAAGCCCGAAUGUACUGACUCACAAUGACUAUGUAACGUGGCUGAAUGUAGGCUGAAUGUACUGACUCACAAUGACUAUGUAACGUGGCUGAAUGUAGGCUGAAUGUACUGACUCACAAUGACUAUGUAACAUGGCUGAAUGUAGGCUGAAUGUACUGACUCACAAUGACUAUGUAACGUGGCUGAAUGUAGGGCGAAUGUACUGACUCACAAUGGCUAUGUAACGUGGCUGAAUGUAGGGUGAAUGUACUGACUCACAAUGACUAUGUAACGUGGCUGAAUGUAGGGCGAAUGUACUGACUCACAAUGACUAUGUAACGUGGCUGAAUGUAGGCUGAAUGUACUGACUCACAAUGACUAUGUAACGUGGCUGAAUGUAGGGUGAAUGUACUGACUCACAAUGACUAUGUAACGUGGCUGAAUGUAGGCUGAAUGGACUGACUCACAAUGACUAUGUAACGUGGCUGAAUGUAGGCUGAAUGGACUGACUCACAAUGACUAUGUAACGUGGCUGAAUGUAGGGUGAAUGUACUGACUCACAAUGAAUAUGUAACGUGGCUGAAUGUAGGGUGAAUGUAGGGUGAAUGACUAUGUAACGUGGCUGAAUGUAGGCUGAAUGUACUGACUCACAAUGACUAUGUAACGUGGCUGAAUGUAGGGCGAAUGUACUGACUCACAAUGACUAUGUAACGUGGCUGAAUGUAGGCUGAAUGGACUGACUCACAAUGACUAUGUAACGUGGCUGAAUGUAGGGUGAAUGACUAUGUAACGUGGCUGAAUGUAGGCUGAAUGUACUGACUCACAAUGACUAUGUAACGUGGCUGAAUGUAGGGCGAAUGUACUGACUCACAAUGACUAUGUAACGUGGCUGAAUGUAGGCUGAAUGGACUGACUCACAAUGACUAUGUAACAUGGCUGAAUGUAGGCUGAAUGGACUGACUCACAAUGACUAUGUAACGUGGCUGAAUGUAGGGUGAAUGUACUGACUCACAAUGACUAUGUAACGUGGCUGAAUGUAGGGCGAAUGUACUGACUCACAAUGACUAUGUAACGUGGCUGAAUGUAGGCUGAAUGUACUGACUCACAAUGACUAUGUAACGUGGCUGAAUGUAGGCUGAAUGUACUGACUCACAAUGACUAUGUAACGUUGCUGAAUGUAGGCUGAAUGUACUGACUCACAAUGACUAUGUAACGUGGCUGAAUGUAGGGCGAAUGUACUGACUCACAAUGACUAUGUAACGUGGCUGAAUGUAGAGUGAAUGUACUGACUCACAAUGACUAUGUAACGUGGCUGAAUGUAGGGUGAAUGGACUCAACCAAAGUGAAAAUGGAGCUUCAGUGCCAGGAGCCAACGUCACUCCUGUACUCUCGCACAGUACAGCAUUGAGGUCUAUCCUGCAAGACCACAGGUUCCUCCAUAGAAAGAGACGAUUCCCAUCAGUUGUCACUGGUGACAGCAGGGGGAUUGACCCUUCUACACAGCUGUAAGUUCACCUAGUAUCUAGAAGUGUCAGACAUCGGAAAAAACUGAGACAAAGUGAAGACCCUACUGUCUCAGUAUUCCUUUUGACUUAGCAUGAACUUCAGUUAAAUUACAACACAGUCAAUAUGAAUAUUUCAUAAAGAUUUUGUAUUUAUGACAUACGCAUGUUGUGUGGGGGAGGGAGGGGGAGGGUGGGGUGACAGUGCAGCUUAAAUUUACGUUUUUUGAUUUUCCCAGGAAGUAUUUAGAGAUACAAAAAGUACACAUGUAAUAGGAGACAUGCAUUAACUGUGAAUUCAGUAGUUUUUUGAUUGAAGUUAGAAGUCAGAUGCAGAUAUUUUUUAGGAAUGAUUUGAGAUUUAAGAUUCUCCGGCUAUAUGAGAAUCUGUUCCGCCUGCCUCAUUUUUGAGAUAAACUAUAAAAGUUAUCAAAACAGAAGGCAUGGGGGGUGAAGGUAGCAGGAAUACUUCUCAGGUAGCGUGGGAGGUUUUCUGAGAAGCGGUUAGGAACCAGACAAGAAAGAUGAAGAAUAUGUUUGGGUUCCAUAGAGUCCUGCUUAAAGCUUGACUUUUCAUUUCAUUCAGUGGGGACUUGGAAGCUAUUUUGGAGAUUUGAAAGUCAAUCCAUAUUUAAUUCUUUAAUGAAAAUUAUAGCUAAACUCACAAUCCUCUCCAAAGGAAUUUAGCAAAAAAAAAAGCAGCAAUAACAGACUUCUUCAAAUAUUUACAUGAUAUGUAUUCUGCUAGCGAUCAAUGAUCAAAACUGCUAUAAAUACUAAGGGAUGUUCAAUGCUGAAAUCUCAUUGGUUACUUUCAUUGCAGUCUUCAAACAAAUCGUACAUUCAUUUUGAUUUAUUUUUUUUGAGUCGCGUCUGCCAGAUAAUUUCUGGAUGUUUAUCAAAAUGCUUCCUUUGAGAAAUGAAAGAAGGCUUUUUUUUUCAUUAUUCUGGCAAGGAAAUGGGUUUUAGCAUAGCAUGGCAGAGGAAUACUUUAUGCCAGAGCUAGAUCAGAGAGAAGCCUGAAGGUAGGUGUUCUGCAACCAACAAAUGGCAAGUUAUUUAUAUUAUUAGAAGCAGAGAUUUAUGCCAACUUGUUCAGCAGGAAUGUAGGAUGCACAAACUGGUAAAACAAGGAAUUGUUGACAUUAUUCAAUUUAUUGAUACUGCAUUAUGCCAACAUAUUCCGCUGUUCUUAGAAUGUUCUGCAGCAUGAUGUUCUUGUAUUUUAGUAAUCCAUUUUCAUUGCGUGUUAUUUUUUUCCAGAAACGUUUCUUAAAAGUAAAAAAAAAAAAAGUUUAUUUCCUUAUAGUGUUCCUUUAAUUAUUGUUGCAAUGAUUUUAUAGCUAAAUAUACCUCCACCACUUUCCUGUUCUGGUCCACACAUCAGAAGCUAGGUUUUUGGUUAGUAAGCAUCACAGUUACUAAACAAAGCACAUGUUGUGAUGGGAUAACUUCAGUUAGGACUAAACAUUGGAGAAAGUGAUGGUGAUUUUUCCCCAUACCUUCUGGUUUCUAUAAUGGUAUCAGAAGAAGGUUGCCUGGGUGAAUGUUAGUGAAUGCAAUCACUUGUUUUUUUUGGAAUUCAGCAUACUCGGGAACAUUAGUGGUCUGGAAAUAGAAUUCGAAUACUGACUUGCCUGGUCGGAAAACACUCAGUAUGUAAAAGAAAAAAGAGAAAUGGACCAUUUGCAUUCCAACAAUGACAGAGGCCCAGCAGAGUACAAAACAUCAAUUCCCUUUAUUAUAAAAUAUAAUACAAUAUUAAAAUGCAAAAGAAAAAAUACAAGUGUGAAUUUUGGUGGCAAAUUUCAACUUAGUUUUAGUCAUAGUCUUUUGACUAAGAAGCCAUUUUAGUUUUAGACGUAUUUUGGUCAUGUGAAUUGUUUUAGUCCAGUUUUAGUCGACUAAAUCUCAAAAAUUUUAGUCGACUAAAAUCUGACUAAAAUUGUUAGUCGACAAAAUUAACACUGCAAGUAAAUAGUAAAGGUUCAAGUCAUGCUCUACAAAAAGGGGAGGACAUUCAGAACAGAACACAUAUCUAAAUAGGUUGAUGUGCUUCUUGUCUAACCCAGACACUUUCCCAACAGCUAAAAACUGAGUAAGAAAAGAGGGAACCCUCAAACAGAAGGUUUACCACCAAACUUUAUCUUAAUAAAAAAUCUAAAUGUAAUUAUACCUAAUGAUAGGCAUGCAUCCCACACAGUGUGUAUGUUAACCCAAAUUCUGAUUACCGUAUAGGUCCUGAAUGAAGAUACCAUAGAGAUCUGUAACAGUCACCAGGAUUGUUUUUAGUUUUGGGUGAUAAGCUGUGGUUUAUUUAUGCAGGCUAGGUGUCCGUGAGGCCCUGCGGUAUGGUAGGCUGUUGUUGAGCUUGCAGCCAUAGAGAUAUUAGCAUGUAGGAAGACAGCCUUUGGAACCUAGUUAGGAGACUUUAUUGCAUGUAUAUACAACCCUUACAUGUUGAGGAAGUUACGUUGAUUUAACAUUCACUCACAACGCCCUUGGAGAAUCUCUUAAGCUACAGUCUAUGGUUAAUAUGGACAGACACACUAGGUAGCCAGGAAAUGACAUAUUAGUCGAUUCCUGUCUUCUGAACUUGUGGUUCUUCUAGCUGGCCAGAGCGGGUGACCUGUUUAUUACCUGUUCUAAAAACUGAGAUUUUUGACAAGCACAGGUGUAGGAAGUACACAUAGAUUUGAUGAAGUUAUAGUGAGUGGUACUAUGCGGCUCUUAUUUUGCUAAAAAUCCCACAGGGAGAUACAUUGUAUCUCUAGCUUUAUUGGUAUACUUAGUUACAAUAUGACAAGGGGAUACAUAGUAGCCCUCUCUAUUACUAGCCAAACUAGGCUAAUUUGGUUUUACAUGCAUUGUGCAGGUUGUACAUUUUUACUUUUUAUUAGGUGAUAAUUAGAGGAAAACCCUCUAUUUUAAGGGUUUCAUAUUAUCUUUUUCAGUUUUUAAGUAUUGUUUUUAUGGAUGCAAUUGUCUCUCAUGGCCAGUUCUGAAGUGUAUUUUCUGCUUCUAAAUACAGAAGUAAUUUCUCAACAUUUAAAUAGUUUUGUGUUUUUUCCCAAUCAAUCAUUUGUGUCACCGUCCAUCUCUGCCUUUUCUCGAGGACUUCCUCCUACGUGUGCCAUAUGGAAACACAUUUAAUUCAGAUGAUAACCUGAUGUCCCCUCUUUGUCAUACAUUCUGCCUCUCGAACCUGGACUUCAUUUUGAUGAGAUUCUUUUCUUAUGUCCCCUUACACUAUCUCAAAUGCUUAGCCAGACAGCCAGGCUGUCAGCAUUCUGAUAAAGUCGACGGCUUCUAACAAUCUUUUGUAGUGGUUGCGUUAGUGCAUACACGAGGUGCAUCCCCAGUAUUUUUCAUGGACUGGGGAGAACAGGUCCCAUAGCAAUAUUUGUGGUCUAUAGAUUUUAUAACUGACCGCAUGGUUAUAGUUAUGAAUGAGACAUUCUUGAUAACUAAGGAAAACACUGCAAGUUCUAGUCAAGGUUAGGGCUGUGAGAUAUUAGGAAGACAGUAAUAUUUGCUACAAGCUAUACUCUAGCUUUUAAAUUACUGGAGUACCAGCUGCACCUCUAACACCCUCAACAAAACAACGAGUGUGCGUCCUCUUCUCAUUAAUAUAGAUAGUUCAAUGUUCAGGUUUCUUCUUCAACCAUACAGCAAGAAGUGAUUCCAAAAAAAUAAAGCACGGGGUGUUCCUCAGGACCACCUACUAAAGAAUGUGUGUUACCUUUCUUUUAACUUCUCUCCUUUUAUUUGAUUUGGACUCCACUCUCAGCAGUGCCCACCCAUUUAUUUUUCUAAAAAGUGAGUAUACACAGGAGAGUGAGCAGAUAAAACAUAUUUGGCAUUGUUUUAAAUGGGUGAAUUAAAGGGAGUACAGUCCCCAUAAACAACUGAACGGAACUCUCAAUCACCCCAUCCAACACUCCAUUGGUUUGAGGUGGGUUAUCUAGCAGGACAAGCGGUUGUGCCUCUUGUUUAUCCAUGCAUGGUUCCAAAAUUCUAAAACCACAGCUAUGCAGAAAAUUGUUAGAAGGGAUUACACCACUUUUAUAUAUAACCCUCGUGUUUACAUGUUUCUAAUAGAUUCACUGAAAGGCUGAACGUCAGAGUUAUAUCAGAGAACAUUUCAUUCUUUAAUCUCUUUUUGUGAUAUCCUAAAGGGAGUUCCCUUUUGGUGGUGACUAGCAAAUUGCUUUGGUUUCCUGAUGCAAAGUGCACAAUUUAAAGGCAUUACUGCAGCUUAUAACUAAAAUGUCAGCUGUAAAUAGUUCAUUCUUUCAGAAAAAGAAUAUAUUUUUUUAUAUAUAUUCUUCAAAUCGUGCAAACAGUGGUUUUAUUAAAUCUUCCAAAUUUCAGCUGUGUUACAAAUCAAAUUGACGUUUCGACCCGUUCGGGUCUUUAUCAAGAUCUUGAAACAUCGGUUUGAUUUGUAACACAGCUGAAAUUGGGAAGAUUAAAUAAAAACACUAUUUGCACGAUUUGAAGACCUGUGAGUGCUCCCUUAUGGUUGUUGCAUAUAUUGAACGCGGGAUUGCACCCAGGUGGAUUUCCUAUUUUAUUUUAUGUUUGUUGGUGGAGUGCCAAGUUGCUCUUAUUUUGUCCAUGACAAAAAAAUUCACAAAAGACAAAGAAGAUGUCAAUAAAAAAGUUAAAGAAAAUAUUGCAUGACUAUACCAUGAGACUCGCAGGUCUCCAUCGUAAGAUAAAACCCAUUGGUCUCACAGGACCAUGUGAUAUGAUCAAUAACAUUAGCAUUGAAAAUGGAGUGUAAUAAUAAAGAUUUACUAUGAAUUGCAGGUCUUAGCACAUCAACAAUCAUAUAAAAUUUAAUUCAGACGCAGUUAUGACAUCAAUGUCCAUUUGUUAAGGACAAAAUACUACUUGUGGAUAUUAUCGGUGAUGUCCUAGGCAUAUUAGUUGAGGGGCCUAACCCUAUUUGGUUGAUGGGUAACUAUAAGUUAGGUAUCAAACAUUGGAGAGCCAUAAUAUUUAUGUUUUCCUUGGGGGUUCAUACAUUAAAGCAAAAAGCCUAGUGCCCAUCCCUAAGCUCUUCUCCAGUUACUCAUUUGCUGCCUUUCAAAUUGAACAAGCGCCCAUCUCAAUGGAAGAGCGAACGUUAGGACUGCCUCUCCCACCCAUUAAAGAAAGUCCAACCUAUGGACCUUGUCGCUAACAUACUUAGUGUAGAAACCAGGUUGCACCCUGUGUGCAUGUCUCUCUGGAGAGCCAAUAACCAGUAAAAAGGGCUAACAGCAGCGACCCAUAGUCCUCAUGAUAAAAAGUAGCCAUAGAACAGGAAUGAGAAAAGGAAUGAGAAAGUAUAUGGACACCCAUCACUGUCCCCUCCCCCGGAUGAGACUAAACAGUGGGAGCAUUUCCAACCUGCAGGACACGUUUAGAAAUAAAAAAUUCAAACCAGAGGUAACAUAUCUCUGCAUAUGCAAAAGAGAGAAUAGGAGACCUAUAGUGCAGUAUUGUAAGUUUAUGGACUAUAGACAACGUAGAACUAAAAAUUGCCAACUCACGUUUUUCAGAGCUAUAACCAGCUCUUGGUAAAACAGCUUACAGUGGUAUUUCAACUCCCUACUUGUAGGAUAUCCCUCAUACAGUAGUUGUAGUAUAGUUUACAUACAAUUAAAGAAAAAGAAGGCUUAUAGUGCUCUCCAUAUUUGCAAAUAAAUAGUAGUAAAAUUAAAUAUACUUAGAAUUUUGGGAGCAGACAAACUGCUCUAUGGAAACAGCGUGGGUGGAACAAUCCCCAGCUAGGAUACUUUUGAAAAUGGACCUGAUGUGUAUGGAAAAUAGGUUGCGCCAGGUACAAAUAAAAUAAAAUAAAAAACUAAAUAAAAGUAUAAAAAGACUGCCCCAAAGCAAAUAUAUAGUCUAAAAAUCUUACUUUUAUUUAAACAAAUAUUAAUAAAAUCACUUGAUUUUUUUUAAUAUUAAUAUGAUUUUAUUAAUAUGAUUUUAUUAAUAUUUGUUUAAAUAAAAGUAAGAUUUUUAGACUACCUAUUUGCUUUGGAAAAUAAGGAUCGGGCCGCUUUCUUUUUGUAUUUAAGAAGAAUAAAUAAAAUACUGGUACUGGAUUGGAGGUUAUAGGAGGUGGGAACAGCUGGGGAGAGCAUUCUGCUCAGGUAGGGUAGAAAAGCUCUUAAACACAAGGCUGGAUAGAUGAAGGGUUCUUCUGGAUUCCAGCGAUAGCCAGUUUAGCUCUUUUAGCAUUUCACAAUAUUUGGUAAAGUAAUUACUUUGUAACACAAAGUGGCCGAACGAGUAAUACAAUGUAUUAUUACAUUAUUAAGGUGGGUUUGCUGUGCAGGUGCAUAUACUACAUCCCCAUAAUCUAUGAUUGGCAUCAGCAUUUGCUGUAAAAUUGUUUCCUUUACUGUGGGGCACAGGCAGGAUUUGUUUCUGUACAGGGUACCUAGUUUUGGAUAGAGUUUUGAUGAGAGUUUUUCUGUGUGGAGGCCAAAAGAUAGAUUGAAGUCUAACAACAUACCCAAGUACUUGAAAGAGUCAGUAUUUGAUUUGAUUUUGUUUUGAUGCAUUGAUAGGAAUUUUUUUAAUUUAGGUAAUUUAGAUACUGUUCAGAAGAGCAUUGAGACAGUGUUGUUAUUGUUAUGAAUGAGAAAGAGUUUGUUUUUUGCGAUUUAGUUUUCUACAUCUGAGAACUGGUCUUGGAGCACAACCUCAAGUUGCAGUAGAUUGAAUUUGCUUGCAUAGAUUAAGGUGUCAUCGGCGUACAUGUGUAGAUUUGAGGCUUUGCAGACAUUAAGCAGAUCAUUUUUAAAUAAUGUGAAUAGUAGGGGGCCGAGAAUGGAACCUUGGGGAACACCACACGUAAAUGGGAGAGGGAGGGAGUCGCUGUCAGAAAUGGGCACAUAUUGCAAUCGAUCCAACAUAUAUGAUCGAAACCAGGUUAGCGGACGAUCACCAAUACCUGACUUUUUACAGUAGAAUGUUGUGGUCUAAUGUGUCAAAGGCCUUGGCAAAAUCAAGAAAAAAAUAGCUCCAGUUAGGUCUCUUUGUUCCAUGCCAGUUUGGAUGUCAUUGCAAACUUUAAAGAGGGCAGUUGAGUGAUUCAGACGGAAGCCUGAUUGAUCAGGGGUCAGAUAGUUUAAUUGUUGGUAGUACUCACAUAGUUGCGUGUGGACGCAUUUUUCCAAGAUUUUUGACAAUACAGGGAGCAAUGAUAUUGGGCGAUAGAUACCAAAGUUUUGUCACCACUUUUAUGGAUAGGCACUACUCUUGCAGUCUUUCAAAGUUUGGGUAUGUAUCCAGAUACCAAGGAUUCAUUAAUUGUGGUUGUGGCAGGUUUAGCAAUUGCCGGCGCACUGAGCUUCAACAACAGUGCUGGGAUAUGAUCAGGUCCAGACUGAAUUUCUCCCAUGGUAUCUGUUGGAAUUCUUUUCCUCUACCUUUUUCACCAUCAGAAAUUGAAUGGUCAUGGAGGAGGUGCCUCAAACACUGCUUCUGACCCUAAGAUCCUGCGAAGCUCGAUGUUCUGAGGAGGCGACUUGAUGCUAGGGAGGUAGGUAAAGCAUUUAACAUCCAAUGGCAUAGUUGAUAAAUUACAUGGAAUUUGAUUAAAGCUCUGCUUUUCAAUUUUUGUCAACAUGCCAUUUAUACAAAAGAAAAAGUAUUUCUUUAUUUUUCCUUACGUAUAACUUUGAAAAACAAAACAAAACUCAGCUGCCCAAGGAACAAAAUUAAAUGUAGUUCAGGAUAAAAAAAUAAGGUGACAGAGCCACUUCAAGGGUCAACCCUACCUGAAUGUCUAUUUUUGCUCACCCUGCAAUUUUAUAAGGUAGUCCCAUGAUCCUUUGCUAUAAUCGUGCCAGCUCAUUAUUUGCAUACAAUAUAUUGAUCUAAUCCAUAGACAGUCCUGCGGUAUACACAAUAAUAAACAAAACAAACAAAAUAAAUCAAGGACUAUAUUUUGUAUUGUUAUAUAUUCUCCAUAUGUUUGAGGGGAAACUGGUCUAGUUAUAGAUGUCAACAGUAAUCUAGUCUAACUUUAGACAGCAAUAAUAUGUUGCGGGCAAUGGCGGUGGUCAGCAGAGCUCUGGUUUUUGUCAUACUACUUAAAAUUGUUUUGACAAAAAACAGGGGAAUACCACACAAACACAUCUUGGACUAAAAAUGUGUUUAGGCUGAAUGCUGUGCCCCUUUAAUCAAAGAUAAAAAUGUAAAAUAAUGUAACAAUACAUUAUACAAACAAUACAGAGGAUUUGUGGGUCAUUAAACUUGUGUAAAGGCUUACCUGGGGUUGACAUCCAGAGUGCAAAGAUAAUGCUCAUUCUUGCAAAAUAUCAAAUCUUACAGUGACUAGUCAGGUAAAUCACCCGGAGAGUGAAUGUGUGCAUGGGGGCUGUGCAGUAGAGCAAAUCUGGAAGCCAUAAAUAGAUGUACAAAACAAGAGAGUCAGGCAGAGCGAUACUGGGCGAGUGUACGAGGUGCACAGGGCCAAGGAGUUCUGUAGAUAGAGAUUACUAUGAGGGGUGUGCGGUGGUAAGCUUUCCCCCCUCAUAUUAAGCCCUGCCACUCUUGUCAGGCUCUGACCUCACCUGAAAUGAUGCUGGGCACCAGAACUAGAGGAAAAGGUUACAAGCUGUCGAAGAUGGCACUGGUGAGCCAUUUGUGCACAAAUAUGGCACUGAUGAGUUAUUUUCAGACAAAGAUGGCGCUGAUUAGCAGUUUGAGGAUACAGAUGGCACUGGAAUGCUGUGUGGGGACAGAUAUGGCUCUGACAGCUGCAUGGGGACAGAGAUGACCUUGUGAAGCAGUGUGGGGACAGAGAUAGCCUUGACCAGUUGUGUGGAGACAAACAUGUUACUGGGAUGCUAUGCACAAAGGUGGUUCUGAUAAGCUUUUUGGGGACAAAGCUGGCACUGUAGGAAGUGGGUGACAUGUUACCUGGUGAUGUUGGGGGCCUGUAUGAGGUGUUAUGUUUGUGAAAGGUAGGAGUUAGCAAUAAAGCCACACACUCCUGAGGGCACUAAAAGUGGAGCUAGGAGUAGGCAGAAUGCUUCUAGAAAUGAUAACAACAAAUUGACCCUGAAGCUGAUAAGAGGCAGGACUUGAAAACUAGUAAAGGAGCCACAGAUGAGGCAAAUAGCUGCAGUUGAGACAGCAGGAGUCUAGCCCUCCUCCUCCUCUUCCCCCCUCCCAGAGACUCAGGCUCGGCUGCAAAACAGACUUAGACGUCAAACUCUAGUGGCCCACAGGUAGUGAAACUGACUGGAAACGAUCAGGACCAGAAUUCAAGUUCAGCCAGAUCUGGCACCUGCUGAGAUGGGGACAAACCUGUGCUCAUAAAAAGUUAAAUACAGUAAUCCAAAAAAGAAAUGCCAAAGUGAGCAAUGCCAGUAAAUUGACUCAUUUUAUUUUACAUUUUUAGAAACACAAGAGAUUUUUUUUGCGUAGUUGUGGAUGAAGACCGGUCACCUCACUGUGGGCUGAUUUACCUUUUAUAGUGCAUAAAUUAAAUUUUUUACUUAAAAGAAACAUUUAUAGAAAAAAAAAUGUCAAGUAAAUGAUGAAUCAUAUAUUUAGGGGACAUUAUUGUCUAGAGGUAGCAUGUAAUUUUGUAUUAACUUUAUUUAUAAAUGACAUUCUCAUUCUCAGAGACUAUAUUAUGUCCACCCUGUAUUUAUCUGCCUGCCUGUGUGUGUCAUAUCAUCUCGGCAUCGUAGAUCAUAAGGAGUUUUCUUUUUACUGAAUACCAAUUAACAAAACAUUUUGUGACAUGACUAACAAAAAACACACUGGCAGUUAUUUAAGGUCUUUCAAAUUUUAAAUAGCUCAGGUUAUUAUAGACAUAAAAUAUUCAUAUGACAAGCAAUUUUAGCUGUUGAUAUAAUACAUGACUUGGUUCAACCUUCUGCAUCCAGUUUUAUAGAUUUUCUUCUGCAAUUUCCUGGAAAUGAAUUAGGUUUAGGUAUCAACCCCUUCCCGACAUUAGGAUAUUCCUUGUCGUCCUCCACAAAGUGGGCUUUAACCAUUUUAGGACAGCAUGGAACAUCCUAAAGUUUUGGUAUGAGCAGGGUUAAAUCUCUGUCCACACCUGCGAGUACCAGGUAUCAAUCCCAGAGUCACAGGUAUCAAUCGCUACCCGGGGCUCCCCUCUGUAAGAUGAGGCCAUUUUUAGUUACCCUAUACUGAACAAUGAGCUGUAUGCAGUGCUCAGAGUGAGUGCUGUACACAGCAUUUUAAACAGGCAUUUAAAUGCCAAUGGCAAGGACGGUUAAAUCCCUGCACACACCAUGGACACCCAAGAGUCAAUCGAUACCUGGGGAUCCCAUCUGUCAAACGGGGCCACAUUUUAAACUGAGAGAUACAUGGGGCUCUUUAAAUCAAUUGAGAACACUGCGGCUUAGCAAUUGUUGGCAGUUGCGCGUGGGUUGACCCCUCGGGUCUGAACAGACGGUAACAGGGUCCCCCUGCAUGCCUCUGCAAUAUGGUUAUCUGUGCAAAACUCUGCAUGCAAAGCUCUGCACGAUUGUGAUCAUGCUGGGCUUUGCCGAGUGUCACUGUCUAGCACUGAUCACAGUGUAAGAGGCAGGGAAAUAUCCCUGUAAUGCUGAAAGCAGCCAGUAGAUGGUGGUCACAGACCGCUCUCUACUGCUUUAACUAGGACACCCACCUGCUGAUAUCAGUACUGGUAUUAGCAGAGGGAUUCAUUAGGGUAUGGUCAGGGUUAGUUUCAGGCUAAUGUAAGGGUUAAUGCUGGGUUAGGAUAAAUGCAUUUUUAGGGUUAAGGUUAGAGCUAAGGUUAGGGUAGGCAUAUGUUUAGCAUUGGGUUAAGGGUAGGGCUGGUUAGCAUUACUUAUCAAAAAUUUAUUUAGAUCCUAGACAUAUUUUGAGGCCUAUUUGAGUUAUUUUUCUUUAGUUGCACUAGAUGUUUAAAAAAUAUUAUAAGGAAAAAUAUGAAAAAAAAACCAAAAAUGUUUCACAUCAGCUUCAGAAACGAUCUCAAUCUGUAAAAAAUGAGUCCAUAUUAAACUCUAUGGAUAUUUUUGUAGAUUGAUAAUUUGAACAUUUUUAAGAGAUUGGAAUAAUUUCUGAUGGUUGCAUAGUUACAUAGUUAGAUAGCUGAAAAGAGACUUGUGCCCAUGAAGUUCAGCCUUCCUCACAUAUGUUUUUGCUGUUGAUCCAAAGAAAGCAAAAAAAAAAAAAAAACAGUCUGAAGCACUUCCAAUUUUGCAACAAACCAGGAAUAAAUUUCUUCUGACCCCAAAAUGGCAGUCCGAUAUCUCCUUGGAUCAAGCUGCUAUUAUCCCACUAAUUAGAAAUGAUAUCCCUGUAUGUUAUGUUUUUGCAAGUAUUUAUCCAAUUGCUGUUUAAACAUCUGUAUGGACUCUGAUAAAAACACCUCUUCAGGCAGAGAAUUCCACAUCCUUAUUAUUCUUACUGUAAAAAACUUUUCUUUGCCUUAGAUGAAAUCUCCUUUCUUCCAGCCUAAAUGUGUGACCUCGUGUCCUAUGUAUUGCCCUGUUUAUAAAUAGAUUUACAGAUAAUGGUUUGUACUGGCCCCGAAUAUAUAUGUAUAAUGUUAUCAUAUCCCUUCUGAGGUUCCGUUUUUCCAAACUAAAGAGAUUGAAAUUUUUUAACCUUUCUUCGCAACUAAAAUGCUCCAUUCCUUUUAUCAAUUUUGGUGAUUCAUAACUAUUAAAUCAAGAUCUAAGGCCUCGAUUUAAAACUGUUGGAUAAGCUUUUCCAAUUAUUUAUUAUUUGUGGAUAAACUUUUAAAAUGGUAUAACAUUAUGAUAGUUUUUUGAUGUAUUGAUAUUUUUUGGUUAUUUUAAAAGCUUACCUGACAAUAUUAAAUUGAGACCUUAAGUCAGCAAUACACUGUACACAAAACACAGUCAGCAGACAAUUUUCAUAAUCUGUGGCUACAACAAAAUUUUGACCUAAUCAAAACAGAUAGAUUAGCGAAGACAGGAACCUAAAUUGGACCCAGCUUUGGGUGUCAACAUAUACGGUAUAUUUAGUAGCGUGGAUUUGGGUUAAAAAAAUAGCUUUGUUUGUUUUUUGUUCAAGCUGGCUCAGGUUUACAAAUGUAGGUGUAACGUCAUAUGUAUUCUAUAAAUGCAUGUUGUGCAGAAUUUAGUAGAAAAGUAUAUUUUACAUGACCUUGCAAACUACGAUACACUUCAUCAGGUUUCACACCUUGGAAUGCAUACAGUUGCAAAACUUGGGCAAUUGGAAAAUAAAACAUUGGCAAUUCUUGUAGCAAAACACAAUAUAGUAUCUGUCUGUUAGAGGGGCCUCUUGGUACCACUUCAUGCUACCAUCUUAAUCAUAACAUCAAAUCCUUUAAAGUUGAAUGUAGAACCACUUGACAAAGGCCCAAAUACAAAAUAAACACUCCGCUGCCCAAAUAUAAAAUAAAUGAAAAUCACUGUUUAGUAGAAAUAUCCCCAAUGAAAACUUGCAUGCAUUUAAACAUGCAAUUUUUCAUAAGGGGUAUAUCUAAAAACAGCUUAUAAAAGCUGCAGUUCUCCUGUCUGCUGCUUUUUGCAAACCCUCCCCUUCUAACCCCGCCCAGACUUUCUGUGGCUGUCCAAUCACAGACUUCCCAAUGCAGCCUAAUUACAUUUUUUUUGCAAGGCAGGUGCUCUGAGCAAUUGCUGCAUCUUGAGUUUAGCUCCACUCAGCUAAAUAAACCAGGAAGUAAGCGGUUGUUUGAUUGACUACCAGGAUGGUAUAACAAGGUUAAUGUAUAAGACUGUCAAUGUCUAUAAAAAUAUGCACUUUUUGCAAAAUGAAAAAAGAGGACACACUCUUCACACACGAAGCAUUUCAGCAAGCUAAAGUGCUUUAAGGGUCUGGAGUGUCCUUUAAGCCAAAAUAUUGCCGUUCUUGUGUACAUGCUUAAGUAAAUGGUACAUUUCUUGUUAAUAGGUUUCUUUGUGGCCUGUUAAUUAUGAAUUGCAAUUUAUAUUUUGGACUAGGAUAGAGAUGUGAAGUUUGGAGAUGGCUGAUAAACCAAGUGGACACUUAUCUCAUAGUGAAGACUUCAUGCCAAGGUUUCGGUUUAUGUCUCAGUAUAUAAAUAGAGCAUACUGCUAAAAUACAAACUUAGUUUUACUCCUAAAUAUGUGCAUUUACAAGAUGUUACUUGUGACAAAGCCUGGAGGGGACUACUGGCUAGCCUCCUGCAUUCCGACUAUGGCCCCUGUGCUGAUAGCUGUAUUUUACCCUGCAGAAAGGUUUAUUUGUGUAUUUCUGCCGGGGCGUUCGGGACUUUCAGUAUGUGAGUAGUGCUACCCCAGAUAGCUAACAAAAGACUAUGGAAAAGACUUUGGCUCCAUGGUGAUUGAACUGUAUGUAGGUGAUCUGAGCACCAUUCGGUAAUAAUGUGCGUUCAGAUCUAAGCUAUCUGGGGAUAUGUUGCAUGUAUAUGUUUUAUGUAGUAAUUGUAACAUUGUGUAAUUUUAUGUCUUUUUGUAACCAUGUGGUUAAUGGAGUCUUGCCUCUGUCCUGGGAGAUAAUUUGAUUACUUCCAAUUAUCUCCAGGAUAGAGAGGAGGGAUUGUUAUGUUUGUAUUGUCUAUGAUUGGCUUAUAUCUUAUAUGUGUCCCAUUGUUCCAUCAGGUCCCCUAGGGCAGUGUCCACCUGGUGGACACUUGCAUAAAUACCAGGCAGGUAGCCCUUAAUAAACCAGACCUACUUGCACCUUUCUUGAAGCCUUGGCUCUUGCUUGGGGGAAGGGAUACCUACACUCUGGGCAGGGCCGCCAUCAGAAAAUUUGGGGCCCAUGACAAAGCACAAGGUCUGGGCCCCCCCCCUCCUCGCGGGCCCGCCCACGCCCUACCUAGUCCGCUCACAAUGAUGCAGGACUGAAUGUGGUGUGUGUAUAGUGGAAGUGAAUUAGAAUGUGGGUAAUGGAUGUAGUGUUUGUGUGUAUUAGAUACUGUUUGUGCAAUGAAUGCAGAGUGUGUGUUUGUGUAGCGGAUGCAGUGUGUAUAGUGAAUGCAGAGUGUUUUUGAGUAGUGGAUGUAGUGUGUGUACAGUGAUGUAGUGUGUGUUUGUGUAGUGGAUGUAGUGUUUGUAUGUACUAGAUGAAAUGUGUUUAGUGGAUGCAGUGUCUGUAGUGUGUGUAUUAGACGCAGUGUCUGUGUAUAGUGAAUGCAGAGUGUUUCAAUUUGUGGUGGAUGUAGCGUGUGUACUGUGAAUACAGGAUUUUUGUGUAGUGGAUGCUGUGUGUACAGUUAAUGCAGAGUGUAUGUUAGUGUAGUGAAUGCAGAGUGUGUGUCAGUAUAGUGAAUCCAGAGUGUGUGCAUAGUUUAGUGAAUGCAGAGUGUGUGUUAGUGUGUAAUGAAUGCAGAGUGUGUGUUAGUGUGUAGUGAAUGCAGAGUGUGUCAGUGUAAUGAAUGUGGUGUGUGUUAGUGCAGUGUGAAUGCAUAGUGUGUGNNNNNNNNNNNNNNNNNNNNNNNNNNNNNNNNNNNNNNNNNNNNNNNNNNNNNNNNNNNNNNNNNNNNNNNNNNNNNNNNNNNNNNNNNNNNNNNNNNNNGUAUGUGUUAUUGUAUGCGGUGUGUGUUGUGUUAUUGUAUGCAGUGUGUGUGUGUUGUGUUAGUGUAUGCAGUGUGUGUUGUUAGUGUGUGAUCUGGGGUGAGGGGGAGGAAGGGGCAUUUUAACAUUAAUUUUUAAUUAAUUGAAUUAAAUGUUUCUCCCCCCUCCCUGCUUACCUGUGUCCAUGGAGGGGGGAGAUUCCAUCCCUGGUGGUCCGGUGGGGGGCCCCCCGGCUCCCUGUUACCGCAGAGAGGGCCCAGGCAGCACACAGCUUCUCCUCUCUUCUCAUAACUCUCGCGAGACCCGGUUACCAUGGCAACGCUCCGCGGGUCUCGCGAGAGUUAUGAGAAGAGAGAAAACAGGAGGAGAAGCUGUGUGCUGCCUGGCUGGGCCCCCUCUGCGGUAACAGGGAGCCGGGGGCCCGCAGCUGCACACAUAGAUAGCGAUAUGCGCUAUCUAUGUGUGCAGAAAGGGAAAGUGGGGCCCAGGACUGCCAGAGCAGUCCGGGCCCCCCAGGGCCGCCGGGCCCGUGACAACUGUCACGGUUGUCACCCCCUGAUGGCGGCCCUGACUCUGGGGAUUGCUAUAAUCACUUACUCCCCAGAGUAAGCUCUUGUAAGAGCUUGAUUUGUUCCUGCUACGCUCUCUGGAUUUAGGAGAGGUUCACCCACUGGGAGCUGGAUCCUGGUCGUGGAUCCAGGGUGGGUGAGAGACGGCGAGAUCCCGACGCAGCUGCAUCGUUGGAAGUGGGGUCCGCAGUGCUGAUGGUGUCAGUUGGAGUGCUCGGAGUCCUCGACAAGCGCUAGGAGCAUCGAUUGGCGGAGGUACUCGGUCGGAGUGCCAGCGGUCCGUCACAUUACUUAAGUAAGGAAAUGUUUUAUUUAUUGUUUUUAUUCGAAGUAGAAGUGUAACAGGAUACCAUUCUAUAACUAAACAUCCACAUCCAUAUCUCCGACAAGAGAGUAAUUAGCGUUUUACUAAUAUCUCUUGCAUAAACAUUGUGUGUUACUAUGUCAAAACACAUUGGCACGCUUUAUCAGGGCCGGUGCAAGGAUUGUUGACGCCCUAGGCAACAAUACAUUUUGAUGCCCCCCUCAUGAAUGCAACUACAUUCCCUCAGAGGUUUAUUCAGUAAACUCUGAAUUACAGUGAAGAGACAUUUAGGGAAAGAGACUCACUGAGUAGGCAUUAAAGGGAAACUAUAGUGCCAGGAAAAAAACUUGUCAUCCUGGCACUAGAGCUACCCCCUCUGUCAAGCGUACCCCCCUCAUUGUGCAGAAGGGGUUAAAACCCCUUCUGUCACUUACCUGGGUCGAGCACCAAUAUCUUUCGUGUUGGCUUUAGUCCGCCUUUGCUCCUCAAUGGCCGCGCUCGCAGUGGUAUUUUCGUAGAGCUAGGUUUUGUGUGACACAGGACGGGACCAUGCCACUAGAAGAGUUAACCCUGAACGCUAAUUAUUGCAAUAUUGCAAUAAUUACCUUUGCAAUGUUACUUAAACAAUCUCACUAAUACAUACACUCUCUCACUGGCAUACACACUUACACAUUCUAACUCUAAGUUACACACUCUAACACAUACACAUUUUCACUGACCUAUACAUUGUCACUUACACACUCUCACUGAUAUACAAACGCUCUCACUGACAUACACACAGUGUCACCUACACACUCUCAUUAAUACACACACUAUCUCACUGACACACCGUGUAACUUACACACUCUCACCAACAUACACAUUGUCAGUUACACACUCUUACCAACACUGACAUACACACAGUGUCACCUACACAUUCUCAUUAAUACACACACUAUCUCACUCACACACAGUGUCACUUGCACACUCUCACUCACACACACAGUGUCACUUACACAUACUCACUAACAGUGUCACUUGCACACUCUCACUAAUACACACAUCCAGUCACUUGCACACUCUCACUAAUACACACACACACACACACACACACAGAGUCACUUGCACACUCUCACUAAUACACACACACACACACAGAAUCACCUGCACACUCUCACUAAUACACACACACACAGUGUCACUUGCACAUUCUCACUAAUACACACAUCCAGUCACUUGCACACUCUCACUAAUACACACAGAGAAUUACUUGCACACUCUCACUAAUACACACACACAGUGUCACUUGCACACUCUCACUAAUACACACAGAGAAUCACUUGCACACUCUCACUAAUACACACACACACAGUGUCACAUGCACACUCUCACUAAUACACACACACACACACACACAGUGUCACUUGCACACUCUCACUAAUACACACACACACAGUGUCACAUGCACACUCUCACUAAUACACACAUCCAGUCACUUGUACACUCUCACUAAUACACACACACACACACACACACACAGUCACUUACACACAUUGUCACUUACACACUCUCAUUAACACACACUGUCACUCAAACACAGACUCACACCACUUUACAUAAACACACACUUUGUUUACAUACACAAACACAGCAAUUUAACACACACACCAAUUUACAAACAUGGACACAAUAAGCAAUCCCCCAUAUCCUCCAGUUAUGCCAUCCCUGGGUGCUGUGAAGAUGAGAAGAGGCUGCAGGAUUUUGUUCUUUCUGCUGGAGGAGCAGGAGAGCCGUUCACUGUGAGCACAGGCUGCUUCCUGUUUCCUUCACCGUGUUCACAGGCAAGGGGCCGCCUGGAUACCAGGUCACAUCCCGGCUUCCCCUGCCUGCAGCAAGCACAGGGCUCUGCUCGGGUGCUGGGGUUACAGUAAACUCUGCUCCCCGGGCAGGUAAUCGGCUGCAGAGGGAGCCCAGCAGCUGAAUGGCUGUGCUGGGGGUGGCUAAGGAGCUUUAUUCUUCUCCUCUUUGGCCUUUCCCCCUAUCUCAAUGUCACAGUUACUUAGCGAAUUAUCCUAGUAAAGUACAGAAAAUUCUGAUUCCAUAUACUCUUGUCCCUAUUGUCUUUUUGGACUCUUUUCGUGAUUUUUACAUAUUCUUUGCCCCCUACUGUCUGUUCUUUUGAGAUAAUCAAUAGAUUUCCACUCAUUAUUUCUUCCUCAUCACUUGACUACUUUCUCAUUUCCAACUCACCAUCCAUGUUCCGUGCAUUCCAUUACUUACCAGUGAGCUGUACUACUUUCCCAUGCUCAUGACUUGGACACAUUUUAUGACCCAUGUUAGAAUUUGUCAAAUCUAAGAACGUCUGACGUGUUAGAACUUUAAAUAGAGCCUAAUACUAUUCUCAUGCAGAACCAGACGCAAAAACUAAGAUUGCUUUUAUUUAAGUUGAAUCUGGUUCUGAUCAGGCCAUCUCAUUCUUUUACUUGUAUCCUCUGUACCGUUAUGUACAUUUAAUUUUCAAUUACCGCCUGUGUAGAGGAUGGCUUUCUUUGAAAUAAAGUUGUUUUUCAUUUCUGUUUUCAAAGCAUAAAAUGCAUGAUAACAAUAACUGGAUUUGUUCACUAAAAGUUUGAAAACAAACUUUAAAAUUUAAGCCUAAAUAGUCAAGAAUAUUUAUUCCAUCUCAACCAUGUUAACCUAAAUUUUGUUGAGAGUUGGUCAAUCCGAUUUAUAUUAAGUCUUUUUGUUUGAAAAUCCACUAAGUUAGUAUAACCUUAUCAUGAAAACAUGUUUUUUGGUUUAUUUGUGUAUUUUUGAAAAAGAUUUUUAAAACAAUGACAUCUUUUUUAUCACACAGUAGUUGAAUCGAUAGCGUCCAAAAAUUGUGAAUCAAAAAUAAGAAGCCUAAAUGGUGUUACGUAUUUUCUUUUGCAUUAUUAAAUCUUUAUAGAACUGUCGUAUAAGGUUUCAUUUUCCGCUUAAUGGCCAAACACUCCAAAAUUACAGGAGGCUGACAGAGAAUGUACUAUUCUGAUGCAUCAUUGUCCAUUGCCCUGGCCGAAUCCCAAUGUUGAGAUAAAUGGGUGUAAACAAAUGUCACGUAAAAAUAAAUAUUCUUGACACUGAGCAGAAUAGUGUGUCUAAGAUAAAACACGGAGGCUUCCCAAAUUGACUGGAGCUAAUGAGUUGUCUUUGUUACAAAUAGCUCUGGGAAAGUAAGUCAGAAGAAAGAAGGAACAUUUUCUGCAGCCAACAAACAUGGUGUACCAGAGGAUUCUGCAGUUGACUAAGUAUGUUGCUUUACUGGUGUUCCUUGGUCACAUCUCCUGUUCCGAGAUUGAGAACCGAUCUGUGUCAGACUCAUGUUCAACACACACAAUUUUACCUGGACCCAAAGGUGAGAGAUUGCGGAAUAUGCUCAUAGUUUGCAACUAUAUGUUUGAUGAUCAAUAAAAAAAAGGAACAGAACGUCACACUGUAAUACUGUAAAUGUAACACUGAUCUGCAGUGAAUAGUUACAAAUGAUCAGAGAUUCAUCACCUAAAAAAUGUAAUUUGAUCUUCAAUCCAGUUUUAAAAAUCCAUUUGUACAUCGCUUCAAUAGUUUCAUUUUUUUAACAUAGAACUGUUUAUUGUUUUUGCCACCUCUUGUGCUUUUAAAGCAGAGAUGGCCAAAAUGUAGAUCCCCAGCUGCUGUAACCCCCAAGAUACUUUGCCAGCCUUAAACCUUAAAAAGCACUACAAUACUUGUAAUUCUCAUUCUCUGCUCAACUUGCAUAUUUUCAAUUUGUGAAACUUGUUCUUUAACCCCUUAAGGACACAUGACAUGUCAUGAUUCCCUUUUAUUCCAGAAGUUUGGUCCUUAAGGGGUUAAAUGGUUCCUACAUUGGAAUAGAGGAAGGAUCAUUGACAUACACAAAAGAUGUGCUGCUUAUGCUCGGGCAAAUCCUAAUGCAGAGCUGCUCCCUCCUAGCCCCCAAGUGAAAAUGUAACUUUUAUCCCUAAAAUAAAACGUAUUAUUCUCUGCCUAUUUUUUUACGUUAAUAAGUAUAGAUACUGUGUAACGGGAUGCUUACUGCAGUUUUAGCCUCAGUACAAAUUACAGAAGCAUACUUAGAACCCUCACAAAAUAUCUCUGUAAGAAAUAUUAUUAUCAGAAAGCAAUAGUAGUUAUUCUGUAGUUAUAAUGAACCACAGUAUUAAUCGAUCAUUAGAACGAUAUGUCAUGCAUUAUAUUUGUGUUUAGUAGAUAUGAUCAUUUUGUUUUCUCAAAGUAAUUGCAAAUGGUCGUUAAACAUCGCCUAGAGCAUCUCCACACGCCAGCUAAUAACAUAUCCAUAUGUUGCUCUCCCUAUUUAAUGAUACCCAUUCAGGGCAGUAUAAGGGCCUGGGGAUUUACAGUACAAUGCAACCUAAUGUAAGAAAGUAGGAAUCACAGAUACACUCAGUUAGCAAAGUAACAAGUAAGAGACAAUGGGCCAGUUGGAAAUAUGAUCUCCACGGCUCACCCUCGACUCUUUGCUAUAUUUUUACGAUGGUCAACUCAGGCCUCCACCCGUUAGGAAAUAUGAACAUGCUUGUGUUAUUUUCCAUUAAACAUCUAUGGGAAAUAACACACAAGCACUCCACUUAAUGGCAUUAUGGCUAUUAAAUGAGCUUAAUUGGCAAAAAAGUAUCAGUUUUAGAACAGCGGUGAAGGAGAUUGUACAUCCCUAAUCUAACUCUAACUUAACACGAGGAGCACCAAAACACAACUCUGAAAGUACUGGAAUAAAACACGUACAUACAUACACUGAUUCUUUCACGGCAAAGCAUGUAUCUUGUUAGUGCUUGGAAUUUCACUGUCUCCUCAAUGUUAUAUAAUUUGAAGGGAGAAUAAUACCAAUAUUUUUUUUAUUUUUUUUUUAACUAAAAAGAUCUUUCAAUGGUGGCGGUUACUUUUGUAUUGUGGGAAGAGGUUCAUAAUGGUGAUGACUGUAAGGCAUUGGACAUCUGGCGAAUGUGUGUGAGAGCAAUAUGUGUCACUUUACUAAUUAUAAUGUGAGGAGUGAUCUGUCAGCUGGUCACUAUGCCAUGUGGCUACCCAAUCCCAUGUGGGAAUUGGUGAGUCUAAAAAAUCAAAACACAAAUUAAAUGUCACUGGGAAUCUAUAAUUAACUAAAACGGGUUAAGCAACCUCUGGCACUUCUGAUGUUGUGGACUACAUCUCCCAGAAUGCUCUUACAGCUAUACUGCUGACAGAGCAUAGGUUUAGAUGUAGUCAACAAUAUCUGGAGCCCCUAGAGUAAUCUACAGCCUCUUCCUGUGUCUGUCCUUUGCCCUCUGAAAGAGCAGUUAUUUAGUCAAUGUGGAAACUAUGCAGAGGGAACCGCUCUGCUGUUAAGAAAGCGAGCAAUGAGAACGUACACUGAGGAUAUAUAGAUAUAUAGUGAGCGAUCUGCAGCUGAUAUAACGUUAAUAUUAAAUAUGGACACAAUGAUGUUGAUUGACACUUCCAUCAUUCAGAAAAAAAUAUAGAGGGUGUGUCAAUGGAACCCACUAAAUCGUAGCAACAUAGUUUCAUAGUUGAUAGCUGAUAUGAGACGUGUCCAUCAAGUUCAGCCUUUCUCACAUAUGUUUUUGCCGCUGAUCCAAAAGAAGGCAAAAAAAAAACCCAGUGCGAAGUGCUUCAAAUUUUGCGACAAACUAGGAAAAAAUUCCUUCUUGGUGCCAAAAUGGCAGUCAGAUAACUCCUUGGAUCAAUAAGCUAUUACCCCAUCUUCCCUAUUCAUCAUAUGCUAUUCAUGCUUGCGUAAUUCGCGACAUGGAAGAAAUAGAGGAUACUUCUGAAAUGCUUUCAUUUAAAAUAAGAUUUGUCUAAUUUCUAAUUAGUAUUUAAUGUAUAGGCAAAUAUUGUUUUUUAACAGUGGAAUAAGACCUGGAGCCAGUUUUUUGAGGAAGGGAUUAACACUCAGAAUUUUAUGGGUAACUUUGAAUAGGGCAAAAAAAAAUAGAUCAUUUUGGCACAAUGGGUGUAUGAUUAGGGCCCAGACAAAGAUACAUUCUCCAAAAACAUUGUGUUCUUUGUUGUAAGCUGCGGUGUACGACAGCAUCCUGAGAGACUGCUGCACUGAUCCAAUUUGUGGCUAAUCUUGCACAUUGCUGAUGUUUGACUUCCCAAGCAAUGUACUGACUCCCUGUUGUGUUCUUCAGAAUUCAGAGAAUGCUGAAUUGAUUUUCAUAUUUUAAAGAAAGAUCAACAGAUGUCUUCUAUUUUACAUGCACAAAUAAAAGUGGUUAUCAGGAGCUCAAAGAAGCCAGUGCUUUUGGUAGGUGGUGAUUUAAAGAACAGGUGUAUAAAGAUGUAAUAAUUCUGCUUCUUCUUUUGGAAGCUUCAGUAGUAGUAAUUAACCCCUUAAGGACACAUGACGGAAAUAUUCCAUUAUGAUUCCCUUUUAUUCCAGAAGUUGUGUCCUUAAGGGGUUAAAAUAGUUUAAAAUAGAGAACCUUGCUUUUAACAAACAUCUCUUUACCAAUUGUACAUAGGAAAAUGUUGUACAUGAAAGCGGCAAAUAGAGAUAUACUUUUAGAUAUUUAUUAAGGCCUCAAUCUAGGUACAGAAUAAAGAUCCAUGAAUACAAGUGUUUUUGGAAACUGAACAAUGUAUAGAUAAUGGUUUAUUUUUAUUAAUGUAUACAUAAGUCACAGCUAUGUAUUAUAACUGGCAUUUACAUGUACACAAAAAUGCAUUAUGUGUAAUGCCGCACACAACACUGAAAAGGUUGAUAUAGCUAAGGGAGGUUACCUGUGUGGGUUUAGGGCUUUUUGGCAAAGUUUAACCUUUAUUAUUUCAGUUUUAACGUUAGGUUGAUCUUUUUCAAAAGAUCAUGUGUGCGCUUGCCGCCUGGAUUCAAUAACAAUGUAAAGAAAAAAAAUAAAGGUUUAUUUUAACACAAAGAACAAUAUUCAGUAUGGCCCAUUAGGAGGCAAUUAUCCUGUUUUUUUUUUUAAAUUAUAUAUUUUUUAUAAUUUGUCAUGUAUUUCAAUUUUCUUGCAGAUUUUAAUUAUCUCUAUUAUCAUUAAUGUUUUCAUUUUGACCUUCAAUCAUUAUAUUAACAAUCUAAAAUCCACCUAUCUUUUGUGUCUAUCGCUUUCAAAUCCGUUCAACCUUUAUAUUAUAAAAACUGAAUAAUAGGCUUCUAAUUGGCAUGGACUUCCUGUGGGCAUAAUGGACAUUUGACAUCAUCAACACAUUCGAAUUCUGGUUUAUUUUUUUCCUACACAGUGGAAUGUUACCAGACAUCCACAUUGAAAGGCAAUUAUAUUUGUAUACGAUAAUGGCAGCUACAUUUCCUAUCUUUCUUGGAUAUUUGAAGACAAUAUUAAUUUGUUAGAAAUAUUUUUAAAUAUCUUUUUAUAAAAUGUUUUAUGACAGAGUAACGUUCCCAUUUUUUUGUGUGUGCUAUUAAGUAAUACGUGUAGCUAGAAUUUUUAUUCUUCUAUCGGAACAGUACGUAUAAGACUCUGCAAAAAAAUAUCUUGUAACAAAGUGCAAUGUGCCAGUAUGCCCACACUUCCUAAAUGAAUAUGUGAUUAUAAAUCCACAUCCGUGCACCUCCUCCAAUUUUAAACCAACGCUCCUUUUCUCUGCCUGACACCAAGCUUUGAUCUGGGAGAACUUAUAAUUUCUACAAUUUGUUUUGGACCUCAGCUUCAACACAUAUCCAAUUAACUCUUUACUUUUCUUACCUCAUAUUAUUUUCAGUAAAUUUCCUGUUUUUUUUAAUAUUACUUAAAGAAGAGUUUCAGAAAAAAAUGAUUCAGUUAGACGCCACUUAUGUGCUCCUUUUAGUAAGUGGUGUUAGAAAGCCCAAACAGAAACUGCAGUAUGAUGGGAAUGAUGAGAUAAAAAUGGCCAGAUACAUUCUCACUUAAACACUGUAUCUAUUGAAAUUCAACUAAAUUGCACCUUUGGAUAGAACACAAUUGACAAUCCAUGAAAAUAAAGAUAGAAUGCUAUGGCCUAAAUACAAUGAAAUGGGUGGACUUUUUUUGCAAUUAAAUAUUAAAUAUAUUGAAUAAUAUUACACAAUAAUUAUACCUGCAAACCUCUUAAAACAUGUGCUGUCAUUUAUAAAAUUAAUUGUUGGUUGAUCGCUGACUUUGGUUAUUUAAUGUGAAUAUCAAAUUGAAGGCUAAAGUAGCUAAACUCAGCUAAUGCUUUACAAUUAUGCAAAGCAUAAAUUCAAAUAGUAAAAACAUACUCUUGCAUUUGCUGUAUUUCCCCAGGAUUUGCAGCAUCUGAAGUGAGCUGAGGUGAAUGCUGAUCAAAUCCUGUAUAGGAUCUGUUAGACAUUCAGCUUCUCCUGAAAUCAGCAUAGGGUUAGUUAGGAUAAGUUAGAUGUAUUAAUAUAUGUCCUGAAUGGUGUACAGACAGCUUAGCUUUAUUUAUAGUUUUUAGGAUUUCACAAGAAUGCUGAAAUUUGAAAAAUUACCAUAGAAAUGUUCAGCCUAACUAACUAUACCCUAAUUUAAACAUUAAUAUUAAUGAAGCAUAGUUUAUAUGCCAUAGUGUAGCUAAGGAAAUGGUGGAAUCUAUCAUUCAGGCUGUUUUAGAAGCAAAAGGGGGUCCUGUCUUGGGCUGGCUCUAUCAGGGGGUCACAGUUUGUCCAUUGGACAAUUGAGAGGGACCUAUUCCCAAUUUAUGUUGGGUUUUUUAAAAUAAAUAUAUUUAGAUUUAGCAUUAAAGUGUUCCUGUUAGUGUUUAUGUUCAGAUAAAAAAGAAACAAAUAUAUAUGAUAAAUCUCUAUAAAACUCACUUGUAUUCCAGCCCCAUGGUUAGCCUCUACAGAGCCACUCUGCCCCCAACAAAAUCAACGGUUCUGAUUACUGUAACCCAGUCUCUUUGUCUAAUUUGUCAAAAGCAACACAAAUGUGGAAGCAUAUGGAGUAACAGCAGGAAAGAGAUACAGAUUAAUAUUUGAAAAUAUACAGGGAGUGCAGAAUUAUUAGGCAAAUGAGUAUUUUGACCACAUGAUCCUCUUUAUGCAUGUUGUCUUACUCCAAGCUGUAUAGGCUCGAAAGCCUACUACCAAUUAAGCAUAUUAGGUGAUGUGCAUCUCUGUAAUGAGAAGGGGUGUGGUCUAAUGACAUCAACACCCUAUAUCAGGUGUGCAUAAUUAUUAGGCAACUUCCUUUCCUUUGGCAAAAUGGGUCAAAAGAAGGACUUGACAGGCUCAGAAAAGUCAAAAAUAUUGAGAUAUCUUGCAGAGGGAUGCAGCACUCUUAAAAUUGCAAAGCUUCUGAAGCGUGAUCAUCGAACAAUCAAGCGUUUCAUUCAAAAUAGUCAACAGGUAGUGAUGUCGCGAACCCGAAAUUUUCGGUUCGCGAACGGCGAACGCGAACUUCCGCAAAUGUUCGCGAACCGGCGAACCGCCCGAAACGCCAUUGACUUCAAUGGGGAGGCGAAUUUUAAAACACACAGGGACUCUUUCUGGCCACAAUAGGGAUGGAAAAGUUGUUUCAAGGGGACUAACACCUGACUGUGGCAUGCCGGAGGGGGAUCCAUGGCAAAACUCCCAUGGAAAAUUACACAGUUGAUGCAGAGUCUGGUUUUAAUCCAUAAAGGGCAGAAAUCACCUAACAUUCCUAAAUCACAAUGAAUAUGGAUUGACACCUGACAUAUGACAUAUUGACACCUUGACAUAUGGAUUGACACCUGUCCUCAGAGCCCCUGAUGCACACGGACACAGAGCAGAAUAGGGACUGUUCCCCCUACAUAGGGUCACUUGGCAGAUAUGGAUUGACACCUGUUUACAAACUGCUAUUUGUAACGGGCCCUUUAAAUGGCAAAUUGCCCUGUUUCCCUGGGUUGUGGAGAAGCCUCUUUGCCAGCCUCCUCCCGCAUGACUAUGGCCCCUGGGAGAUUGUGAAAAUGUAUGCACUUUAUUUGGUGUGUAUGGCCCUUUAAGACUGUCGGUGGGCAUAUUGGGGCUUAUGGACUCUUUAUGUGACUGGUGCUGGCCCUUUAAACACCUUUUUUGGGACAUCAGGAAGAUUGGGACACUGCCCCUUUAAGGCCGUGUCCCCAGACUUGUUGGGGACACGGCCCUUUAAGACGGUGUCCCCUGUGUCCCCAGACCUGGUGCAAACCCUUUGUGCCUGCCUUGCUAUUUCCCACUUGGUUCAGUAAAUGGGAAAUUAUUUCAGCUGCAGAGACUAAGUCCCAUUCGGCGAUGGGACUUAGUCUUUUUUCAGCCGUUUUUUUCAGCCUUAUUUCAGCUGCAGAGACUAAGUCCCAUUCGGCGAUGGGACUUAGUCUUUUUUUCAGCCGUUUUUUUCAGCCUUAUUUCAGCUGCAGAGACUAAGUCCCAUUCGCCAUGGGACUUAGUCGUUUUUUCAGCCGUUUUUCAGCCUUCCCUAUUUCAGUUGGGUAGAGACUAAGUCCCAUUCAAGCAUAAAUUUAGUCUUUUUUCAGCCGCUUUUUUCUAGCCUUAUUUCUUAGUUGCAGAGACUAAGUCCCAUUCGGCGAUGGGACUUAGUCUUUUUUUCAGCCGUUUUUUCAGCCUUAUUUCAGCUGCAGAGACUAAGUCCCAUUCGGCGAUGGGACUUAGUCUUUUUUUCAGCCGUUUUUUUCAGCCUUAUUUCAGCUGCAGAGACUAAGUCCCAUUCGCGAUGGGACUUAGUCGUUUUUUCAGCCUGAAAUAGACCGAACUCACAGCCCAAAUCUAUGGAACUGUUUUGGGCAGGAAAAUGUGCUUGCAGUCGGUCAUAAAGGGACCUACAGCUAAUUUUUUAACCCCUGGAUGGAUUUGGCUGAUUUUUUGGCUAUGUUUAUGUUUUAAGUGUGCUGAUUCCAAAUAUGUAAUUAUGAAGAUGGGAUGUGUAGUUUUAAAGUUACAGGGUAUGGCUAAAAACUGCAUUUUUACUGCCUGUGUUUAAUUAUGUUAAUCUCUUCCCAAACGUCAUUUCGUUCAAAGUGGAGAGAAUGUUAAAAAAAUAUAUUUUUGUUCGGAGUGUGAGAAAUGCUUUCAGCCGCUUCUAAUCUUAAGCAUCAUUUGAGGAGCCAUACAGGAGAGAAACCUUAUUAGUGGUGUGUUUAGUAUUGUUCUGAUCAGUUUAAUACCUUCCCGCUGCCUCUAUCAGUGGACGCGGUAUAUGUGGUAAGCGCCAUUUAGGAACCGUGACACCUGGGACCCUCGGUGCAAGGUCACUGCUCAACAGGCUUACAACAUUUGUCCCUGAAAACUAUCCUGACAUUCUGGCAGGCCAAUUUGUAUGGAUAUGGCAUUGAUUUUCGUAACAGGGAGAUGGAAGAAGAGGCUUGGUCGGUCCUCUUACUGCAAAUUUGGGGCACUGCGCGGUCAAGCUAAUGUGACACCAGAUAGGAGUGGUGUGUUUAGUACUAUUUUUAUCAGUUUAAUACCUUCCGCUGUCCUAUCAGUGGUCCUGAUACACNNNNNNNNNNNNNNNNNNNNNNNNNNNNNNNNNNNNNNNNNNNNNNNNNNNNNNNNNNNNNNNNNNNNNNNNNNNNNNNNNNNNNNNNNNNNNNNNNNNNGCGCAGUGCCUCAAAUUUAAUGUGAUCUGUGAGUAGGGUAAACGGUUGUCCAUACAAGUAGGUUGCAGCUUUUUGAGGGCCCACACCACCGCCAUGCACUCCUUUUCAAUGGCAGUGAAUAUACUUCGCUGUGCAAAAGUUUACGGCUUAGAUAAAAUCAAUGCCGUGUACACGUCCACUGAUAGGAGACGCGGAAGGUAUUAAACUGAUCAGAACAAUACUAAACACACCACUCCUUUUUUUUGGUGAGGCUUUACAGGACAGAGUGCUUCUCCACGGGACAUGUUAACUCACGGGCAGCUGGCUCAUCAAGGAACCACAGCAGCUUUCCAUGUACAGGUAAGACACGUGCAGCCGGUAAGGGUUCAGGCUCUUCUUCCUGGAGGAUACGCUGCAAGCCUGUUGAACGAGGUGACCUUGCUCGGGUCCCAGGUGUACGGUUCCUAAAAUGGCUGCCAUAUACACGUCCACUGAUAGGAGACGCGGAAGGUAUUAAACUGAUCAGAACAAUACUAAACACACCACAAUAAGGUUUCUCUCCUGUAUGGCUCCUCAAAUGAUGCUUAAGAUUAGAAGCGGCUGAAAAGCAUUUCUCACACUCGAACAAAAAUAUAUUUUUUAACAUUCUCUCCACUUUGAGCGAAAUGGCGUUUGGGAAGAGAUUAACAUAAUUAAACACAGGCAGUAAAAAUACAGUUUUUAGCCAUACCCUGUAACUUUAAAACUACAUCCCAUCUUCAUAAUUACAUAUUUGGAAUCAGCACACUUAAAACAUAAACAUAACCAAAAAUCAGCCAAAUCCAUCCAGGGGUUAAAAAGUUAGCUGGAGGUCCCUUUAUGACCGACCGCAAGCACAUUUUCCUGCCCAAAACAGUUCCAUAGAUUUGGGCUGUGAGGUCGGUCUAUUUCAGGCUGAAAAAACGACUAAGUCCCAUCGCCGAAUGGGACUUAGUCUCUGCAGCUGAAAUAAGGCUGAAAAAAACGGCUGAAAAAAAGACUAAGUCCCAUCGCCGAAUGGGACUUAGUCUCUGCAGCUGAAAUAAUUUCCCAUUUACUGAACCAAGUGGGAAAUAGCAAGGCAGGCACAAAGGGUUUGCACCAGGUCUGGGGACACAGGGGACACCGUCUUAAAGGGGCCGUGUCCCCAACAAGUCUGGGGACACGGCCUUAAAGGGGCAGUGUCCCAAUCUUCCUGAUGUCCCAAAAAAGGUGUUUAAAGGGCCAGCACCAGUCACAUAAAGAGUCCAUAAGCCCCAAUAUGCCCACCGACAGUCUUAAAGGGCCAUACACACCAAAUAAAAGUGCAUACAUUUUCACAAUCUCCCAGGGGCCAUAGUCAUGCGGGAGGAGGCUGGCAAAUAGGCUUCUCCACAACCCAGGGAAGCAGGGCAAUUUGCCAUUUAAAGGGCCGUUACAAAUAGCAGUUUGUAACAAGGUGUCAAUCCAUAUCUGCCAAGUGACCCGAUGUAGGGGGACCAGUCCCUAUUCUGCUCUGUGUCAGUGUCUAUCAGGGAACCUUAGGACAGGUGUCAAUCCAUAUCUGCCAAGUGACCCGAUGUAGGGGGAACAGUCCCUAUUCUGCUCUGUGUCAGUGUGUAUCAGGGAUCCUUAGGACAGGUGUCAAUCCAUAUCUGCCAAGUGACCCUAUGUAGGGGGACCAGUCUCUAUUCUGCUCUGUGUCCGUGUGCAUCAGGGGCUCUGAGGACAGGUGUCAAUCCAUAUAUCAAGGUGUCAAUAUGUCAUAUGUCAGGUGUCAAUCCAUAUUGAUUGUGAUUUAGGAAUGUUAGGUGAUUUCUGCCCUUUAUGGAUUAAAACCAGACUCUGUAUCAACUGUGUAAUUUUCCAUGGGAGUUUUGCCAUGGAUCCCCCUCCGGCAUGCCACAGUCCAGGUGUUAGUCCCCUUGAAACAACUUUUCCAUCCCUAUUGUGGCCAGAAAGAGUCCCUGUGUGUUUUAAAAUUCGCCUCCCCAUUGAAGUCAAUGGCGUUUCGGGCGGUUCGCCGGUUCGCGAACAUUUGCGGAAGUUCGCGUUCGCCGUUCGCAAACCGAAAAUUUCGGGUUCGCGACAUCACUACAUAUAUACCUUGCUAUAAGAUCUUUAUAAACAGUACAUUAGCCAUCAUACAUAAUUUCCCCUUAUUCCUGACCCUAUAGUGUUAAAACCACCAUCAAGAUCUCCUGACCCCCACCUGCUCCUCUAAAUAGCAAAAUCCUGCUUGUAUUCCAGUCUGCUGCUAUUGGCUCUACUCCUGUUCUGCCUGCUUGACUGACAUCAUCAGAUGUGGGGUUCUGAGCCAAUCACAAUGCUUUCACAUAGGAAAUCAUUAGAUUGACGGAGAACGUCAAGGAAGCAGAUCAGGGGCAUAGCCAGCACUACCCCAGGAAGCAUCUCUAGCAGCCAUCUGAGGAGUAGCCAGUGGAGGUAUCCCUAGGUUGUAAUGUAAACACUGCAUUUUCUCUGUAAACUCAGUGUCUACUGCAGAAAGCCUGAAGGGAAUGAUUGUACUCAGGACAAAUACAAUAAACUGCAGUCGUUCUGCUGACUAUAUUGUCCCUUUAAGAUACCUUGUAUGAAAUCUGGCAAUGAUAAUAUUAGUGCUGCGUUAUCUAUUAAGGUGUGGUUAGGGUUAGGUCUAAUGACGAAGUAUGAUUCUCACGAGUAGAUAUAAUGUUAUGAAUAAAUGUUUCAUCUCAUUCUAAAAUGUAAUUGGGGAAAUUUAGUGCAGCUUCCUACUGGAGUCAAAUAAAAGUUAAGUAUUAACUUUAUUAUUCCGGUAUUUUUUGUGCUACAACAUGUAAUGUGGGGAUUGCCUUCUAUGCGCAAACCAUUUUGUUUUGUAAUCUUUAAAUUCUGCUUUCUGAUGAGACCUAAUCUUUAUUUAUUAAUGACAAUGACUCCACAUUAAUUUUGACCUACUACUUAAUUACUUCAUUGUGUGAAUCUACCCAAUGUUAGUUUGAUAACUCGACAGCACCCUCUGCUGACUAAAUAGAAAUGUGUACAUUUAUUUAAUGCGGGUAUGCAAAUUAGAGCCAGCAAAUAAGUAAUUAAAUGUAUGUAUUGUUGCUUUUUAUUGUUUGAAAAAGAACUUGUAUGAUGCAUUUUUAACUGUUAAUUCUAAUUGCUUGUUAUCCAAUGUUCUGCAUGUUUAUAUUUUACAUGAUUUUCACCACAUAUUUAAGGACACGUCACCAAAGAUAGUACUUGUCCAAAAAUAAAGAAUUGUGUGUUAGUUCAAUUUGGGAACUGUGUGUCCUGUCUGGUUUGUUCAGAGAUCCCUGUAACAGAGUUUUCAGACCUAUUGGCUGGCUGCACUGGUCCCUGUUUACGAGAUUCUCCCCUGCCGGCUAAUGCACGGCGGGCACUGUCCAAGUGCCAGCCCUGCAAUGUGCCUUCAUGGACCGGUAAAGGUAAGAAGAGAGGGGGGACAUAAAUGUAUUUAUGUAAUUAAAUAAAUUUAAAAAAAUUAUUUAAAAAAAACCCUACCCUCCUUCCCCCCUCAUGCACACACUGCCCCCCCAUACACACACACACACACAGUGCCCCACAAACACUGCACCCAUACAUACACUGCCUCACACACACACUGCACACCCCCCCACACACACUGCCCCACAAACACACUGCCCCCCCACACACACACUGCCCCACAAACACUGCCACCCAUACAUACACUGCCUCACACACACCCACUGCAUGCCCAUACACAUACUGCCCCACAAACACUGCCAUCCAUACACACACUGCCCCACAAACACUGCCACCCAUACACACACUGCCUCACACACACACUGCACACCCAUACAUACACUGCCCCACAAACACUGCCACCCAUACACACACACUGCACACCCAUAGACACAUUGCCCCCCACACACAUACACUGCACACCCAUAUACACAUUGCCCCACACACACGUCCCCCCAUGCACACGACCCCCCCAUACACACACUGCCCCACACAUACAUACAGUGCCCCACACAUACAUACAGUGCCCCCAUACACACAUACAAGAGCCCUAGACUUUUUAGAACGCCUUCAUGGCACCCCCCACCUGGGCCAUUAACUUAUGAGGUAAGUAUCCUUAAUUUUUUGAAUGACUGUUUCAACGGAAGGGGUCUCCUUUUAAGCCAAACAUGUGCUAGAGCCCUCCUAGCUGCCAGAUUCAACUUGUGUACAAACUUUUGUUAUGUUUUCGUCCAAUCUUCCAUGGGUCUAGCUAACAAAAACACCCAAAGAUCUAAUUUAACAUCUUUAUCGAGAAUAUCCCUCGGCAAAUCAUUGUUUUUUUUCCAGUAUAUUUGCACAUCUGGGCAUUCUCACCACAUGUGGAUGCAAGGCCCCUUUUGUCCACACCCUCUCCAACACAAAUCCGUGGGGAUCUUAUGCAUUGUAUAUAAUUUGACAGGGGUGGUGUACCAACGAAACAUGGUCUUAUAUGACUGUUCCUGCAAGGGGACACAUAUAGAUGAUGCCGCCUUUGCUUCCCAUAUUUCCUGACACUCAACCCCCUCUAGCGGUUCACCUAGGUCAGCUUCCCAUUGGUCAGUAUAUGUCAACUCUCCCCAUUCUAAGAUAGUGGUGCUAAGGUGGGCGUAUAGAACAGAAAUCAAGCCCCUCUGGAAUUGCUCCCGAGAACUUUUCGAAAAACAUGAGCUGUUGUAAUGCAGCCUUCCUGACCUGGGCAUACUGAGCAUAGUCCCUAAGCUGGAUGUAUCUAAAGAAAUCAGAAGUUUAUAGGGUAGCCCUAGUUUUCAGCUCAAAGGUUAUGAAAGAGACUCAAAUUGAGGUCAAAGUGCUGAUGAGACCUAAUCUUUAUUUAUUAAUGACAAUGACUCCACAUUAAUUUUGACCUACUACUUAAUUACUUCAUUGUGUGAAUCUACCCAAUGUUAGUUUGAUAACUCGACAGCACCCUCUGCUGACUAAAUAGAAAUGUGUACAUUUAUUUAAUGCGGGUAUGCAAAUUAGAGCCAGCAAAUAAGUAGUUAAAUGUAUGUAUUGUUGCUUUUUAUUGUUUGAAAAAGAACUUGUAUGAUGCAUUUUUAACUGUUAAUUCUAAUUGCUUGUUAUCCAAUGUUCUGCAUGUUUAUAUUUUACAUGAUUUUCACCACAUAUUUAAGGACACGUCACCAAAGAUAGUACUUGUCCAAAAAUAAAGAAUUGUGUGUUAGUUCAAUUUGGGAACUGUGUGUCCUGUCUGGUUUGUUCAGAGAUCCCUGUAACAGAGUUUUCAGACCUAUUGGCUGGCUGCACUGGUCCCUGUUUACGAGAUUCUCCCCUGCCGGCUAAUGCACGGCGGGCACUGUCCAAGUGCCAGCCCUGCAAUGUGCCUUCAUGGACCGGUAAAGGUAAGAAGAGAGGGGGGACAUAAAUGUAUUUAUGUAAUUAAAUAAAUAAAUAAAAAUUAUUUAAAAAAAACCCUACCCUCCUUCCCCCCUCAUGCACACACUGCCCCCCCAUACACACACACACACACAGUGCCCCACAAACACUGUUGCUUUUUUUAAACCUUUAAAAUUGUGUGCUCUCAAACCUGGGGGGGGGGGGGAGAGGGGAUGCGGAACAAACAAAGCUGUAUUCUCAAGCAACAGAAUCCCACAGUGAGUUUAAGAUUUAGGAUAACCUGUUCGAAGGGAAGGUUGAUGGUCUUUCGGUACCCACAUGAAAAACUUUGGUAGGUCUGAACCCAUUAGUUAAGAUGCUAGAUUCUUUCCUCUGGGGUAGAAUGCCACAGGGCAAUCUGGGUUAAUUGGGCCGCUAAGUAUUAGAAAUAUAAAUUUGUUAGGCUUCGUCUUGCCCUGUAGAGAAUGUUGCCGGAAACUGUUUAUUUUGCCAUAUCAAGUUGCCUUUAGCCUGUUGAAGAGUGGUCAGGUUGGAUUUGGAUAUCUGGACUGGUAAGGCUUGGAAUAGAAACAGUAUUCUAGGCAACAAAUUCAUUUUUACAGAGUGGAUCCUGCCUAUCCAAGAGAUUGGCUUGUCAACCCACUUUUGCAUAUACUCUGUGAGGUUCCUGGACAUUGGAACGUAAUUUUUUGGGUAAAGUAGGGCAGGAUCCGCCGUCAGCCAAACACCCAAAUACUUAAUAUGAUGAGCUAGAUGGAUGUGGUAUGUCUGGCCAACGUGUGCCAUGUCCGCUGACGAUAGGCCUAUAGGAAGAGCACUUGACUUGUUCAAGUACACUUUGUAUCCUGCUAAUUUGCUGUAAGUCUCCAACACUCCUGUCAGUGCUGCCAUAGAUUCCUUAGGGCGUGUUAAGGUUAACAACACAUCUGCAAAGCCCGAGACUACAAAUUGCUGGCCUCCAACUGUUACCCCCCGUAUGUCCAGGUUGGAUCUAAUGGCUUUUAAAAGUAGCCCCAAAGAGAGGACAAACAGCGGGGCUGAUUGGGGCACCCUUCUGGUGCCAUUACUCAGUUGAAAUGGUGCGACCUGUGCCCCAGAUAUCCGGAUCUGCGCCCUAACAUUGGUAUAGAUAGCUAAAAUUGCUACGAUGAAUGAAUCAGAGAUGCCAACAAUUCAAACAGAUAAGACCAUUUAAACAAGCGACAGGAUCAAUGAUGGUGUGUUAGUGGCAACCAGUCUCCAUAUGAUAUCCACGUUGUAUCCGGUAUUUGCGAAUAGUUGCCUGCUGAAAUAAACCCAACUUGAUCCGUGUUAAUCAAAUGCGUUAACAUGGGGUUCAAUCUGUUAGCAAGAAUUUUUGCCAAAACCUUAGAAUUUUGGUUUAUUAGGGAAAUUGGUCAAAAGUUUGCUGGUUUAGAGUCAUCCUUAUCAGGUUUCGGCACCCGCUACAUUGGAAGAGGUUUCUGCUCUGCUCCAGUCCUCCCGCCCCACCACCUGCUCCCUAGAUCCAAUUCCCUCGCAUCUCAUCCGUACUCUGUCUUCUUCUCUUUCUCCACCUCUCACUAAAAUUCUCAAUCUCUCUCUCUCCCCUGGUAUAUUUCCAUUGCCCUUCAAACAUGCAACUGUAACCCCAAUUCUAAAGAAGCCCAAUCUUGACCCUAACUCCCCAUCCAACUAUCGUCCUAUCUCGCUACUGCCUUUUGCAUUCAAGAUCCUUGAAAAAAUUGUGUAUGCUAGAUUGACAGACUUCCUCGAGUCCAACUCUCUGCUAGACCCGCUUCAGUCUGGUUUCCGCGCUAAGCACUCUGUGGAAACGGCACUGACCAAAGUAUCCAAUGAUCUACUCGCUGCAAAAUCUCGUGGUCACUACUCUAUCCUACUUCUCCUUGACCUGUCUGCGGCUUUUGACACUGUUGAUCAUCAACUGCUUCUUCUCAUCCUCCGCAAUAUCGGUCUACAAGAUACUGCUCUCUCCUGGUGCUCCUCCUACCUCUCCCAGCGCUCUUUCAGUGUUUCUUUCUCUGGCUCUGCUUCUUCUCCCCAACUCCUCUCUGUUGGUGUCCCCAAGGUUCAGUCCUUGGUCCCCUACUGUUCUCCAUCUAUACUGCCUCCCUUGGUAAACUAAUUAGCUCCUUUGGCUUGCAAUAUCAUUUCUAUGCAGAUGACACGCAAAUCUACCUGUCCUCUCCUGAUCUCUCCCCAUCCCUCUCGACUAGUGUCUCUGACUGCCUCUCUGCUGUUUCUAACUAGAUGGCUGCCCACUUCCUUAAACUAAACUUGACCAAAACUGAAAUUCUGGUCUUUCCUCCCUCAAGUGUUGUUACUCCUGUGUCUGUCUCCCUCCAAGUCAACGGUGCUACCAUCAGCUCCACCACGCAGGCUCACUACCUAGGUGUUCUCUUUGACUCCGACCUCUCCUUCAAGCCUCAUGUUCAAUCUAUCGCCAAAUCCUGUCAUUUCCAUCUCAAAAACAUUGCACCCAUCCGCCCCUACUUAACGCCAGAUGCGACUAAGGUGUUGGUCCAUUCCACUGUCCUUUCUCGCCUUGACUGCUGUAAUCCGCUUCUCAGUGGUCUUACGUGCUCCCAACUAGCGCCGUUACAGUCCAUAAUGAAUGCGGCGGCGAGGCUCAUCUUCCUGUCCGCCCGCACCUCCCAUGCCUCACCCUUCUGUCAGUCCCUACAUUGGCUUCCUAUAAAAUAUAGAGCUCAAUUUAAAAUUCUGGUUCUUGCCUUCAAAUCUCUACAUAAUGCUGCUCCCAGCUAUCUAUCCUCCCUUAUACACAAGUAUGUCCCGUCUAGGCCCUUACGAUCUGCUGAAGACUUACAUCUAUCUUCUGUCCGUACUCUCACCUCUGAUAUUUGCCUUCAAGAUUUCUUGAGGGCUGCACCGUUCCUGUGGAACUCACUUCCCUCCUCCAUUAGAUGCUCACCCAGUCUCCACUCCUUCAAAAAAUCGUUAAAAAUCCACUUCUUCAUAAAAGCGUAUGAAUUAAACUGUUAAUAGCUCCUGACUGAUUCCUCUUCUGCAACUGUCACUAGUCUAAUACUAUAUUUACUUUUUGUGUCAUUUUACCCCACUCCCUCUAGCAUGUAAGCUCAUUGAGCAGGGCCCUCAACCCCUCUGUUCCUGUGUGUCCAACUUGUCUGGUUACAACUAUAUGUCUGUUCGUCCACCCAUUGUAAAGCGCCUCAGAAUUUGACGGCGCUCUAUAAAUAUCAUCAUCAUAAUAAUAAUAAUAAUAAUAAUAAUAAUAACACUAUAUUUGCCAGAGACAUGUCUAUCAGGUAUAACCACUUCCAUGGUCAUUAAACCAGGACUCUAAGUGGGGUGACAAUUUGUCGCGAAACGUUUUAUAAUAACUGCCUUUGAAAUCCUAAAUAGGAGAUAUAUAAUACCAGCCUCAGGGAGUGCAAUCCUGCAGCUAUACUGCCCCCCACUCCCCCAGCAGCCCCCAGCAGGGAAAGGGAUGGGAAGGAAAGUAUAGGGCAAGAGAAAGUAGAGGAAAUAGGAAGACAAAAAAGAAACAAAGAAAAAAAAACAUUAACAGCCUGGUCUUACCAAUAGCCAGACAUGGGUGGGGCACAUGUCCCAGCCACUCCCGAACACCAUCAGCGCUCUGGAGCCGCGGGGACAUAGACCAACACUAUGGUGCACCACAAAGGUGCCAACAUAUAAACCAUCUGUUACACAGACAUACCCUUACAAUUGGGAAUAGGUCAAAAACAUAUCCCAAGGCCCAAAGCCACCCCAUUUAGAAAAAAGAUCCCAGCCCCUCACCACCCGUAAACUUCAGCAAUGCCCGUGCCCCCCCCCUCUCCCACACACCCCAAAGGCGGAGCACAUAAGAUUAGAGUAACAAUAUGCGGUUAGAAUGAUCUUAUAGAGGAAAAAGAUUUUCAUAACAUUCUCAAGAGGCAGCAAUAACCCCCCCCCCCACUCCCAAUACCCAUGUCCAGUGCCCACCUAACAAUAAUAAAACAAGCUGGAGGAUGGAUACACCCGAAACAAUAACCAUAAGUGUGGGCUCCUCACACCAAAACCCUGAACCACAAGGGCUGCCCCACCCAAUAGAACCCAGGCACGUGGUAAAAUAAUCUGAGCACCCCAUUCGUUCGAGCAUGGCCGCCAUACCCAGGCAAGAAAAUUGUCAGCAGCGGUGCCUCUGGAAAUCACGGGCCAUACGCUGAUGACAAGGCAGGGGUAGUAGUGGGGAUCGUUGCCAGAACGGGGUGCAGUAUGGAACCAAGUGAAGGAAUAUAUCCCAUUUAUGACACACUCCCCCUAUAGUUAAAGCUCAGUGAGCAUACAGCCUGCCAUAUCAAACACAAGAAUUCAAAAUGAAAAUAUAUGCGAUCCCAGAAAAACAAAACCCAAUACCUCCCCCGUCACCCUUGCUGUAAUAUGUUUUUGUGCGUGAUUUUUUUUAUUUUUAUUUUGUUUUCUCUGUCAUAUUUUUUCCUUUUUAAUGUUUUAAUUUUUUUUAGGGUCCUUCCUUUUUUAUGUUGUGUUUUUUUUUUUUGCGUUUUAGUCAUUUUGUCCCCCCUUUUCUUUUAUUUACGUAGCGGAGGUGUCACUGCUACAAAAGUCUCCCAGAGGUAGAGGGUAAGGGACCCCUGCGAAGUUUGCAGUUUUCUGAUAACGUUAGUAUGUUAUUUGUUGACAUUUUAAGCCUGCCCCAUGCUCAUGGUCGGCAAAAUAACACCAGGGUCCCACUCCUUGCCCCCCCAAGCACACGCCACAACCCAAGAUCAACCAUGCGCCCGCAAUGUCCCAGGAACAACAAGGCCUCUCCCAUCCAUGGGAAGUAAAACCCUAGCCAGCUCAAUCUUGGUAAGCAAUCCCACCACAACUGUCACCCCAUAUGGGCAUAACAACCCAGGUAGCCGCUUCGGACAGGCGGACGUUAACAAGCCCGUUGUGGGACAGACCCAAUUGGCCCACCACCCAACAAAGACAAAGCACCCCAGGUAGGCCCCCAGCAAGGCUAACCCCUCGCAGCCAGCAGACUACGACAAAGGCCCCUCUGCCAGCAGAUAUCACUCGCCCACGGUAUACCAAUCACGCGAGAGAGGGGAUGCAAUACCUCUGCCGAGGUGCUGGGGAACGCCAAAUCCGUUGGAACCAUCCAGGUGUAAAACUCGGGUGCACCCAUCUUUGAACUGGGUGGACUCCACCCGUUGUUCCAACAGCGCCAUCCUCAUGCCCAAGGCCUGGAUCUCUGCUUUAACUUUGUUGGUGGUUCUGGCUAUCUCCGUAGCUAGGUAAGUAGCCAAGAUCUGCACCGUGUCAGCCACUGGAGUGCCUGGUGCAGCACUAUUCUCAGUGCUACAUGGUGAUUGUGGUACCCUCGGGCUCGCCCUGCUACCAUCUUGGGAACCUGACCCCAUGGCUUGUGAGGCCAAGAACAGAUCAGAGACCGUAACAAACUGUUCCAGCUGCUUCUUGGGCUGUUUUUUCUGGGACCUCUUAUCCGUGCUGCGUCCCCCAGGUCAGUGUCAGAACCUGUCUGAAUGCAUUGCCGAAUCCUCGAGGUUACGUCCACGUUCAGCAAUUAACUCCGCCCGCAUGAUGACGCGCGGCUUCCCUGCUGUAUAGGGAAGACUCGUCUAAGUCUAAUUGCUUGGGGAUUUUGCCUUGUGAGGGGGACGCUCAUCUAAGCUCCUGAUUCUCAUCGGUUGUUACUCGAAUUAACUUUGUUCCUGCUUUCUCAAAAACUCCUAAUUCAGUGAUUCAUCAUCUCUCAAGUAUUCUGGAAGGAAGGAUUAACUACUGAAGAUCUUCUUCCUAAAAGCAACCUGAAUACAAAUAAGUAUAUCUUACUUUCUUUGAAGUAUCUCCUGCUUUCACCUUCUGGCUAACUAUUGCUGCAGGCUGCAAUUAACUCUUUAGUUCCAUCUCUACAAUUGACUCCUCGAUGUAUCACUGAUAUUGAUUACUAAUCCUGCUACAAUACCUUCCAUGGACAUUGUUUAAUAUUGCUUAUUGCCUUUGGACAAUAUCACUAAUAGCAAGCCUACUCUCUUUAAUUAUUGGGGACUAAUUUUCAUCUAUUGUUGCUGCUUAUGUCAAACCUCUGCCGAGAUUGUUUACUUCUGCCUGCUUCUGCUUCUACACUAAUACUAUGGAAAUGAAUUGCUUUUCCUUGUUACAAUCUCUGCUGAAGAACUACAGAUCUUGCUUAUAUUGCCUGCUACUAUAUCUGCAAUUAUACCUGUGGACUACAUUGUAUUCUAAUUAUUCUAAUCCUGCAAAAAAUACUUAAAAUGCUUCUUUACGUCUGCAUAGUAUGCCAAUGACCUAAUGCUAUUUGUUUAAUUAUCUCUGCGAGACUGAGAGUUAAAGUCUCUCAAACUUUAUUUGGAUCAAGAAGAGGAAUCAAUUUCUCCCUUUAAAUUUUUAAAGUCACAGUUACAAUGUAUUUCUGCAGUUGUGUUCCACAAAACUCUAAGUUCUCCUUUUUGAAAGUGGUAACAGUCAGAGAUCUGCAAAAUCCGUGAAAUAAAUGCUUAUGUUAGCUGUUGGCCUCGUGGAGCUUCACUCGGACGCAUCCGGCUCGCUCCGACAACAGACCACGCCACCCACGAGAUCCUUUCUAAAGACAGUAGCUGGAGACAGUGAAGGCAGAGGUGAUGGUGUCUGCCUGGGAAAGAAAAAGAAGAGGCAAAUGUUCGGUAGAAGAUCCCAGAGAUCCCAGUCAAGCUUUGGUGACUGAGUCUAAAGCACUCCAGAUGGAGGUACUCAGUCAAAGUACAGGAGCUUAACUACCAAGGCAAACCUCUUAGGUGAACAGAUAUAGAGUAUAGGUACUCACUACGUACUUAAAAGUUAGAUAAAGGCUGCGGUUUAUCACACAAGUAUUCCCCAACCUUGUGAAAACACAAAAAUAGACAAAAACAGAAAGUAGAUAACCUGAGCCUUAAAAACUUUAAAUCUUUGGGUGAACUCACACACAAGAUGUAUACCUCGUGUGUGAUUUCACCCAAAGAUUUAAACCUCUUAGGUGAGUGCAUAUUAACAAGUCCUCAGCUAAAAAGGAAAAUCUCUAACGAGGCAGAAAUGGGCAUUUUUAUUAACACCUACAACAACCCAUACCAUAAUUGUUAUUAUAUUUAGAUGUAAGUCAUGCAAUUUAGCUUGUUUCUGUGCCUACGUGUGCUUGUGAUGUAAACCCUGGACUCAGGCAAGACAUUGGUUGCUCAAACACUCACUCUUUUUCACUUUUGGGAUGAAGGCUCCUGGAUCCUUUUGAGAGUAUCUCUUUUUUUGGUACUCAUUGUUGGUGAGCACCCUCUUUGAAAAGCACUGCAGGUAACUCAGUAACAUUAAAAAUGUAUAAUGUUAUAUUUAUUAUUAUUUAUUAUUAUGUACUAUUACACAAGUUAUUGCAUUUUGAAAUUAUCCGUAAUUGUUCAUUGCAAUUAUAUAGAAAUAAAUAAAAUAUAUACACAUACAAAUGUACACGUGAAACUGAAUAUUUUUGAAUGUGUGUCAAAAAUGUUAAAAGCCUGAGAAAAUAUUAGGCAGAGUAAAAACAAAACAGCAUAUGAAAAUAGUUAACAAUUGCUGGAAAAAUAAAAACUUUGUACUCUAUGCUUGCUAAUCCUUCAGUAAUUUGCUUAAUGAUAGUACAGGCUGUGUUUUACACAAAAGUACAUAUAAAUAAUGUAAUUGUGCAAACAUUAUUUUAUCAACUUCAAUAAUCUUGGGAGAAUAAAUUAAAAAUAUAUUCACAUGCAAGUCUUUUAAAUUGAACCCAGAAUGUAAAACAAAACAGGAAAAAAACACAAUAUUGCUCACUUUGAUCCUGCAAAAGUUAAGAUGAACCAAUUUCCGAACUGCUGACUCACAGAGCUGUGAGUUCAUGUAUCAGUCUCCGAUCAUACAACAUUAAAGCCACUGACAGAUAAGUGAAUAACUUUGAUUAUAUAAUUACAAUGGCAGCUGUUAAUCGGUGGAAUAUAGUAAGCAGCAAGUGAACAGACAGUUAUUGAAUUUCAUGUGUUGGGGCAGGUAAAACAGGCAAGUGAAGAAAUCUGAGUGACUUUGGCAAGGACAAAUAGUGAUGGCUAGACAACUGGAUCACAGUAUCUUCAAAAUGGCAAGUCUUGUGGGGUGUUCCUGGUGUCCAGUGGUUAGCACGUACCAAAAUUUGUGUCAGGAACAACUGGGUCAUGGAUGCCCAAGUAUCAUUGAUGCAUGUGAAGAGAGAAGACCAGCUUGGCUGUUACAAUCACUCAGAAAAGCUAUUGUAGCUCAAAUUGCUCAAACACUUGCUGCUGGCCAUGAUAGCAAGGUGUCAGAACGCACAGUGCAUUAUUGUUUUCUGUGUAUGGGUCUGCAUGCGCAUGAUGACCCCAGUCCACUGUUGAGAGUACCUUCAAUGUGGACCUGAAUGUCAGAAGUGGACCAUGGAGCAAUGAAAGAAGGUUGCCUGGUCUGAUGAAUCAUUUUUUUUCUUUUAGAUCAGGGGGAAGGCCAGGCGUGUGUGCAUUGUUUACCUGAGGAAAAAAUGGCAGCCAGAUGCACUAUGGGAAGAAGGCAGGCCAGUGGAGGCAGUGUUAUGCUUUUGGCAAUGUUCUGCCGGGAAACCUUGGGUCCUUGAAUUCAUGUAGAUGUUACUUUGACACGUACCACCUAUCUAGCGAUUGUUGCUAACCACAUACACCCUGUCAUGGCAAUGGUGUUCCUUUAAGGCAGUGGCCUCUUUCAGUAGGAUAAUGCACCCUGCCACACUACAAAAAUUGUUCAGAAAUGGUAGAAGGAACAUGACAAAAAAUUUCCCAGAUCUCAAUCUGAUUGAACAUCUGUGGGAUGUGCGGGAAUAUAUAUCUGAUCCAUGGAGGCCCCACGUUGCAAUUUGCAGGAUCUGCUGCUAAUGUCUUGGUGCCAGACGCCACAGGAGGUCUUGUGGAGUCCAUGCCUCAUUGCAUCAGAACUAUUUUGGCAGCACGAGGGGAACUUAUACGAUAUUAGACAGGUGGUUUUAAUGUUGUGGCUGAUCAGUGAACAUGUAUAUAAACAAACAAAAUAAAUGGCACAGGACCAUAUGAUAUUAGGAAAUGUACUUGUCAGGGGUGGCGGUCCGUUGACCGGGACCCAGUAUGCCUGAUCUUGAUAGUAGGAGUCACUGGUGCAGGGUAAUCACACGCCCCCUGGUGUUGAUCACCAGUGUUUGUGCGGCCACAUACCAGGGCCCUGAUGCAGCUUCUGCGGAUCCCAGGUGCCAGAUGUCAAGAAGAAGACCUCCCAGGAUCUGAAUAGGGAGGCUCUGCAGCAGAUAUGUAUCCAGUACAGAAACAAGGUAAGACUAGAAUAGACACCAAACAAGAAAACAAGACAAAACUAGGAGAACCGAGAACCGGAGCAGGACAGAAAGCAGAACCCAGAACAUGUACACAAGACAUGAGGAAAACAAGAACAGGGCAGGACAGGACUGUACAUGAACUGGGAAUACAAGACAAAACAAGACAAGAGAUACAAGGCAAAACAAGAGGAGACAACUAAGUACUAUAUAUGUAAAACAUUGGUGAUUUAGACAUACAUAAAUGGCCAAGACGUAUGCAGCCCACCGCUGCGCCAAAGUACUCCAAUUAUGGUGAGUCCUAACUGCCUAGAUAUGCAUGACUAAAUAAACAAUAAUAAAACACACACAGCACUUACCUGCAAGAAAGGGGCAGAGGACUUGGAACAACUGCCUGCAGGAGCCAACUAAAACAAAAGGAUUAAUGGAAAAGGAAAGGGUGUGGCAACAUAAAACAAACAUUUAAAGGAAUCCAGGAGACUGGGAAUUCCAGGAACGGAAUAAAGGAAUGAACCCAGGAAACCCAGCAUAAAGAAAAUUAGACAUGGAUUAGAGAACCAGAAAAACUAAACAAGAAUUGUAAAAAGAGUACUGGAUACCAGAAGCCAAGGCCAGACAUCUCCGCAGAACAGAGCAGGAUGUGACAGUACUUCGCAAAUGCCAAGUUUUAUCAUUGACCUUUAAAUAAAUAGAAAUGCAUUCUUAAUUGCUGAAAUAAUACUUUGAGGGCACAGUCUUUCUUAAAAAAAAACAAAAAAAAAACAUAUUUGCAUAAAAACACAAAUAUUUGAUCAAUGAAUUGAUCCUUGUCAAUAUUAACUGUCUGAAAUGUCUUGCUUUUUCCAAACCAAAAAAAAUGAAUAAUAAGACUUUCAUGUUUUCUUCACUGAAAAUUCCCUGGCUCCUGGAGUAUGAUGAAGUCCAAUAUCCAAAAUUAUGGUCAGAUUUUCCAGGGAAUCCACCCUUGGAGAAAUAACCAGCAAUUUACUGAAAGCCACACAUUACACUUUACUGUAUUUUAUAAUAUUACUAACAUUGUCAUGGAUCAUAUACCGUACUAUAAAAAUGCAAUAUGGAAAACUUGAAGGGACACGCCAAGUGCAAUAAACACAUCUUGUUAUUGCAAUAAUUGUGAUGUAAUUUAGGCAAACGGUGCUUCACCAUCCAUCUCUUUUAGUAUUUGUUCAGUGUGAGCACUGCAGGAACAUGCAGGAGCCAUGCUAUGAAAGUGUGCGAAAAUAUAGAACUUAUUUUGGCCUGGGUCACAGCACUCUGAAAAAUAUGUUGGCAGAAUCGGCUUUCUUGGAUUCAGUGCUACAAACAUAUUUUUAACAUUUACGUUUCAACUAUAUCUGCACCCAAAUCAAAAAUCUAUCUUUCUUCUUGUUCUUGGGUAGAACGUUGGCUUAAAGAUAGAGUACAACGAGUUGUCAUUAAUGGUACAUUUUCAGGCUGGACAAAAGUGGUAAGUGGGGUCCCUCAGGGUUCUGUUUUGGGACCGAUACUAUUCAACACAUUUAUAAAUGAUCUUUAAAUAAGCAUCAAAAGCCACGUUUCAGUAUUUGCAGAAUACACAUAACUCUGUAAAGUAAUACAAUGUGGAGAGGGAUUUAGAUAGAUUGGGGGACUGGGCACUUAAAUGGCAGAUUAAAUUUAAUGUAGAUAAAAGCAAAGUUGUGCACUUCGGAAGUAGGCAACAAUGUGCAAUGUUAAUCGGCAGUUGCUGAGGCCUAUAAGGUAUUGUCAUGUAUAAACAAGGGCAUUAAUUCUCGUGAUGAAAAUAUAAUUUUGCUUCUUUAUAAUUCAACAGUAAGAGCACAUCUCAAACAUGCUGUGCACUUUUGGGCACCUGUUUUAAAGAAGGAUAUUGGGGCAGUAAAAAAUGCAGAGGCUGGCUACAAAAUUAAUAAAAUAAUUGGAACAUUUAAAUCUGUUUUCUUCAGAAAAAUGGUGCCUCAGAAGGGAUAUGAUAGCAUUGUACAUAUAUAUCAGGGCCAAUACAAACCAUAUCUAUCCAUAGAAAGAACUAUAUAUAAAACACAAGGUCACAAAUUGAGAUUAGAAGAAAGGACAUUUAGUCUAAAGCAAAUGAAAGCAUUUUGUUGCACCCAAGUGCAACAAAAUGGGUUUCACCUUUUGUGAUCACAGAGUGACUAAUGUAUUGUGAUUAGAUAUGAUUUGUGCAUGUGCCCAUUAUGUAAAGAUGCACUUUAUAUAUAAUUUAAGAUUUCUCAUAAGUGUAAAGAAUUUUUUAUUCACAUAAAAUAAGUAAUUAGUGGAUAUAUGUGCAUGUUUCUGCAUCCAUAGAUUCUAUUGUAAAAUGAUCGAAAUUAUUGUAAUAAUCUUAUUAAUGUGGUGCCAUCCAGAGUUUUUUUAAUAGUAUUUCCUCCCCCCCCUCUGUUUAUUCAUCUACCCACACACGUUCGAAGUCACUAUAAUAAUGAAGGAAAUUAAAAUAAACGACCGCGAUCCACUUCCGUGUUCGUGGAACGCAAGAUGGAACACAAACGGCGCACGUGAUGACGUCAUCCGGUUUUAAACACACAGAAAAUACCGCCAAAACGGAAGUUGAACACCAGCUGGAAAUCAUUGAAUAAUUAAUGGGGGAUGUAUAAUAGAAUUGUGGGAGGGAUAGUUUUUAUUGCUGCUGCUAUUACUGUUGUAUUUGUUUUCACCAAGUCCCUGAGGAAGUCCAAUUGAAGGACGAAACGCGUAGGACGUUCUUAUGGUGACAUGCUAUUUGUUUUAUGCCUAAAUGUAAGCUAUUAAAAUAUUUUUUUAUUAUACUCUGGAAGUGCACUACAUUUUUGUAUAUAUUUUUCUCUUUUGAGCCAUAUAUACUAAUUCGCUGAUGGAAGUGUGAGGAGGGACAACACAGUGGAUACUGAAGAAAAAGAUAUUAUUCAAGGCUGCUUUUACAUCAGAUAAUUUGUGAGUGACCAAUUGUGAUUGCACACUAUUAUUAGUCCCUACACAGAUAAACGCUAUGUUCUUUUAUUUUAUUUGUAUUUAGCAGACUAUCCCCUAUUCUAUUUGUAUACAUUUGCUGAAGACAAGAGGAAGUCUUUGGGGAUUUACCUGGAUAUUUCACCUAAAUACAGGGAAGUCCUGGUUUGCUUUAAAUUGUAUAUAUUUCUCACUGGGGUUGUGUUCACAUAUUUUGUUGCCUGUGUGUGUCUGUGUGUGUGUGUGUCUGUCUGUCUGCCUGUGUGUGUGUUUGUGUGUGUGUAUGACUGUCUGCCUGUGUGUGUCUGUGUGUGUGUGUCUGUCUGUCUGCCUGUGUGUGUGUUUGUGUGUGUGUAUGACUGUCUGCCUGUGUGUGUGUGUGUGUAUGACUGGUUUCCUGUGUGUGUGUGUGUGGCUGUCUGCCUGUGUGUGUGACUGUCUGCCUGUGUGUGUAUGGUGUGUGUGUGUGUGUGUGUGUGUGUGUGUGUGUGUGUGUGUGUGUGUGUGUGUGUGUGUGUGUGUGUGUGUCUGCCUGUGUGUGUGUGGAUGUCUGCCUGUGUGUAUAUGUGUGUGGCAGUCUGUGUGUGUGUGUGUGUGUGUGUGUGACUGUCUGCAUGUAAGUAUGUGUGUGUAAGACUGUAUGUGAGGCUGUGUGUGUGUGUGUGUGUAAAACUGUAUGUGUGGCUGUGUGUGUGUCUGUCUGCCUGUGUGUGUAUGUGUGUGGCUGUCUGUGUGUGUGUCUGUCUGCCUGUGUGUGUAUGUGUGUGGCUGCCAGUGUGUGUGGCUGUCUGCCUGUGCGUGUGUGUGUGUGCGUGUGGCUGUCUGUCUGUAAUUGUGUGUGUGUGUGUGUCUGUCUGCCUGUAAUUGUGUGUGAGUGUGUUUAUCUACCUGUAACUGUGUAUGUGUGUUACUGCCCGUACCUGUGUGUUUCUGCCUUAUCCUGUGUAUGUGACUAUCUGCCUGCAAUUUUGUGCAUGUGGUGGAUUUGACAGUGUAUAUGUAUAACUGUGUGCAUCUGACUGUGGGACUGUGUGCACAUAACUCUGCAAAAAUAUACACCUGCUUUCACACACAGGCCUAAAUGCAUGUUAUUAUCUGAAUUAAAUAACCAUCACACACAGCCAAUAAACCCAGCACAAAUAUCACAUACAACCAAUACAUGCAUAUCACAAUCUGUUAAUAAACCCAUUACAGAUAUCACACACAGCCAACACAUAGCAUACAUAUCACACACAGUCAUCACACCUAUCACAUACACAGACAACACAAAAUUACAUCAUACAUGGAUGAUGGGGGGGGUGGGAGCGCUGUGAAGAUUUUUCGCACAGGGCGCCUAAAGGCCUAAGGCCGGCCCUGACUGCAUACACACACUACUCAAACACUACAUACAAUAAACACACAUACAUGUGUGUCUGUGUAUCUGUAUGUGUAUCUGUAUAUGUGUAUCUGUAUGUGUGUGUGUUUGUAUCUGUAUGUGUGUCUCUAUCUUUAUGUGUGUCAGUGUUUGUCUGUAUCUGUGCUUGACUGUGUUUCUGUCAGGGUAGUGGUCCGGUGCCCGGGACCCAGACACUGUCCAGGCGGCGGUGCAAGGACAGGGACCCUGUAUGUCUGAUGUUCAAAGUAGGAGUCACUGUGUGGAGGUGGAUUAGCAGGGUCUGGUGCAGGGUAACCGCAUGCCCCCUUGGUGUUGAGCACCAGCAUUUGUGCGGCCACAUACCAAGACCUGCAUCAGCUGGAACUAGGAGCAGGAAUUAAGCAGACCUCCCAGAGCUGAAUAGGGAGGCUCUGCAGCAAGAAUGUAUCCAGUACAGAAUCAAGGAAAGACUAGGAAAGGCACCAAACAUGAAAAACUAGACAGAACUAAUAGAACCCAGAACCGGAGAAGGAUAGGAAGUUAAACCCAGAGCAUGUACACAAUACAUAAGGGAAACAUUGACAUAACAUGGGCAGGACAGGACUGUACAUGGACUGGGAAUACAAACUAAAACAAGACAAGAUAUGAUAGGUAAAACAAGAGGAGAAAUAACUAAGUACUAUAUAUGAAAAUCAUGGGGAUUUAGUCACAUUAUAUGAUCAUACAUUGCAUAAGCCUGCCAAUGUACCCCAUAUCUGGCAGGUCCUAAGCUGCCUAAUGCAAACAAAACCUACCAAAGAAAACACACAUAGUCCUUACCUGCAAGAAAGGGCUGAAUACUUGAGCAGCUGCCUGCAGGAACACUGAAACAAAAAGGAAUGAUAGAAAACAAACGGGUGUGGCAACAUAAAACAAACAUUUAAAUGAAUCCAAGAGCCUGGAAAAUCCAGGAACGGAAUACAGGAAUGAACCCAGAAACCCAGUUUAAAGAAAACCAGACAUAGAAUAGAAAACCAAAAAAAACAAGAAAAACAAAACAAGAAUUGUAAAAAGAGUACUGGAUAUCAGAAGCCAUAGCCAGAAUGAUCUGCAGCUAGGAACAUGAUGUGACAGUUUCUAUGUAUCUGCAUGUGUAUACCUAUGUGUUUGUAUCUGCAUGUGUGCCAGUGUGUGCAUAUGUGAGUAUAUGUGUAUAUGUGCAUACAUCUCAGCAUUUUGCCAACACUACACACAAAUACACCCCUGUAUCCAAAUAUCAACACUACAUAAAACACACCACAUAUUCAAAAAACACUACACAAAAAUGCACGCCUGCAUUCAAAUGCCAACACUACAUGCAAACACACCCCUACAUUCACUCACACAUACUUCAUACAAAAACAUGCUUAUAUUCAAACACAAACACUGCUCAGUGCUAAAUACAUUUAUUCUUUUUAAAUAAAUGUGUUUUUUUUCUUUAAAAUAAUAUCUGCCCUGGGUGCCAAAUGCUCCAGGUACGCCCCUGACCUUUGGAAUAUUCAUAUAGUUCAAUGAGUUUGUUUUUCUUAACCAGGAAUAGUAAAAGUAUGCUUUAAAUUGUAUUCCUUGUUAAUCUUGUUGUUAAUGCAUACAGUUAGUAAUUAAUACCAUACAACCACAAAAAAAUUAGAAACUGAAUAAAAAAAGUUGUAAAGAUUAACUUUACAUCUAAUUUUCCACAUUUGAACCCUAACAAUGAAAAAAAAAUAUUGACUAUAACUACUCUUCUGAUGUCGAGUAUUGUAGAUGAUAAUGAUAAGAAGCUAAUAUGUAAGCAGACUAGUUCAUGAAUUGUUGAGCAUUCAAAGGGAAAUUUGAGGCAAAACAUAAGCAAGCUGAAACAAUAACUAACUAUGAUAAUAUUCAGCCAAACUAUUAUACUGUGCAUUGCUGACUAAAAUCCAGUUUUGCCAGAUUGGCCUUAAAGGAAGACUUUGCGCACCAUAGCAACUUAAUUUAAAUAAAGUUGUUAUGGUGCCAAGAGGUUGCAGGGUGCUUUCCUAAAUGUUCUGAAAUGGUUUAACCCCAAAAGUUGCCUACAGUGCUGAACCUCCAACGGUCAGCUUAGGGCUUCUGAAAUUAACUCUCAGGAAGAACAGAGUGCGGUCGAGCAGGGCCAUUAAUGAUUUGGCUAGAGCAGUCAUCUGAUACUCGAAGCCAAUCAGUAGCUGCCCUUUGAUAAAAAAAGGUUUGUGUAUAAACAGUAGAUGGAUUGCACUCAGUGGACUUUUGUAUGAAGCAAUAUGUAAUCUUUAUCUACAUAUCAAGUAGGGCAAGUAAUUCAGCAGGGCAAUAAUUCAGCCUCUGCGCAUGGUAUCAAUAGUACCACAGUGCUCCCCCACAACAAACCCAACACCCUCCAGUAUGACUGUCUGGCAAAACCUCCUAGUACUGUGCAGCAAGCCACAUAGAUAAAAAAAAUAAUACAGAUAAUACCACAGUGAGCAACUGAUAAAAUGCCACGUAUGUAUUCGAGUAUCAUGUUGCUUUAUGGCCUUAAAACAUUCUAACAGUUGAAGCUUAUAGUGCAAUCCCAAAUAACAGGAGCUAAUAAUGAACUUGAGAUGUAACUUAGCCAGCAGUUAUUAAUAGUCACAAACAACAAGCAAUUUAGUAGAGGUGUCAUUGAGCUACUUAAAGGACCACUAUAGUGCCAGGAAAACAUACUCGUUUUCCUGGCACUAUAGUGCCCUGAGGGUGCCCCCACCCUCAGGGUCCCCCUCCCGCCCGGCUUUGGAAGGGGGAAAGGGGUAAAAACUUACCUUUUUCCAGCGCUGGGCAGGGAGCUCUCCUCCUCCGAUCCUCCUCUUCUCCUCCCAUGCGGCUGAAUGCACACACGCGGCAAGAGCUGCGUGCGCAUUCAGCCGGUCACAUAGGAAAGCAUUAUCAAUGCUUUCCUAUGGACGCUUGCGUGCUCUCACUGUGAUUUUCACAGUGAGAAGCACGCAAGCGCCUCUAGCUGCUGUCAAUGAGACAGCCGCUAGAGGCUUUGGGGGAAGGCUUAACCCAUUCAUAAACAUAGCAGUUUCUCUGAAACUGCUAUGUUUAUAAAAGAAUGGGUUAAGCCUAGCUGGACCUGGCACCCAGACCACUUCAUUAAGCUGAAGUGGUCUGGGUGCCUAGAGUGGUCCUUUAAAAUAUGAAUAAUUCAUUGUGAAUUGUAUUCCAACUUCCUGCUAAAUGUUUGAAAUGGACAUUUUCUCAACUAUGAAGUUAAAUAGUAAACCAAACUACCUGGAGACUAACUGAUGAUAUAACAAGAGGUAUGUAAAUGCCUAGUGACAGGCAGAGUGGCUGAAAAAGGCUUGAAUUAAAGUAAUGAAAUGAAGCCCGAAUGUACUGAACCAAAGUGAAUAUCUAGCGCAUCCAACAUAGGCUGAAUGUACUGACUCACAAUGACUAUGUAACGUGGCUGAAUGUAGGGUGAAUGUACUCAACCAAAGUGAAAAUGGAGCUUCAGUGCCAGGAGCCAACGUCACUCAUGUACUCUCGCACAGUACAGCAUUGAGGUCUAUUCUGCAAGAUCACAGGUUCCUCAAUAGAAAGAGACGAUUCCCAGCAGUUGUCACUGGUGACAGCAGGGGGAUUGACCCUUCUACACAGCUGUAGGUUCACCUAGUAUCUAGAAGUGUCAGACAUCGGAAAAAACUGAGACAAAGUGAAGACCCUACUGUCUCAGUAUUCCUUUUGACUUAACAUGAACUUCAGUUAAAUUACAACACAGUCAAUAUGAGUAUUUCAUAAAGAUUUUGUAUUUAUGACAUAUGCAUUUUGUGUGGGGGAGGGAAGGGGAGGGCUUAAAUUUACAUUUUUUGAUUUUCCCAGGAAGUAUUUAGAGAUACAAAAAGUACACAUGUAAUAGGAGACAUGCAUUAACUGUGAAUUCAGUAGUUUUUUGAUUGAAGUUAGAAGUCAGAUGCAGAUAUUUUUUAGGAAUGAUUUGAGAUUUAAGAUUCUCCGGCUAUAUGAGAAUCUGUUCCGCCUGCCUCAUUUUUGAGAUAAACUAUAAAAGUUAUCAAAACAGAAGGCAUGGGGGGUGAAGGUAGCAGGAAUACUUCUCAGGUAGCGUGGGAGGUUUUCUGAGAAGCGGUUAGGAACCAGACAAGAAAGAUGAAGAAUAUGUUUGGGUUCCAUAGAGUCCUGCUUAAAGCUUGACUUUUCAUUUCAUUCAGUGGGGACUUGGAAGCUAUUUUGGAGAUUUGAAAGUCAAUCCAUAUUUAAUUCUUUAAUGAAAAUUAUAGCUAAACUCACAAUCCUCUCCAAAGGAAUUUAGCAAAAAAAAAAGCAGCAAUAACAGACUUCUUCAAAUAUUUACAUGAUAUGUAUUCUGCUAGCGAUCAAUGAUCAAAACUGCUAUAAAUACUAAGGGAUGUUCAAUGCUGAAAUCUCAUUGGUUACUUUCAUUGCAGUCUUCAAACAAAUCGUACAUUCAUUUUGAUUUAUUUUUUUUGAGUCGCGUCUGCCAGAUAAUUUCUGGAUGUUUAUCAAAAUGCUUCCUUUGAGAAAUGAAAGAAGGCUUUUUUUUUCAUUAUUCUGGCAAGGAAAUGGGUUUUAGCAUAGCAUGGCAGAGGAAUACUUUAUGCCAGAGCUAGAUCAGAGAGAAGCCUGAAGGUAGGUGUUCUGCAACCAACAAAUGGCAAGUUAUUUAUAUUAUUAGAAGCAGAGAUUUAUGCCAACUUGUUCAGCAGGAAUGUAGGAUGCACAAACUGGUAAAACAAGGAAUUGUUGACAUUAUUCAAUUUAUUGAUACUGCAUUAUGCCAACAUAUUCCGCUGUUCUUAGAAUGUUCUGCAGCAUGAUGUUCUUGUAUUUUAGUAAUCCAUUUUCAUUGCGUGUUAUUUUUUUCCAGAAACGUUUCUUAAAAGUAAAAAAAAAAAAAGUUUAUUUCCUUAUAGUGUUCCUUUAAUUAUUGUUGCAAUGAUUUUAUAGCUAAAUAUACCUCCACCACUUUCCUGUUCUGGUCCACACAUCAGAAGCUAGGUUUUUGGUUAGUAAGCAUCGCAGUUACUAAACAAAGCACAUGUUGUGAUGGGAUAACUUCAGUUAGGACUAAACAUUGGAGAAAGUGAUGGUGAUUUUUCCCCAUACCUUCUGGUUUCUAUAAUGGUAUCAGAAGAAGGUUGCCUGGGUGAAUGUUAGUGAAUGCAAUCACUUGUUUUUUUUGGAAUUCAGCAUACUCGGGAACAUUAGUGGUCUGGAAAUAGAAUUCGAAUACUGACUUGCCUGGUCGGAAAACACUCAGUAUGUAAAAGAAAAAAGAGAAAUGGACCAUUUGCAUUCCAACAAUGACAGAGGCCCAGCAGAGUACAAAACAUCAAUUCCCUUUAUUAUAAAAUAUAAUACAAUAUUAAAAUGCAAAAGAAAAAAUACAAGUGUGAAUUUUGGUGGCAAAUUUCAACUUAGUUUUAGUCAUAGUCUUUUGACUAAGAAGCCAUUUUAGUUUUAGACGUAUUUUGGUCAUGUGAAUUGUUUUAGUCCAGUUUUAGUCGACUAAAUCUCAAAAAUUUUAGUCGACUAAAAUCUGACUAAAAUUGUUAGUCGACAAAAUUAACACUGCAAGUAAAUAGUAAAGGUUCAAGUCAUGCUCUACAAAAAGGGGAGGACAUUCAGAACAGAACACAUAUCUAAAUAGGUUGAUGUGCUUCUUGUCUAACCCAGACACUUUCCCAACAGCUAAAAACUGAGUAAGAAAAGAGGGAACCCUCAAACAGAAGGUUUACCACCAAACUUUAUCUUAAUAAAAAAUCUAAAUGUAAUUAUACCUAAUGAUAGGCAUGCAUCCCACACAGUGUGUAUGUUAACCCAAAUUCUGAUUACCGUAUAGGUCCUGAAUGAAGAUACCAUAGAGAUCUGUAACAGUCACCAGGAUUGUUUUUAGUUUUGGGUGAUAAGCUGUGGUUUAUUUAUGCAGGCUAGGUGUCCGUGAGGCCCUGCGGUAUGGUAGGCUGUUGUUGAGCUUGCAGCCAUAGAGAUAUUAGCAUGUAGGAAGACAGCCUUUGGAACCUAGUUAGGAGACUUUAUUGCAUGUAUAUACAACCCUUACAUGUUGAGGAAGUUACGUUGAUUUAACAUUCACUCACAACGCCCUUGGAGAAUCUCUUAAGCUACAGUCUAUGGUUAAUAUGGGCAGACACACUAGGUAGCCAGGAAAUGACAUAUUAGUCGAUUCCUGUCUUCUGAACUUGUGGUUCUUCUAGCUGGCCAGAGCGGGUGACCUGUUUAUUACCUGUUCUAAAAACUGAGAUUUUUGACAAGCACAGGCGUAGGAAGUACACAUAGAUUUGAUGAAGUUAUAGUGAGUGGUACUAUGCGGCUCUUAUUUUGCUAAAAAUCCCACAGGGAGAUACAUUGUAUCUCUAGCUUUAUUGGUAUACUUAGUUACAAUAUGACAAGGGGAUACAUAGUAGCCCUCUCUAUUACUAGCCAAACUAGGCUAAUUUGGUUUUACAUGCAUUGUGCAGGUUGUACAUUUUUACUUUUUAUUAGGUGAUAAUUAGAGGAAAACCCUCUAUUUUAAGGGUUUCAUAUUAUCUUUUUCAGUUUUUAAGUAUUGUUUUUAUGGAUGCAAUUGUCUCUCAUGGCCAGUUCUGAAGUGUAUUUUCUGCUUCUAAAUACAGAAGUAAUUUCUCAACAUUUAAAUAGUUUUGUGUUUUUUCCCAAUCAAUCAUUUGUGUCACCGUCCAUCUCUGCCUUUUCUCGAGGACUUCCUCCUACGUGUGCCAUAUGGAAACACAUUUAAUUCAGAUGAUAACCUGAUGUCCCCUCUUUGUCAUACAUUCUGCCUCUCGAACCUGGACUUCAUUUUGAUGAGAUUCUUUUCUUAUGUCCCCUUACACUAUCUCAAAUGCUUAGCCAGACAGCCAGGCUGUCAGCAUUCUGAUAAAGUCGACGGCUUCUAACAAUCUUUUGUAGUGGUUGCGUUAGUGCAUACACGAGGUGCAUCCCCAGUAUUUUUCAUGGACUGGGGAGAACAGGUCCCAUAGCAAUAUUUGUGGUCUAUAGAUUUUAUAACUGACCGCAUGGUUAUAGUUAUGAAUGAGACAUUCUUGAUAACUAAGGAAAACACUGCAAGUUCUAGUCAAGGUUAGGGCUGUGAGAUAUUAGGAAGACAGUAAUAUUUGCUACAAGCUAUACUCUAGCUUUUAAAUUACUGGAGUACCAGCUGCACCUCUAACACCCUCAACAAAACAACGAGUGUGCGUCCUCUUCUCAUUAAUAUAGAUAGUUCAAUGUUCAGGUUUCUUCUUCAACCAUACAGCAAGAAGUGAUUCCAAAAAAAUAAAGCACGGGGUGUUCCUCAGGACCACCUACUAAAGAAUGUGUGUUACCUUUCUUUUAACUUCUCUCCUUUUAUUUGAUUUGGACUCCACUCUCAGCAGUGCCCACCCAUUUAUUUUUCUAAAAAGUGAGUAUACACAGGAGAGUGAGCAGAUAAAACAUAUUUGGCAUUGUUUUAAAUGGGUGAAUUAAAGGGAGUACAGUCCCCAUAAACAACUGAACGGAACUCUCAAUCACCCCAUCCAACACUCCAUUGGUUUGAGGUGGGUUAUCUAGCAGGACAAGCGGUUGUGCCUCUUGUUUAUCCAUGCAUGGUUCCAAAAUUCUGAAACCACAGCUAUGCAGAAAAUUGUUAGAAGGGAUUACACCACUUUUAUAUAUAACCCUCGUGUUUACAUGUUUCUAAGAGAUUCACUGAAAGGCUGAACGUCAGAGUUAUAUCAGAGAACAUUUCAUUCUUUAAUCUCUUUUUGUGAUAUCCUAAAGGGAGUUCCCUUUUGGUGGUGACUAGCAAAUUGCUUUGGUUUCCUGAUGCAAAGUGCACAAUUUAAAGGCAUUACUGCAGCUUAUAACUAAAAUGUCAGCUGUAAAUAGUUCAUUCUUUCAGAAAAAGAAUAUAUUUUUUUAUAUAUAUUCUUCAAAUCGUGCAAACAGUGGUUUUAUUAAAUCUUCCAAAUUUCAGCUGUGUUACAAAUCAAAUUGACGUUUCGACCCGUUCGGGUCUUUAUCAAGAUCUUGAAACAUCGGUUUGAUUUGUAACACAGCUGAAAUUGGGAAGAUUAAAUAAAAACACUAUUUGCACGAUUUGAAGACCUGUGAGUGCUCCCUUAUGGUUGUUGCAUAUAUUGAACGCGGGAUUGCACCCAGGUGGAUUUCCUAUUUUAUUUUAUGUUUGUUGGUGGAGUGCCAAGUUGCUCUUAUUUUGUCCAUGACAAAAAAAUUCACAAAAGACAAAGAAGAUGUCAAUAAAAAAGUUAAAGAAAAUAUUGCAUGACUAUACCAUGAGACUCGCAGGUCUCCAUCGUAAGAUAAAACCCAUUGGUCUCACAGGACCAUGUGAUAUGAUCAAUAACAUUAGCAUUGAAAAUGGAGUGUAAUAAUAAAGAUUUACUAUGACUUGCAGGUCUUAGCACAUCAACAAUCAUAUAAAAUUUAAUUCAGACGCAGUUAUGACAUCAAUGUCCAUUUGUUAAGGGCAAAAUACUACUUGUGGAUAUUAUCGGUGAUGUCCUAGGCAUAUUAGUUGAGGGGCCUAACCCUAUUUGGUUGAUGGGUAACUAUAAGUUAGGUAUCAAACAUUGGAGAGCCAUAAUAUUUAUGUUUUCCUUGGGGGUUCAUACAUUAAAGCAGAAAGCCUAGUGCCCAUCCCUAAGCUCUUCUCCAGUUACUCAUUUGCUGCCUUUCAAAUUGAACAAGCGCCCAUCUCAAUGGAAGAGCGAACGUUAGGACUGCCUCUCCCACCCAUUAAAGAAAGUCCAACCUAUGGACCUUGUCGCUAACAUACUUAGUGUAGAAACCAGGUUGCACCCUGUGUGCAUGUCUCUCUGGAGAGCCAAUAACCAGUAAAAAGGGCUAACAGCAGCGACCCAUAGUCCUCAUGAUAAAAAGUAGCCAUAGAACAGGAAUGAGAAAAGGAAUGAGAAAGUAUAUGGACACCCAUCACUGUCCCCUCCCCCGGAUGAGACUAAACAGUGGGAGCAUUUCCAACCUGCAGGACACGUUUAGAAAUAAAAAAUUCAAACCAGAGGUAACAUAUCUCUGCAUAUGCAAAAGAGAGAAUAGGAGACCAAUAGUGCAGUAUUGUAAGUUUAUGGACUAUAGACAACGUAGAACUAAAAAUUGCCAACUCACGUUUUUCAGAGCUAUAACCAGCUCUUGGUAAAACAGCUUACAGUGGUAUUUCAACUCCCUACUUGUAGGAUAUCCCUCAUACAGUAGUUGUAGUAUAGUUUACAUACAAUUAAAGAAAAAGAAGGCUUAUAGUGCUCUCCAUAUUUGCAAAUAAAUAGUAGUAAAAUUAAAUAUACUUAGAAUUUUGGGAGCAGACAAACUGCUCUAUGGAAACAGCGUGGGUGGAACAAUCCCCAGCUAGGAUACUUUUGAAAAUGGACCUGAUGUGUAUGGAAAAUAGGUUGCGCCAGGUACAAAUAAAAUAAAAUAAAAAACUAAAUAAAAGUAUAAAAAGACUGCCCCAAAGCAAAUAUAUAGUCUAAAAAUCUUACUUUUAUUUAAACAAAUAUUAAUAAAAUCACUUGAUUUUUUUUAAUAUUAAUAUGAUUUUAUUAAUAUGAUUUUAUUAAUAUUUGUUUAAAUAAAAGUAAGAUUUUUAGACUACCUAUUUGCUUUGGAAAAUAAGGAUCGGGCCGCUUUCUUUUUGUAUUUAAGAAGAAUAAAUAAAAUACUGGUACUGGAUUGGAGGUUAUAGGAGGUGGGAACAGCUGGGGAGAGCAUUCUGCUCAGGUAGGGUAGAAAAGCUCUUAAACACAAGGCUGGAUAGAUGAAGGGUUCUUCUGGAUUCCAGCGAUAGCCAGUUUAGCUCUUUUAGCAUUUCACAAUAUUUGGUAAAGUAAUUACUUUGUAACACAAAGUGGCCGAACGAGUAAUACAAUGUAUUAUUACAUUAUUAAGGUGGGUUUGCUGUGCAGGUGCAUAUACUACAUUCCCAUAAUCUAUGAUUGGCAUCAGCAUUUGCUGUAAAAUUGUUUCCUUUACUGUGGGGCACAGGCAGGAUUUGUUUCUGUACAGGGUACCUAGUUUUGGAUAGAGUUUUGAUGAGAGUUUUUCUGUGUGGAGGCCAAAAGAUAGAUUGAAGUCUAACAACAUACCCAAGUACUUGAAAGAGUCAGUAUUUGAUUUGAUUUUGUUUUGAUGCAUUGAUAGGAAUUUUUUAAAUUUAGGUAAUUUAGAUACUGUUCAGAAGAGCAUUGAGACAGUGUUGUUAUUGUUAUGAAUGAGAAAGAGUUUGUUUUUUGCGAUUUAGUUUUCUACAUCUGAGAACUGGUCUUGGAGCACAACCUCAAGUUGCAGUAGAUUGAAUUUGCUUGCAUAGAUUAAGGUGUCAUCGGCGUACAUGUGUAGAUUUGAGGCUUUGCAGACAUUAAGCAGAUCAUUUUUAAAUAAUGUGAAUAGUAGGGGGCCGAGAAUGGAACCUUGGGGAACACCACACGUAAAUGGGAGAGGGAGGGAGUCGCUGUCAGAAAUGGGCACAUAUUGCAAUCGAUCCAACAUAUAUGAUCGAAACCAGGUUAGCGGACGAUCACCAAUACCUGACUUUUUACAGUAGAAUGUUGUGGUCUAAUGUGUCAAAGGCCUUGGCAAAAUCAAGAAAAAAAUAGCUCCAGUUAGGUCUCUUUGUUCCAUGCCAGUUUGGAUGUCAUUGCAAACUUUAAAGAGGGCAGUUGAGUGAUUCAGACGGAAGCCUGAUUGAUCAGGGGUCAGAUAGUUUAAUUGUUGGUAGUACUCACAUAGUUGCGUGUGGACGCAUUUUUCCAAGAUUUUUGACAAUACAGGGAGCAAUGAUAUUGGGCGAUAGAUACCAAAGUUUUGUCACCACUUUUAUGGAUAGGCACUACUCUUGCAGUCUUUCAAAGUUUGGGUAUGUAUCCAGAUACCAAGGAUUCAUUAAUUGUGGUUGUGGCAGGUUUAGCAAUUGCCGGCGCACUGAGCUUCAACAACAGUGCUGGGAUAUGAUCAGGUCCAGACUGAAUUUCUCCCAUGGUAUCUGUUGGAAUUCUUUUCCUCUACCUUUUUCACCAUCAGAAAUUGAAUGGUCAUGGAGGAGGUGCCUCAAACACUGCUUCUGACCCUAAGAUCCUGCGAAGCUCGAUGUUCUGAGGAGGCGACUUGAUGCUAGGGAGGUAGGUAAAGCAUUUAACAUCCAAUGGCAUAGUUGAUAAAUUACAUGGAAUUUGAUUAAAGCUCUGCUUUUCAAUUUUUGUCAACAUGCCAUUUAUACAAAAGAAAAAGUAUUUCUUUAUUUUUCCUUACGUAUAACUUUGAAAAACAAAACAAAACUCAGCUGCCCAAGGAACAAAAUUAAAUGUAGUUCAGGAUAAAAAAAUAAGGUGACAGAGCCACUUCAAGGGUCAACCCUACCUGAAUGUCUAUUUUUGCUCACCCUGCAAUUUUAUAAGGUAGUCCCAUGAUCCUUUGCUAUAAUCGUGCCAGCUCAUUAUUUGCAUACAAUAUAUUGAUCUAAUCCAUAGACAGUCCUGCGGUAUACACAAUAAUAAACAAAACAAACAAAAUAAAUCAAGGACUAUAUUUUGUAUUGUUAUAUAUUCUCCAUAUGUUUGAGGGGAAACUGGUCUAGUUAUAGAUGUCAACAGUAAUCUAGUCUAACUUUAGACAGCAAUAAUAUGUUGCGGGCAAUGGCGGUGGUCAGCAGAGCUCUGGUUUUUGUCAUACUACUUAAAAUUGUUUUGACAAAAAACAGGGGAAUACCACACAAACACAUCUUGGACUAAAAAUGUGUUUAGGCUGAAUGCUGUGCCCCUUUAAUCAAAGAUAAAAAUGUAAAAUAAUGUAACAAUACAUUAUACAAACAAUACAGAGGAUUUGUGGGUCAUUAAACUUGUGUAAAGGCUUACCUGGGGUUGACAUCCAGAGUGCAAAGAUAAUGCUCAUUCUUGCAAAAUAUCAAAUCUUACAGUGACUAGUCAGGUAAAUCACCUGGAGAGUGAAUGUGUGCAUGGGGGCUGUGCAGUAGAGCAAAUCUGGAAGCCAUAAAUAGAUGUACAAAACAAGAGAGUCAGGCAGAGCGAUACUGGGCGAGUGUACGAGGUGCACAGGGCCAAGGAGUUCUGUAGAUAGAGAUUACUAUGAGGGGUGUGCGGUGGUAAGCUUUUCCCCCUCAUAGUAAGCCCUGCCACACUUGUCAGGCUCUGACCUCACCUGAAAUGAUGCUGGGCACCAGAACUAGAGGAAAAGGUUACAAGCUGUCGAAGAUGGCACUGGUGAGCCAUUUGUGCACAAAUAUGGCACUGAUGAGUUAUUUUCAGACAAAGAUGGCGCUGAUUAGCAGUUUGAGGAUACAGAUGGCACUGGAAUGCUGUGUGGGGACAGAUAUGGCUCUGACAGCUGCAUGGGGACAGAGAUGACCUUGUGAAGCAGUGUGGAGACAGAGAUAGCCUUGACCAGUUGUGUGGAGACAAACAUGUUACUGGGAUGCUAUGCACAAAGGUGGUUCUGAUAAGCUUUUUGGGGACAAAGCUGGCACUGUAGGAAGUGGGUGACAUGUUACCUGGUGAUGUUGGGGGCCUGUAUGAGGUGUUAUGUUUGUGAAAGGUAGGAGUUAGCAAUAAAGCCACACACUCCUGAGGGCACUAAAAGUGGAGCUAGGAGUAGGCAGAAUGCUUCUAGAAAUGAUAACAACAAAUUGACCCUGAAGCUGAUAAGAGGCAGGACUUGAAAACUAGUAAAGGAGCCACAGAUGAGGCAAAUAGCUGCAGUUGAGACAGCAGGAGUCUAGUCCUCCUCCUCCUCUUCCCCCCUCCCAGAGACUCAGGCUCGGCUGCAAAACAGACUUAGACGUCAAACUCUAGUGGCCCACAGGUAGUGAAACUGACUGGAAACGAUCAGGACCAGAAUUCAAGUUCAGCCAGAUCUGGCACCUGCUGAGAUGGGGACAAACCCGUGCUCAUAAAAAGUUAAAUACAGUAAUCCAAAAAAGAAAUGCCAAAGUGAGCAAUGCCAGUAAAUUGACUCAUUUUAUUUUACAUUUUUAGAAACACAAGAGAUUUUUUUUUGCAUAGUUGUGGAUGAAGACCAGUCACCUCACUGUGGGCUGAUUUACCUUUUAUAGUGCAUAAAUUAAAUUUUUUACUUAAAAGAAACAUUUAUAGAAAAAAAAAUGUCAAGUAAAUGAUGAAUCAUAUAUGUAGGGGACAUUAUUGUCUAGAGGUAGCAUGUAAUUUGGUAUUAACUUUAUUUAUAAAUGACAUUCUCAUUCUCAGAGACUAUAUUAUGUCCACCCUGUAUUUAUCUGCCUGCCUGUGUGUGUCAUAUCAUCUCGGCAUCGUAGAUCAUAAGGAGUUUUCUUUUUACUGAAUACCAAUUAACAAAACAUUUUGUGACAUGACUAACAAAAAACACACUGGCAGUUAUUUAAGGUCUUUCAAAUUUUAAAUAGCUCAGGUUAUUAUAGACAUAAAAUAUUCAUAUGACAAGCAAUUUUAGCUGUUGAUAUAAUACAUGACUUGGUUCAACCUUCUGCAUACAGUUUUAUAGAUUUUCGUCAAUUUCUGCAAUUUCCUGGAAAUGAAUUAGGUUUAGGUAUCAACCCCUUCCCGACAUUAGGAUAUUCCUUGUCGUCCUCCACAAAGUGGGCUUUAACCAUUUUAGGACAGCAUGGAACAUCCUAAAGUUUUGGUAUGUGCAGGGUUAAAUCUCUGUCCACACCUGAGAGUACCAGGUAUCAAUCCCAGAGUCACAGGUAUCAAUCGCUACCCGGGGCUCCCCUCUGUAAGAUGAGGCCAUUUUUAGUUACCCUAUGCUGAACAAUGAGCUGUAUGCAGUGCUGAGAGUGAGUGCUGUACACAGCAUUUUAAACAGGCAUUUAAAUGCCAAUGGCAAGGACGGUUAAAUCCCUGCACACACCAUGGAGUCAAUCGAUACCUGGGGAUCCCAUCUGUCAAACGGGGCCACAUUUUAAACUGAGAGAUACAUGGGGCUCUUUAAAUCAAUUGAGAACACUGCGGCUUAGCAAUUGUUGGCAGUUGCACGUGGGUUGACCCCUCGGGUCUGAACAGACGCUAACAGGGUCCCCCUGCAUGCCUCUGCAACACUGGCGGAUCCAGGGGGGGGGCAACGGGGCAAUUGCCCCCCCCGAGAAAUCCGCCGGUCUCCCUCCCCUGCCAGGACAUGCAGGUGCUAGCCCUGCAAUGUGCCUGCGGACCGGAGGGAGAUCAGAGCUCUCCCUCCCCGGUCCGCAGACACUGUGCUGACAGCCGGCAGGGGAGGGAGAGUGAGGACCCGGAGCUCAGGCUGCAGCUCCUCCGGGUCCUCCUCUCAAGAUUUGAAGCGUUGUCACGGUUACCACGGCAACGCUCCAAAUCUCGCGAGAGUGAACUCUAGCCCUGGAGCGCGGGCUAGAGUUCACUGUAACCACUGGGACCACCAGGGAAUCACCACUGGGACCACCAGGGAUCGAAAUAUGUCCCCCCUCCUCCUCAAUAAAGGUAAGAAGGGAGGGGGGACAUAGAAUAUUUUUUUUUUUUUAAUUAAAUAAAGAUAUAUAUUAUUUAAAAAAUCCCCCCCUACCCUUAACACACACACACACAUAGCCCCCAUACUUCCCCCCCAUACACAUACUGCCCCCAUGCUGCCCCCCAUACACACAUACUGCCCCCAUGCUGCCCCCCCAUACACACACACACAUAUACUGCCCCCAUGUUGCCCCCCAUACACACACACUACUGCCCCCCAUGCUGCCCCCCCAUACUCACAUACUACCCCUAUACACACAUACUGCCCCCCAUACACACAUACUGCCCCCCUAUGCUGCCCCCAUACACACAUACCGCCCCCCAUGCUGCCCCCCAUACACACACAUAGCCUACCCCCAUGCUGCCCCCCAUACACACACACAUACUGCCCCAUACACAUAAUAUCACUGCCCCCAUACACACACACACACACAUACUGCCCCCCAUGCUGCCCCCCAUACACACAUACUGCCCCCAUACACAUACUGCCCCCCCAUACACAUACUGCCCCCCAUACACACACAUACUGCCCCCCAUGCUGCCCCCUAUACACAUACUGCCCCAUGCUGCCCCCCAUGCUGCCCCUCUAUACACACACAUAAGCCAUUGCCCCCCCCAUGCUGCCCCCAUACACACACAUGCUGCCCCCAUACACACACAUACUGCCCCCACAUACACACAUACUGCCCCCAUACACAUAUACUCGCCCCAUACACAUACUCGCUCCCCCUUGCCCCCAUGCACACAUACUGCCCCCCCAUGCACACAUACUGCCCUCAUACACACAUACUGCCCUCAUACACACAUACUGCCCCCCAUACACACACACUGACCCCAUACACUGCCGCCCCAUACACACACAUUGCCCACAUUCACACACACACUGCAACUGUUACACACACAUACUGUCCCACACAUACACUGCAUCCCUGACAUACACUGCCCCCCCUACUCACACACUACAACCUUCACACACACACACACUGCUCACACAAUGUCCCCCUCACACACACACACACACUGCACCCCUUACACAUUGCACCACUCACACACACCACUGCUCCUAUACCCUACUACCGCCCCAUUUCCCAGCAGACCUCAGGUAAGUUGUCAAACUGUUCUUAAACGGUUUGACUACUUACUCUAGGAGGGGGGCCCGGCACUAUUGACACCAUAACCACUACACUGAGCUGUAGUAGUUAUUGUGUCUGGAUUAUUUCUUUAAAUAAUCUACAAGUGCCCCUCCCGAGAUCAGGCUCUGGAUCCGCCACUGCUCUGCAAUAUGGUUAUCUGUGCAAAACUCUGCAUGCAAAGCUCUGCACGAUUGUGAUCAUGCUGGGCUUUGCGAAGUGUGUAGCACUGAUCACAGUGUAAGUGGCAGGGAAAUAUCCCUGUAAUGCUGAAAGCAGCCAGUAGAUGGUGGUCACAGACCGCUCUCUACUGCUUUAACUAGGACACCCACCUGCUGAUAUCAGUACUGGUAUUAGCAGAGGGAUUCAUUAGGGUAUGGUCAGGGUUAGUUUCAGGCUAAUGUAAGGGUUAAUGUUGGGUUAGGAUAAAUAGGGCUGGUAUAGAGUUAGCAUUACUUAUCAAAAAUUUAUUUAGAUCCUAGACAUAUUUUGAGGCAUUUUUAGUUAUUUUUCUUUAGUUGCACUAGAUGUUUAAAAAAUAUUAUAAGGAAAAAUAUGAAAAAAAACCAAAAAUGUUUCACAUCAGCUUCAGAAACGAUCUCAAUCUGUAAAAAAUGAGUCCAUAUUAAACUCUAUGGAUAUUUUUGUAGAUUGAUCAUUUGAAAAUUUUUAAGAGAUUGGAAUAAUUUCUGAUGGUUGCAUAGUUACAUAGUUACAUAGCUGAAAAGAGACUCGUGUCCAUGAAGUUCAGCCUUCCUCACAUAUGUUUUUGCUGUUGAUCCAAAGAAAGCAAAAAAAAAAAACAGUCUGAAGCACUUCCAAUUUUGCAACAAACCAGGAAUAAAUUCCUUCUGACCCCAAAAUGGCAGUCCGAUAUCUCCUUGGAUCAAGCUGCUAUUAUCCCACUAAUUAGAAAUGAUAUCCCUGUAUGUUAUGUUUUUGCAAGUAUUUAUCCAAUUGCUGUUUAAACAUCUGUAUGGACUCUGAUAAAAACACCUCUUCAGGCAGAGAAUUCCAUAUCCUUAUUGCUCUUACUGUAAAAAACUUUUCUUUGCCUUAGAUAAAAUCUCCUUUCUUCCAGCCUAAAUGUGUGACCGCGUGUCCUAUGUAUUGCCCUGUUUAUAAAUAGAUUUACAGAUAAUGGUUUGUACUGGCCCUGAAUAUAUAUGUAUAAUGUUAUCAUAUCCCUUCUGAGGUUCCGUUUUUCCAAACUAAAGAGAUUGAAUUUUUUUAACCUUUCUUCGCAACUAAAAUGCUCCAUUCCUUUUAUCAAUUUUGGUGAUUCAUAACUAUUAAAUCAAGAUCUAAGGCCUCGAUUUAAAACUGUUGGAUAAGCUUUUCCAAUUAUUUAUUAUUUGUGGAUAAACUUUUAAAAUGGUAUAACAUUAUGAUAGUUUUUUGAUGUAUUGAUAUUUUUUGGUUAUUUUAAAAGCUUACCUGACAAUAUUAAAUCGAGACCUUAAGUCAGCAAUACACUGUACACAAAACACAGUCAGCAGACAAUUUUCAUAAUCUGUGGCUACAACAAAAUUUUGACCUAAUCAAAACAGAUAGAUUAGCGAAGACAGGAACCUAAAUUGGACCCAGCUUUGGGUGUCAACAUAUACGGUAUAUUUAGUAGCGUGGAUUUGGGUUAAAAAAUUGCUUUGUUUGUUUUUUGUUCAAGCUGGCUCAGGUUUACAAAUGUAGGUGUAACGUCAUAUGUAUUAUAUAAAUGCAUGUUGUGCAGAAUUUAGUAGAAAAGUAUAUUUUACAUGACCUUGCAAACUACGAUACACUUCAUCAGGUUUCACUCCUUGGAAUGCAUACAGUUGCAAAACUUGGGCAAUUGGAAAAUAAAACAUUGGCAAUUCUUGUAGCAAAACACAAUAUAGUAUCUGUCUGUUAGAAGGGCCUCUUGGUACCACUUCAUGAUACCAUCUUAAUCAUAACAUCAAAUCCUUUAAAGUUGAAUGUAGAACGACUUGACAAAGGCCCAAAUACAAAAUAAACACUCCGCUGCCCAAAUAUAAAAUAAAUGAAAAUCACUGUUUAGUAGAAAUAUCCCCAAUGAAAACUUGCAUGCAUUUAAAUAUGCAAUUUUUCAUAAGGGGUAUAUCUAAAAACAGCUUCUAAAAGCUGCAGUUCUCCUGUCUGCUGCCUUUUGCAAACCCUCCCCUUCUAACCCCGCCCAGACUUUCUGUGGCUGUCCAAUCACAGACUUCCCAAUGUAGCCUAAUGAAAUUUUUUUUGCAAGGCAGGUGCUCUGAGCAAUUGCUGCAUCUUGAGUUUAGCUCCACUCAGCUAAAUAAACCAGGAAGUAACCGGUUGUUUGAUUGACUACCAGGAUGGUAUAACAAGGUUAAUGUAUAAGACUGUCAAUGUCUAUAAAAAUAUGCACUUUUUGCAAAAUGAAGAAAGAGGACACACUCUUCACACACGAAGCAUUUCAGCAAGCUAAAGUGCUUUAAGGGUCUGGAGUGUCCUUUAAGCCAAAAUAUUGCCGUUCUUGUGUACAUGCUUAAGUAAAUGGUACAUUUAUUGUUAAUAGGCUUCUUUGUGGCCUGUUAAUUAUGAAUUGCAAUUUAUAUUGUGGACUAGGAUAGAGAUGUGAAGUUUGAAGAUGGCUGAUAAACCAAGUGGACACUUAUCUCAUAGUGAAGACUUCAUGCCAAGGUUUCGGUUUAUGUCUCAGUAUAUAAAUAGAGCAUACUGCUAAAAUACAAACCUAGUUUUACUCCUACAUAUGUGCAUUUACAAGAUGUUACUUGUGACGAAGUGCCCUUCGCCACUUGUGCCUGGAGGGGACUACUGGCUAGCCUCCUGCCUUCCGACUAUGGCCCCUGUUCUGAUAGCUGUAUUUUCCCCUGCAGAAAGGUUUAUUUGUGUAUUUCUGCCGGGGCAUUCUGGACUUUCAGUAUGGUAGUAGUGCUACCCCAGAUAGCUAUGCCAUGGAGCCUAUUCGUGUAACAAAAGACUAUGGAAAAGACUUUGGCUCCAUGGCGAUUGAACUGUAUGUAUGUGAUCUGAGCACCAUUCGGUAAUAAUGUGCGCUCAGAUCUAAGCUAUCUGGGGAUAUGUUGCAUGUAUAUGUUUUAUGUAGUAAUUGUAACAUUGUGUAAUUUUAUGUAUUUUUGUAACCAUGUGGUUAAUGGAGUCUUGCCUCUGUCCUGGGAGAUAAUUUGAUUACUUCCAAUUAUCUCCAGGAUAGAGAGGAGGGAUUGUUAUGUCACUGUGGGAGUGUUUUGUUUGUAUUGUCUAUGAUUGGCUUAUAUCCAAUAUGUGUCCGAUUGUUCCAUCAGGUCCCCUAGGAGAGUGUCCACUUGGUGGACACUUGCAUAAAUACCAGGCAGUUACCCCUAAUAAACCAGACCUACUUGAGCCUUUCUUGAAGCCUUGGCUCUUGCUUGGGGGAAGGGAUACCUACACUCUGGGGAUUGCUAUAAUCACUUACUCCCCAGAGUAAGCUCUUGUAAGAGCUUGAUUUGUUCCUGCUACGCUCUCUGGAUUUAGGAGAGGUUCACUCACUGGGAGCUGGAUCCUGGUCGUGGAUUCAGGGGUGAGAGAUGGCGAGAUCCGGACGCAGCUGCAUCGUUGGAAGUGGUGUCAGUUGGAGUGCUGAUGGUGUCAGUUGGAGUGCUCGGAGUCCUCGACAAGCUUAGGAGCAUCGAUUGGCGGAGGUACUCGGUCGGAGUGCCAGCGGUCCGUCACAUUACUUAAGUAAGGAAAUGUUUUAUUUAUUGUUUUUGCACACUCUCACUAAUACACACAGAUAAUCACUUGCACACUCUCACUAAUACACACACACAGUGUCACUUGCACACCUCACUAAUACACACACACACACACAGUGUCACUUGCACACUCUCACUUAUACACACCCACACAGUGUCACAUGCACACUCUCACUAAUACACACAUCCAGUCACUUGCACACUCUCACUAAUACACACACACACACAGAGUCACUUGCACACUCUCACUAAUACACACAUCCAGUCACUUGCACUCUCACUAAUACACACACACACACACACACACAGUCACUUGCACACUCUCACUAAUACACACACACACAGAAUCACCUGCACACUCUCACUAAUACACACACACACACAGUGUCACUUGCACACUCUCACUAAUACACACAUCCAGUCACUUGAACACUCUCACUAAUACACACAGAGAAUCACUUGCACACUCUCACUAAUACACACACACAGUGUCACUUGCACACUCUCACUAAUACACACACACACACACACAGUGUCACUUGCACACUCUCACUAAUACACACCCACACAGUGUCACAUGCACACUCUCACUAAUACACACAUCCAGUCACUUGUACACUCUCACUAAUACACACACACAGAAUCACUUGCACACUCUCACUAAUGCACACACACACACAGUCACUUACACACAUUGUCACUUACACACUCUCAUUAACACCCACUGUCACUCAAACACAGACUCACACCACUUUACAUAAACACACACUUUGUUUACACACACAAACACAGCAAUUUAACACACACACCGAUUUACAAACAUGGACACAAUAAGCAAUCCCCCAUAUCCUCCAGUUAUGCCAUCUCUGGGUGCUGUGAAGAUGAGAAGAGGCUGCAGGACGUUGUUCUUUCUGCUGGAGGAGCAGGAGAGCCGUUCACUGUGAGCACAGGCUGCUUCCUGUUUCCUUCACCGUGUUCACAGGCAAGGGGCCGCCUGGAUACCAGGUCACAUCCCGGCUUCCCCUGCCUGCAGCAAGCACAGUGCUCUGCUCGGGUGCUGGGGUUACAGUAAACUCUGCUCCCCGGGCAGGUAAUCGGCUGCAGAGGGAGCCCAGCAGCUGAAUGGCUGCGUUGGGGGUGGAUAAGGAGCUUUAUUCUUCUCCUCUUUGACCUUUUCCCCUAUCUCAAUGUCACAGUUACUUAGCGAAUUAUCCUAGUAAAGUACAGAAAAUUCUGAUUCCAUAUACUCUUGUCCCUGUUGUCUUUUUGGACUCUUUUCGUGAUUUUUACAUAUUCUUUGCCCCCUACUGUCUGUUCUUUUGAGAUAAUCAAUAGAUUUCCACUCAUUAUUUCUUCCUCAUCACUUGACUACUUUCUCAUUUCCAACUCACCAUCCAUGUUCCAUGCAUUCCAUUACUUACCAGUGAGCUGUACUACUUUCCCAUGCUCAUAACUUGGACACAUUUUAUGACCCAUGUUAGAAUUUGUCAAAUCUAAGAACGUCUGAUGUGUUAGAACUUUAAAUAGAGCCUACUACUGUUCUCAUGCAGAACCAGAAGCAAAAACUAAGAUUGCUUUUAUUUAAGUUGAAUCUGGUUCUGAUCAGGCCAUCUCCUUCUUUUACUUGUAUCCUCUGUACCGUUAUGUACAUUUAAUUUUCAAUUACCGCCUGUGUAGAGGAUGGCUUUCUUUGAAAUAAAGUUGUUUUUCAUUUCUGUUUUCAAAGCAUAAAAUGCAUGAUACCAAUAACUGGAUUUGUUCACUAAAAGUUUGAAAACAAACUUUAAAAUUUAAGCCUAAAUAGUCAAGAAUAUUUAUUCCAUCUCAACCAUGUUAACCUAAAAUUUGUUGAGAGUUGGUCAUCCCGAUUUAUAUUAAGUCUUUUUGUUUGAAAAUCCACUAAGUUAGUAUAACCUUAUCAUGAAAACAUGUUUUUUGGUUUAUUUGUGUAUUUAGAAAAAGAUUUUUAAAACAAUGACAUCUUUUUUAUUACACAGUAGUUGAAUCGAUAGCGUCCUAAAAUUGUGAAUCAAAAAUAAGAAGCCUAAAUGGUGUUACGUAUUUUCUUUUGCAUUAUUAAAUCUUUAUAGAACUGUCGUGUAAGGUUUCACUUUCUGCUUAAUGGCCAAACACUCCGAAAUUACAGGAGGCUGACAGAGAAUGUACUAUUCUGAUGCAUCAUUGUCCAUUGCCCUGGCCAAAUCCCAAUGUUGAGAUAAAUGGGUGUAAACAAAUGUCACGUAAAAAUAAAUAUUCUUGACAGUGAGCAGAAUAGUGUGUCUAAGAUAAAACACGGAGGCUUCCCAAAUUGACUGGAGCUAAUGAGUUGUCUUUGUUACAAAUAGCUCUGGGAAAGUAAGUCAGAAGAAAGAAGGAACAUUUUCUGCAGCCAACAAACAUGGUGUACCCGAGGAUUCUGCAGUUGACUACAUAUGUUGCUUUACUGGUGUUCCUUGGUCACAUCUCCUGUUCUGAGAUUGAGAACCGAUCUGUGUCAGACUCAUGUUCAACACACACAAUUUUACCUGGACCCAAAGGUGA